UAAAUGAUAUUUUUGUACAUUUGACGUAACUUUAUUUUAAGACUACAAGAUUCAAAAGGCUUCUUUAUUUUUUCAAAUUCCAUGUCAAGUCAAUUUUUUUGUAAAUAGGGGGAGUAGAAGAAUGAGUUAAGAUUUGGUAUCAACAUGUGUGCUUCAUUGUGAUUACAAUAAAAUAAAUAAUGGCAUUUGAUAUUUUGCAUUCUGUCUUUCAUCACUAUCCCAACGAGCAACAACAAUUUACUUAGAUUAACUUGAGAAUUUGUGUUGCCGUUGUAGAAGCAUUACUAAUGACACGUUGUGCUCUUAAAUGCGAAAAGAUACUGCAAGCUUUAUUAUGCCGACACCUAAAUGGUAAGUCCGCAACACUUCCAAAGGUCAUUUUGAAUUAACUUUUAACAUUUGACUUAUGUCAAAAGUCAUUAGUUAGAAAAACAAUGUUCUUUUAUUUAUUUAUUUAUUUUUGUUUUUUGUCGUCCCAAAAUAAUGCUAUUUUACUAUAAUUAAAAAAGUUAAUUUUAAUUUUUUUUUACUCUUAAUAAAAUAAUUUUGAUAAUGAAUUUCAAAAGUAUUCUUUUAAACACCAUGUCACAUUAAAGUAUGUGACGUGAAAUAAGACGUCGAUAACACUAAUUAGAAUCUAAUGCAAUGUGAGUCCUUACACUCUUCCUCUUCUAGGUUUCUACUACUUUGCUAUUCUCAAUUCUACCCACAUUUUAUUGUCCUCUUCUAUUUUUAUUUGCUUUUUGUAUUUUAAUUCCGCUAUUGUACCUCAUUUUUCCCCCUUAGUACUAUGCGUUGAUAUCUUUCAUCUAAAUUCUCUCUACAGCCACUUGGAAAGAUGGAGGCUAUUUUUUCCUCUAUAUGUCGAAUUUUUACAAGGUAUUCUUUUGUUUACUUCUUUUUUUCUUUAAUUAUGAUUCUUUGUUUCUUUUUUAGUUCUAAUAUUGUUGCCUUUAAUUACUUAGGUGUUGUUUUGUUGGUUAACAAGCUAUUAAAGGAUUAAUUUUGUUUAGUUGGUCAACAAGUUACUCAAGGAUUAAUUAUCCCAGUAUUAGUUAUCCUACCCUCAAGUGUGAUAAAAAUAACUUAUAAUCCCGGAUUAACUAAUUAUUGUAUGAGUUAUACAUGCAUUUUAUCGCAACCCGAUAUGGAUAAGCUCAUCCUAAAGUUAAUUUUAGGAUUAGUUAUGGUGACACCCUAUCUCAGGAUAAGGAGUUCCACGUUAGCAAAACACAGGAGAGAUGCUGGAUAUAUAAGUAAAUAGGUCUUUCACUUUAGUGAUCUGUUUUAAAGUCGUGCGGAUCUAAGCCUAGAGCAGACAAUAUCAGUAUUGGGCUGGGCCGUUACAAAUAAGGAGUCCCACAUCGGCAAAAAAUGGGGGAAAUGCUGGGUAUAUAAGUAAACAAGCCUUUCACACUAAUAACGAAUUUUAAAGCGGUACGUGUCUAAGCCAAGAAGCCCAAAACGGACUAUAUCACUAGUGGGAUGGGCCAUUAUAGUUAUCCUUUAUUCCUUGUACCAAACGAGCCCCGAAGGUGGGAUUAAAAUAAUAAUACUAUUCGGGAUAACUAAUCUCGGUAUGACCUAUCCCAUGCAUUUAUCCCAACCAAACAUGCAAAAAGCUCAUCGCAAAUUAAUUCAAACAUUAGUUAUCCCUUAUCCUUGGUAUCAAACGAGCCCUGGUAGUUGCAUGUGUGUAAUUUUUCUUUCAUUCCUUCUAUUAAAUAUUAAUUUCAUGAGAAGUAAUAGUUAAAUUUAUGUUACCAUUUUAUUUGAUUUGUCGGAAUGGAUUACUCUUUGUCGUGGCAUCCUCUCCGACCUGAUUUUGUGAGUGAAUAUAAUAAUUGUUGAUUAUUCUUUUAACAUUUUUUUCAUAUUCUUUUGCUUAAAUCUUUUGUUAUAUUAGUUUUCUUGGUUUUGAAGUGUUACUUAGUCUUCAGUGGUAGGUUGUUUGACCUAUAUUGCUCAAACUUUUCAAAAAUGUCAACUGGUGCAGCAUUGAAAGUGAAAAGUUCUCGUAACAUAGUGUUGGAUAAUUUAUCCUAUCCAAGGAUAGCUAUAAUGUCCUGAAAUUCUUUGUAACGUAGUAAAGUUUGCUUAACUCGUUGGACGGUUUCGUAAUGUUCCUCACCAACAAUCCGAGGUUGAAAUGCAGGAGAGUUGCAGCCUGCAAUCUGAACUGAGGACGGGUUUUUGGGGCUAGCUCACCCUCGCAGGAUCACGACCCUUUGUCCCGGCCAUUGUAGCACGUGUGUCGCUCUAUUGGUGAUUAACUAAUUAAUAUCUUCUACUUUCUUAUUUCAAGUGAACUCUCAAACUAAUUUGUCAAUGGGGCAAUCAGUCUUUGGAUUUUUAGACCACUAACAGAAAAUUUUUGAUGUGGAAAUUUUAAUGGCUAAUACCUAGGGGCGAGAUGUAUAGUUUGGAAUCACCUUUGUACUCUUAAAUUUUUUGAAUCUGUGUGGAUAAUGAGUGCGAAUAAAAUCUAUAGGUGUGUUAAUGGAGGUAUGAGAUGCAUCUUACUUUGAAAUUUUGUGAAAGUAGGAGACUGGCUAUGAUACAAGGAUGGGCUAGUGUGAUUAAAUAAAUCAUCCUUAUUUAAUUUAGCAAGGUAAUACCAUAUUUACCAUUAGAAAGAAGGGAACAGUUAAAAAUAGUCAAUACACAACUUUAUUUUUUGAUAGCCAUGGUGUCCGGGUAAACUUACGUGCAUCUCGACUAAUUCCACAGGAUACCUGCACCAUAGUGAAUACACAACUAGCAUGUGUAUCGUUAAUCGCCAACUCUAAUCCUUUUUCUUUUCUUUUGCUGAAUUAGUGGUCAUGUUAGUCAAUACCUCUCCUAUUCUACUGAUUUUUGGCGUUCUUUUGAAAAACAAAGUAGUACAAAAUGGCUACGCUAAUAAUGUUACUUCUACUGCUUCACUGCCAGAUUGGAUAGCCAAACAAAACUAUGGAAAGAGAGAGAAGAAGAGAAGGAAGAGAAUGAGUGAUGCUUUUACUGCUUCCGUGCUAGAGUGCAUAAGAGCUUUAGUCAAAUAAAAGAGAAGAAGAGAUUUUGAUCAGCGUGUUAACAACAAUUGUCUCCUAAUCAUGACAUCCGAAUUUACAUUUUCAAGUUAGUAAUUUUUUUCACAAGUUUCGAAUUGAUCAAAAUGAAUUUACCUGUUGUCCAUCUAGAGUUGAAGGUAAUUUCUAAAUCAAUAAAGUGUUAAAGUACAUUCUUUAUAUCUUGCUGCCAUUUUGUCACUUGCUAUGAAACUGCAUUUGAUUCACAGUAUUCAUUAUGGAUUUGUAGUGUGUCAUCCUCAGGAGAUCCACUUUGGAGUGGGGGACUUCAUAGAAAUAACUAUUUUCUUUUUGCAAGGGCCUUUCAUUUUUCAAUUCAAUAUAUAUUUUAGAGAAGAACACAAACUGAUAUAAACACCAAAUAGAGGACAAGAGGUAGGCUUAUACAAUUGCUGGAUUAAGCUAUCGGUCUAGAAAUUGAAAUUUCAAUUUAGAGAAUUUUAGAUACCCUAUAAUAUAUCUUGAUAUUUUCGAUAAUUCUUUAGUUCAAAGCAUCAUCCUGUUUGUACAUCUUCUUUAGGUAAUUUUUAAUUACUUAAGAAUGAAAUUUGGCCCUUUCUCCAAUUGCACGAAGAAUGUCGUAAGACAGAUGGGAACAUUUGAGCAAACUCAAAUCUUCGAUCUGUUAACUGAGAAUGUUGAUAAUGAAGGAAUCAUUCUUCAUUUGGAGGCACCCGAUAUUAAAAUCUUGGCUCCUGGGACCCUACGCAGGACAUGUUUUAGAGCCUCUUAAUAUCCCUGUAAAUCAAAGCUACUAGUAUUAUAAGUUCAUCCCAGAAGUAAGAAUCGCAUUAGCAAAAUUAAAGAUGGUCAAAUGGAAAUUCAUUUAUGCCACAUUCUCCAUAUGCAUUCUAUUCAAUAAUCAGAAGAUUAAUCAGACUAUCUUACCACGAAUGUUUGGACCAGCUGCACUUGGCUGAUGCCUACAUAGGCAUUAGCAAAGUGAAGCUCAGGAAAUGCCUCUUAACGGUUUUAGCUAGUCUACUAGUAAACAACAUAUAAAUAGGUUAAUCCAAAUCAACUAGUAAUUAACUCGAAAAAGUUCUAGCUGCCAAAACAAUCUCAAGACACUCGAUCAAUCAAUCAUUCAGCUAGGUCUCAAUCCUAAGUCAAGUCCCAGAGUUCCACUCCACUCUAUUCACACUCAUUUUCAUUUCGUAAUGAUCAAGCAAGUAUCAGCCAAAUCUAACAAAAGCUUUAGAUUAUCUAAGAACAACAUAUUUCACUUUACAGGAACUCAAUAUAGUUGAAUUGGAAUUUUAAACAUACAACAACAUACCCAACCCACCAAGUGGGGUCUAGGGAGGGUAAGUGUACGCAGUCCAUACCACUACCACAUCUAUCAGAUGUGAGAUAGAGAGUGUUUUCGAUAGAAUUCCGUCUCAAAAUAAAACAAUCUAAACGACAAAUAGUACAAAAGAACAAGAUACAAUAGAUUUCAACAUAUCCAAUAAUACCAUAAACAAGAUACACCAAGUAAUACACCAAAAGAUACAAUAUCCUAAAUUCAUACUAACCUUGUACCCUAAUCCACCUCCUCCUCAACUUCCUAUCCAGGGUUAUGUCCUCAGUAAGCUGGAGCUGCUCCAUAUCAUGUGUAAUCACCUUCCUCCAAUGGUGAGGAAGGUUAUGACGACGUGCAUGGAGGUUUUGGUUUCGGCGAUAAAAAUGGUGAGGGGGCUUCUCUGUUGGAUUUUGCGAGGGACUUUAGGCUGGUGGUAGUGAAUUUGAGCUUUCCGAAGUAGGAGGAUCACCUGAUUACCAUCCAAAGCGCGUUAGCCAAGACUCAGAUUGACUUUCUGCUGCUUAGGAAAGGGGAUAAGGUUUUAUGUAAGCACUUUAAAGUCAUUCUGAGUGAGCACUUUUCGACCCAGCACAGGCUUUUGAUGAUGGACUUGAUUAUCAAGAAGAGCAAGAAGAGUAGGGAUAGUGAGGGUCAACCCAGAAUUAAGUGGGGUGGCUUGAUGCCAGUUAGUGCGCGGGACAUAGGGGAGAAGAUGGUGGGAUUGGGGGUGUGGGAGUGGAGGGGGGAAGUGGAUGAUAUGUGGGAUAAGGCUUCCAACUGCAAAAUGGAGACGGCUAGAGAGGUGUUAGGUGUUUCGAGGGGUCGGGCAGGUCGGUAUAAGGGGGACUGGUGGUGGAAUGAAGAAGUUAAAAAGAAAGUAAAGAUUAAGAAGGGGCAUAUGUUAAGUUGAUUGAGAGUAAAGAAGAAGAGGAGAAACGGGUGAAUAGAGAGGUUUAUAAAGUAGCAAGGAAGGAGGCUAAGUUAGCAGUUAUGAUUGCUAAGACAGCAGCAUUUCAGAGCUUGUAUGCGGGGUUAGAGGAGAAAGACGGGAAAAAAUGUUGUAUAGGCUGGCUAAGGCUAGGGAGAGGAAGGGUCAUGAACUCAAUCAAGUGAAGUGUAUUAAAGGGGAGGAUGACAGAGUUUUGGUGAUGGAUGUUCGUAUUAAGAAGAGGUGGCAGGAGUAUUUUCAUAGACUUUUGAACAAGAAGAGAGACAGAGGCAUUGAUUUAUGGGAGUCGGAGUGCUAGGCGGAGAGCCGUGAUUUCAGUUACUAUUGACUUUUUAACGUUGAGUAGGUCAGAGAGGCUAUUCGUAGGAUGCGAAGGGGUAGGGCGACGGAGCCUGACGAGAUUCUGAUGGAUUUUUUGAAGUAUACUGGUGAAGCAAGUUUAAGAUGGUUGACUGAUUUGUUUAAUGACAUUUAAGACUGUGAGGAUGCCUAAGGCUUAGAGAUGAAGUACGAUAAUUCCGUUAUAUAAAAACAAGGGUGGCAUUUAGAGCUGCAAAAAUUAUAGGGGUAUUAAGCUGUUGAAUCACACUAUGAAGAUUUAGGAGAGGGUGGUUGAGCAAAGAUUGAGGAGGGUCAUGUCCAUUUAGGAGAAUCAGUUUGGUUUUAUGCCUGGUCGCUCGAUGAUAGAGGCAAUCCACCUGGUAAGAAGAUUGGUGGAGCAGUAUAGGAAAAGGAAGAGGGAUUUGCACAUGGUGUUCAUCAAACUAGAGAAGGCGUAUGAAAAAGUCCCUAGAGAGGUUCUUUAGAGAUACUUAGAGGAGAGAGGGGUUUCGAUAGUGUACUUUAAAGCUAUUAAGGACAUGUACGAUGGAGGGAAGACUCGAGUGAGGAUGGCGGGAGGAGACUCAGGGCAUUUUUUGGACGAGACAGAGUUGCAUCAGGGAUCGACUCUUAGCCCGUUUCUGUUUGUGUUGGUGAUGGACGUGUUAACGCGGAGUAUUCAAGGCGAGGUGCCUUGGUGUAUUCUACUUGCGGAUGAUCUAAUGCUGAUUGAUGAGACACGGGAGGGUGUGAAUGAAAGAAUGAAGGUUUGGAGGAAAACUCUUAAAUCUAAGGGGUUUAGGUUGAGUAGGUCCGAGACGGAGUAUAUGGAAUGCAAGUUUAGUGACUCAAGUCAGGAGGACGAAGUAGUGGUGAGGUUAGAUUCCCGGGAUGUUUGUAAGAGGGAUAGUUGUAAGUAUCCUGGGUCUAUGAUUUAGGGGAAUGACAAGAUUGAUGAGGAUGUAUCUAAAUGUAUUGGAGCAGAUUGGAUGAAGUGGAGGCUCACCUCGGAAGUGUUGUGUGAUAAGAAGGUGCCCUUUAAGCUUAAAGGCAAAUUCUACAGAGUGGCAAUUCGUCCGGCUAUGUUGUAUAGAGCAGAGUGUUGGCCAGUCAAGAACUCCCACAUUCAGAGAUUAAAGGUGGUAGAAAUGAGCAUGUUGCGUUCGAGAGGAUAGAGUUAGGAAUGAGACUAUCAGGGAGAAGAUGGGAGUGACUUCGGUGGAGGAUAAGUUGUGAGAAGGAGGUCUGAGAUGGUUUAGGCAUUUGAUGAGGAGGGGCACGGAUACGACGGUUCGUAGGUGUGAGAGGAUAGCUUUGGAUGGCUUUAGGAGGAGUAGAGGUAGGCCGAAUAAAUACUGGAGGGAAGUGAUUAGACAUGACAUGGAGCAGCUACAACUUACUGAGGACAUGACCCUAGAUUGGAAGGUGUGGAGUUCGCAGAUAAGGGUAAAAGGAUAGUGUGAGUGAGUGGGUUGUACCAAGGUGUUAGGACAACUCUUGUGUAGCUGGUUAGUAAUCCUAGGACUGUGUCUAUUAGUAGGAGCCUCUAUUUCGGAAAGUUUGGGUGUGGUGGGUGUCUUUUAUCUGUGAGUGUAUGUUAAUACUAGGUGGGUGUCCUAUCUCUUAUUUCUUAUUUUGAAUUGCUUGUAUUUCUUUGAUAUCUAUUUUAUUAUUUUUUAUUCCUUAUUUCUAUUAUGUCAUCCAUCCUGCUUCAUGUUUCACUAUGACCUUGUGUACUAUUCUCUAUUCUGAGUUGGGGGUCUAUCGGAAACAACCUCUCUACUUCCUCGGAGGUAGCGGUAUGGACUGUGUAUAUUUUACCCUCCCUAGAGCUCACUUUGUGGGAAUACACUGGGUUUGUUGUUGUUGUACUUCUACCUCGCUUGAAACCAUCCCUAGCCAAAUGCUCACACCUCCUCAUCACAUGACCGAACCAUCUCAGGCUCGCUUCCUUCAUCUGGCUUCCACCAAAGCCACUCUCACCUUAUCUCGAAUUUUAAACAAAACAAAUUACUAAUUUCAUAUGCAUUAUGCCCAAUAAGGCUACGGAUGUGGGUGUCAAAUUUUAUUUUAUUUUUAUAAUCGUAGUGUACUAGCCAACUUUCGGAAAACUCGACUAAUUCCCUGAAAUACUUGCCACCUCUUACUCAUUAGUAGACAACCGGUAGCUGUUCACUAAGGCCAGGACAUUGGAAAGAAAUCACCCUGUAUUUAUUGUCCGAUAUCACAUUCAAUAUAACUCAUUUUAUCUAUUACAACAAUAAAAUUAGGGCAUUUAAUUAGAAAAAAAGAGCUAAGUCAACUUACAGAAAGAUCAGAAGGAAGAUGUGUGACGACAGAAUUGAAGAUUGGAGAGACACAAGCGACGGUGCAAAGAGAUUACAAUUCCAUUUUCUCCAACGCAUUAAUUUUUAUAUGCUCUGAAAAUCUAUCCAUUGAUGGUUCAAAAUCACCUUUGAAGCUUCCACCUCCUCCUUCAUCACCGCCGCUACUGCUACCAACUUCUUCUCUAGUACGGUGUCGCUUGGAAUUUUCGUCCAAAAUGGAAACAAAACCGAAUUCCUAUUUCCUGCAAUUUCUCCCACAAAAAAAGUACAAAAAUUAGUUUGUAAAUUACUAUUUGAAUGCAAUUCAUAAUUUGUACUUGCGGAACACAUUUUCCAUGGUGAAUCUAUAUAACAAUAAUAUAUACAGUGUAAUUUCAUGAGUGGAGUUCGAAAUGUCUAUUAUUAAUGAGCACUUAAUGAAUUUACACUUAUUAUCGAUAGUAAACAAUUAAAACAGUUUAAAAGAAGUACCCGGAUUUCACUUCAUUAUCUGUUUCUAUUAACAGACAAACUGUAAAGGUUAUUACUUAUUUGGUUGUAUAAACGACAAUAUAUCCUGUGUAAUUUCAUGGAUAUACAUCUCUUUAUAGAGUUGUAUAGAUUGUUGUGAAAAUAGUACUUUCUAUGGAAAAUGUAAAUAGAUUCAUGAUUGACUACUCCUUAGUAAAGCCACCUUGAUUUUGGUCAUGGAUGUAUUUAGACCUGUUAUUAUUUUGUAUAGUUAAUUAUGUACUUCGCCCAGUUGUAAUAGAAAUAUCUAGUUUAUGUAUCUAAAUAUCGUACACUGACCAGAUAGUUAUCAUUUUUCAUGAAGAAGAAAUAUUUCUCUCUAUACCUUUACCUUUCUAAGAUCAGUGAAUCUUCUAGAGUAAUUUAGAAAUAGAGAUUUAUCUCCCUUACAUUCUCGUUGUUAACAUGGUAUCAGUGCCUUGAGCUCAUCUUUCAUCUAUAUUUCGGAGCUGUGUGCUGAAUUUUCUCACGUUUCGGAGCUUUGAGUUGAAUUUUUUGGCAACAUUCUACACCUUUUAGGGUUCCACUGUCCUUACAUUCGGAAUCCACUUCAGUUUACGCCGCAAAUCUAUGUAAUUUGAGGUGGUUAUCAGCAUGAUUUGAAGUUUGGUUUUAGUCUUCGAAGUGCGGUCACGACGGCAUUUGUUUUUUAUUUUUCAUUUUGUCUUCUACAACGAGGUUUCGUUACUCUUUCAGCCAAGAAAAAAUCUGGUAUUUUUUCCUCAACAUUAUUAAACAUUUUCGUGUUUUGUCUUUGCUGUUUGGUACGCCUUGAUUUUGUGUAGUUAUGACUCCGAACGUUGCAAAUUCUACUACUUCUAGUGUAGAUGCUGAUGUGGAUUCCUCUGUUAAUCCUUCGUCUUCAUUAUACCUCCUUUCAUCUGAUUCUCCUGGCACAAUUUUGGUUACCACGCCCUUUAAUGGGACGGGUUAUGGAAGUUGGCAUCGAGGAAUGUUGUUAGGGUUAUCCUGUAAAAACAAACUAGGUAUGAUCCAUGGUUCCAUUCCUAAGCCUUCUGCUACUGAUCCACAUUUUCAAGCAUGGAUAGGUGUAAUGAUAUGGUGGUAGCACGGAUUCUAAACAGUCUAGAUAAGGAAAUUAGGGAAAUUGUGAUGUACACUGAAUCUGCGGAGAUUUUAUGGAAGGAAGUUGAAUGUAGAUUUGGUCAGGUUAGUGGUACCAAAAUUUUCCAAAUCAGGAAAGAACUUUCUUCAAUUUCCCAAGGAUCCUCGAGUGUUGCUUCCUACUUCAGUAGAAUUAAGAAACCCUAGGAUGAAUUGUCUUUCUCAAUUACCUAUCCUGAUUGUACUUGUGCGUUUAAGGAUGGUUUUCUCAAGUUAGAAGAGGAGCAGAGAGUUCAUAAGUUCCUCAUGGGAUUGAUUGAUUCAUAUUCGACCAUCAGAAGGAACAUCCUCAUGCUAAAACCCCUUUCUAACAUUGAUAGUGUGUCUUCAAUGUUGUAACUGAUGAGAGUCAAUCUGAGGUGCACAAUAAUCUCCCUUCCUUCAAUUCCAACUCUGUUGCUUUCUCCACUGGUAACCAAAGACCGUAUAAUCAAAAGCCAGGCUCAGAGUCUGGUGGUUUAUCUACUACUAUUCCCANNNNNNNNNNNNNNNNNNNNNNNNNNNNNNNNNNNNNNNNNNNNNNNNNNNNNNNNNNNNNNNNNNNNNNNNNNNNNNNNNNNNNNNNNNNNNNNNNNNNNNNNNNNNUUUUGCAGGUUUGCUUAAUAGUUCUGAUUCUAGACUUUGUAGUUUUCUUGCUUGUAACUUCUCUAAGGUAGACAAUAAUCCAUGGAUCAUAGACUCAGGUGCCACUAAUCAUAUCACACCACAAUCUUCAUUUCUUUCCAAUAUCACACCCCUCACAAUUACUUAUCUUGUGACUUUACCCAAUGGGUACAAAGUUAAAGUCACAAGUACUGGUACUCUAACUCUUUCUCCUGAUAUCUCCUUAACCAAUGUGUUAUUUGUCCCUUCAUUUCAGUGUAAUCUGAUUUCUCUUGUUCAGCUAAUUCUCCAAUUACAUUGUUCAGCUUACUUUACUUCCAUUGCAUGCAUUUUGUAGGGCCUUCUCUGAAGAGAGGCCAGUGGAUCUGGGUAGCCUUCAAGCUGGGCUUUACAUCCUCAAUCCUCUUUCACUUACAUCAACUACUUGUUCUUCUACUUCUUUACAUGAUUCAUUUGUAAAUACCAUUACUGCCACUCUCUUUAAUGACAUAAAUAAGAGCAAGUCUUCUACAUCUGAUUCUACUGUUACUGCUUCUUCUUCUGUUCUUAAUACUGUACUGACUACUUCUACUUUACCUACUUUUCAACAAAUAAUAUUUGGCAUUAGCAAUUAGGACAUGCCGUUUACCAAGAUGCUUAACUGUCCCAAUUUAUAACUGAACGAGUUUAUUGAAUUUUGAACAUAAGUCUAAUUAUCUUAUUCAUUAUUGACACACCUUAAGCUAAUUUCAUGUUAACAACGAGAAUAUAAGGGAGAUAAAUCUCCAUUUCUGAAUUACUCUAGAAGCUUCACUGAGCUUAGAAAGGUAAAGGUAGAGAGAGAAAUAUUUUUUCUUCUUGAAAAAUGAUAACUGUCCAGUCAAUGUACCAUACUGGGCCGGGUACAUAAUUAUCUGUACAAAACAAUAAUAUCUAUGACCCACCAUCAAAGGUCUGAAUUACUCUAGAAGCUUCACUGAGGUUAGAAAGGUAAAGGUAGAGAGAAAAAUUUCUUCUUGAAAAAUGAUAACCGUCCAGUCAAUGUACCAUACUGGACCGGGUACAUAAUUAUAUGUACAAAACAAUAACAUCUAUGACCCAAAAUCAAAGGUGUCUUUACUAAGGAGUAGUCAAUCUUGAAUCUAUUUACAUGAGGUUCAACAGCCCCCCUCAAGUUGGAAGGGCUUGCCAUUCCAAGCUUGGAAAUGAAGUGUUGAUAAGGAACACCAAGAAGGGACUUUGUAAAUAUAUCAGCAAGUUGAGCAUUGGUGGAGAUGGAAUGAAGCGAAAUGAGACCAUCAGUUAGAGCUUGCCCGAUGAAGUAGCAAUCCACUUCAAUAUGUUUGGUACGCUCGUGAAAAACAGGAUUCUUGGCAAUGUGGACAGCUGCAUGACUGUCACAGAACACAUGUACAGGAGUCAGAUCAUGAACACCCAAUUCAGCAAAUAAAAGAACCAGCCAGGUAAUUUCAGCAACUACGAGCCUUAAGGCUUUGUAUUCUGCCUCAGCUGUUGAUAAAGCAAUAGUGGGCUGCUUCUUGGACUUCCAAGAGAUAUGACAGCAUCCAAGGAAUAGAACAAAUCCUGAAACAGAUCUACGGGUAGCAGCACAGCUGGCCCAAUCAGAAUCACAACAGCCUUGGAGAGAAAAAUCGGAGGAGUUAUUGAGCAGAGGUCCCAAACGAGGAGUACCAGCCAAAUAUUCCAAAACACGAUGAGCAGCAGUGAGAUAAGUAGUUCGGGGAGAAGCCAUGAACUGGCUAAGAUGUUGAACUGUAAAAGACAAAUCUGGUCUCGUGUGUUGAAGGAAAUUUAGCUUUCCACCAAACUUUAUGUACAUAGAAGGAUCAGGUAACAAAUACCCAGAAUCAGAAGAUAGCUUCACGUGAGGGUCAAGUGGUGAAACAACAGGAUUAACAUUAGUAUAGUGAAAUUCGGACAAUAGAUCCAAUGCAAACUUAUGUUGGCUGACCAAGAACCUCGUCGAAGUAUGGAUAAUUUCCAGACCAAGGAAAUAAUGUAUAAAACCAAGGUGCUUAAUUCUGAACUUAUCAUCUAGGAAAAGCUUGAGAGAAGAAAUUUCAGAUUCAUCAUCACCAGCCAAGAGAAUAUCAUCCACAUAAACAACCACAAUAGUAAGACUAGUGCCAACUAAUUUUCUGAACAAAGAGUAGUCAUUCAUGCUAGGGAUGAAACCCCUAGACUGUAAAGCAGAAGAUAGUUUGGCAUACUAUAGUCUCGAGGCUUGUCUAAGACCAUAGAGGGACUUAUUAAGGCGACAUGCCAACACAGUAAAUGAAGAAGAGGAAACAAGGGAAUUUUUAUAAACACCUCCUCAUCCAAAUCACCAUGUAGGAAAGCAUUGUUCACAUCAAGUUGGUGAACAACCCAAUUUCUUUUGACAACCACAGACAACAAACAUUUAAUGGUGGUCAUUUUGACCACUUUAGAAAAAGUUUCAGUAAAAUCUAUACCCUCUUGCUGGGCAUCCCCUCGAAUGACCAACCUAGCCUUGUAUCUUUCAAUAGUGCCAUCAGACCUCUGUUUGAUUUUAUAAACUGUAACGCCCUGAAAAACGGGUCCCGGAGCGUUUCACAGUGCUUGAGGCUACGAGUAGCUCCAAGCUAACCCUUUGAGCCAUUUUCAUUCAUUUCAACACAAAUCAACGGGGUUUCCAUAAAUAACCCUCAAAUAUCAACAGAGUAAUCAUCAUCCAAGAAUAAAAGAAUUUCAGAAAGAUAACAAAAUACGACUUAUUAGUCAACUCCCAACAUCUAUACUAGUCUGACAAGCCUCUAAGAAAAUCAAUAAAACCAGUGAGCCACUGAGACAUGCCUCAACUGACUCAUACUCAGUUAUCAAAUUUAAACGAUUCCAUGAAACCAACAUCAGACAACACCUCCUUGGAACAUGAGGACUCACCACAACAGAGGAUGUAGAACAACAUGCCCGAAGAAUCACUGUCGAACCUGGAACUGAGCACUUGAACCUACAUUCCGAGAAAAUGUAGCCCACAUUCAAAGAUGUGGGUCAGUACCAUGAAAAGGAACCAAGUAUAUGGCGUGUAUGCAGUUGUAUAAACAUCAUCAUCACAAAUAUUUAUAAGAAAUAUGCAGGAUGUAUGAAAGACUCACAUAUCCUGAAGAAAAUCAUCAUAAUCAUGAGAGGAUGAAAUAAGUACAAUAACACAUGUGAGUCAUCAUAUAAUUUGUCAAUCAUUUUCAGUUCAUCAAGAAUAUCAAUUCUCAUAAUGUAAAUAUCAUUUAAAUCUUUCGAAAGAAUAACUUUCACAAUUCCACUUUCAAAUCACUUCACCAUUCACCAUAUACACAAGGAAACACACACACCGGGAGAUCCUAUAAUGGACAUAAACCAUGUGAGUACAUGGAUUUCAACGUACAACCCACGUUGGGGAAAGCCGUCUUAUCCUUGCCAUCGGAGUAGGACUAUCGAUAUCAAAUCCACACAAACUAGUGAUCACUGUAUAAAUCAGCCUCAGGCUUACUCCUACGGGGGCACGUAGUUCUAGGGAAGUAAGGUCGCUUUAUACCUCCUACUCGGUGCUAAAGAUUUCUCCCGGACUAAGCUUAUAUCAUUUCAAAGACAAUCCACAGUAAAAUAAUUUCAGUAAUAUAUAAAUAUACAUCGGGAGCCAUCAUGCUUCCCAUCUAUCAAAAUCAAUCACUUUGUAAAUUUCUUUCACACUCGAGUUUAAAAAAACUACAUUAAGACCAAAAGGUCAAAUCAUUCAAAAUAUCUCAAAUAUUCAACAUCAACGUGCUUAUAACACACACUUUCUCAAAAAAAUACAAUUUCCAAUGGGGAUUCACGACCCAAAUAUCAAAAUCAUGAUAAAUAUCGUUCAAGAUUCAUGCUUUAUAUCUCCACACAUGUAAAUUCAUCUUUCAAAAUCAUAAAUAUCAAGAUUUCAUAAUAAUCAUCAUAAGAUAUGGGUUCAUGCUUCAAAUUCAUAAAAAUCAAAUAAAAAUCAUGCCUUUGUAAAGAAAAUUACUUUUGGGCACAAGAACAAAAGAGAGUUCUUGUUGAAAAACCCCACAUAUCUUGAAUGAUGAACUUUAGAUCGAUACUCAUUUUUGAGAUGUUAAUCGUGCCUUUGAAUGAUGGUUCUUGGAGUUCUUGAAUAAAUUUGUAGAAUUAAUGGUUAACUUUGGAGGUUCUUGAAGUUGGAUGUAGGAGCUUAGGGUUUUCUUUUUCUUGAAGUUAGAUGUAGGAGCUUAGGGUUUUCUUUUUAAGGGAAUUUGAUGAAAUAUAACAUAUAAUUCUUCUAAUAGGCUUUAAUAUAGGGUUUGGGCGGAUUUUAGGUGAGGGGAAAUGACCAAAACGCCUCUAAAAAUCAAAUAAUUCUUGAAUCUGUCCUUUGGUGGACUGUUUUGAUAGUCUGAAGUAGAUCAACCAUAAUGUUUUACUCCGAUAUCCAAAUUGGAUGAAACCAAUUUCAUUAGAAAGAGGACUCUCAUGUAUUUCCGUUGACAUAUAGUAUCUCACCCAGAUCAUUGUGUACAAGGAUUUAUGAUUGUUUGAAGUUGACCCAAAAAUUUACUUUUGAUAGGCCAAAGUAGAUCAACUUUAACUUUUUGUUCCGAUAGAAAAAUUGGAUGAAACCAAUUUCGUUGGAAAGAGAACUCACAGAGAUUCCCAUUGAUAUAUAGUAGAUCAUCUAGAUCAUUAUGUAAAAGGAGUUUUGAUCGUUUAAAGUUGGAGAAAAAUACACCAGGCCUCAGUACUUUUUCCUGCAUGUUUUACUGUUCACUACUAUUCACGGUUCGAUCGAAAUAUUCAUAACUCAUCGCUCGGGUGUCCGUUUUGAAUGAUCCACAUAUCGUUGGAAAGAUUAUUCGAUACUAUACGCAAUGGUGGGUCAUAAUCUAAGACAUUCCAUACAAAAAAUUUAUAAUUCAUUCCAGAAGAUAGAACCCAACACGUUUACGCACAAAAUUUCAACGAAAAAUUUCCCGGGGUAUUACAUCAUUCCCCCCUUGGAAACAUUCAUCCUCGAAUGACUCUAGACAUGCCAAGAUUAGAUAGGAAAUAGAGCAUACAGCUGAAACCAUUCGUUAGACACAUCACCACUUCGUUUCUCACUCCAAAUGCAACAUAGAAUGCAUAAAUUCAAGAAACUACAGCUGAACAUAUAAUAAAUGACAGCUGAACUGCUGCAACUUUUAUCAAAAGUGCAUGAUUUAGGAAAGAAUGGUACCUUCGUCUUGAUCGGAGUUCGAGGAAAAUAGGUGCGGGUACUUGGAUCGCAUAUCCGCCUCAGCUUUCCAAGUUGCACCCUCAACAGAUUGGUUUUGCCACAACACCUUGACCAAGGGAACUUUUUUGUUCCUUAGUCUUCGUACACUGAAAUCAAGAAUAUCAACACGAAUCUCAUUAAAAGAAAGAUUUUCUUGAAUGUCAGCACUCACAGAGGAAUCCACUACAACAGCAUCGCUAAUAUGCUUUCUAAGCAUGGAGACAUAGAAUAUUGGAUGAACAGACGACAACUCAGAAGGCAACUCGACCUCAUAAGCUACCUUACCAACACGGCUAAGAAUUUUGUAAGGACCAAUAUAAAGGGGACUAAGCUUCCCGUUCUUUCCAAAUCUCUUCACCCCACUCAUGGGUGAAAUUUUCAGAUACACUAGGUCACCAACUUCAAACUCAAGGUCUCUCCUUCUAACAUCCGCAUAUGACUUCUGACGACUCUGUGCAGUUUUCAACCUUUCCCUAAUCAACUUAACUUUUUCCAUAGCCUCAAAUACCNNNNNNNNNNNNNNNNNNNNNNNNNNNNNNNNNNNNNNNNNNNNNNNNNNNNNNNNNNNNNNNNNNNNNNNNNNNNNNNNNNNNNNNNNNNNNNNNNNNNNNNNGUACCAAGACCCUUCUGAAAAGCUUUCCAAAAUUGUGAAGUGAACUGAGUACCCCUAUCCAAAAUAAUAGACAAGGGAACUCCAUGCAGUCUGACUAGCUCUCGGAUAUACAAUCUAGUAUAAUCCUCAACAGUAUUUGAAGUAUGAACAGGCAAGAAAUGAGCAGACUUAGUAAACCUAUCAACCACAACCUAAAUGGAAUCAUGAUGGCAUCGGGAAGGAGGUAAACCAAUCACAAAGUCCAUAUUUAUCUCUUCCCACUUCCAGGUGGGAAUACUAAACUCUUUCAUUAUACCACCAGGUCUUUGGUGUUCAACCUUAACCUGUUGGCAUACUGCACACUUAGCUACAAACGCUACUAUAUCUUUCUUCAUGCCACUCCACCAAUAGAUUUCCCGCAAGUCUCGGUACAUCUUGGUGGCACCAGGAUGAAAAGAAUAUCGUGCCCUGUGCGCUUCAGCCAUAAUCCUCUAUCUCAGGUCAUCAACAUUCGGGACACACAAUCUAUCCUGCAAUCUCAACGCACCAUCUCCCCCUUGGGAGAAAACCACUACUUUUUGGUCCUUAACUGACUCCUUCAGUCUGACCAAACUAGCAUCUAAGUAUUGCUUUUCCUUCACUUUCGAAACCAAGGAGGAUUCAGAACUACUCUGAACCCCUAUACUACCUUCAGUAGAGUCAAACUACCUAACCCCCAAUUUAGCCAAACGAUGUACAUCACGAACCAACUCUUUCUUACCUUUUACCACAUGCAAAAAACUACCCAUGGACACUCUACUUAGGGCAUCCGCCACAACAUUGGCCUUGCCCGGAUGGUACAACACACUCAUAUUAUAGUCCUUUAACAAUUCUAACCAUCGUCUCUGCCUAAGAUUCAAUUCUCUCUGGGUAAACACAUACUGUAGACUCUUAUGAUCAAUGAAAACAUCAACAUGUACACCAUACAAAUAGUGUCUCUAGAUUUUCAAAGCAAACACAACAGAAGCCAACUCAAGGUCAUAGGUGGGGUAAUUUUUCUCAUGGGGCUUCAACUAUCUAGAAGCAUCAGCUAUCACCUUACCCUUCUACAUCAAUACGCAACCCAAACAUACUCUCGAAGCAUCACAGUACACCACAAAACCAUCAACAUCAUUAGGCAAAGUCAAAACAGGGGCUGAAGUGAGUCGAGUCUUCAACUCUUGAAAACUCUUCUCACAAGAUUCGGACAACAAGAACUUCACUUUCUUUUGGGUCAACCGAGUCAUAGGAGACACUAUAGAGGAGAAACCCUCAACAUAACGGAGGUAAUAGCUAGCUAAACCCAAGAAACUUUGGAUAUCAGUCGGAGAAAUAGGUCUAGGCCAAUUUCUAACAGCUUCGGGCUUUUGGGGAUCAACUCUAAUAGCCUCGGAAGAAAUGUAUGACCCAGAAAAGCAACUGACCUUAGCCAAAACUCACACUUACUAAACUUGUCAAACAACUUGUGAUCUCUAAGCGUUUGCAAGACAGUUCAGAGAUGAUCAGAAUGUUCAUCCUCACUACAGGAGUACACCGGUAUAUCAUCGAUGAACACUAUGACAAACAUAUCCAGAUAUGGUCUGAACACUUGAUUCACCUUGAUACAUACGACCUGCUACCUUGCUCCUGCCUACCUCUAGGCAUGGGAGCACUAGCAGAUAACGGUACUGGCAUAGACGAACGAUCCUGAUACUGAGGGCGACUCUCUCCCUGCGAUCUAGUUUGACCCUGUCCGUGCUGCUCAGACCUAGCUCUCUUAUUCCCUCUCAUUCUAUCUCUCUCCUUAAUCUUAUCUGUCUUAAUCUAUUGGGCAUGAGUCUUCAUCCUAGAAAGAUUCAUCUCACUACUCAGCAUAGCAGACCUACACUCCUUAACCACAUAACUAGACACUCCAGUCACAAACUUACUUAUACUAGCCCGAUUAUCAGCCACUAAAUUAGGAGCAUACUUAGACAACUUAUUGAACUUUAGAUAGUACUCCCUAACAAUCAUAGAGCCCUGUCGCAGGUUUAUAAACUCUUCCACCUUCUCCUCCCUCAUCUCCAAAGGGAAAAACUUAUCCAGGAAUGCAUCCUGGAACUCUUUCCAAGUUGUAGGGAUAGCUCCCUCACCUCUACCUUUCCUCCAAGCAACAACCUAGUCAUAAAAAAGGUCUUUCAACCUAUACGCAGCCAACUCCACACUAUGUUCCUCAGAUAUACAUGCAUCACCUGAGUAAUCUUCCGUACCUCCUCUAAAACAACCAUGGAUCCUCAUCAGACUUGGACCCAUAGAAUUUCGGUGGAUUUAUCCGCAUGAAGUCACGAAUCCUGGCAGUAGCUGAAUCACCUCCCUACUGCUGUGGAGCCGGGGCUGGGUUGCCCUGAAUAUUUGUAUUAACAGCUUGGGCUAGCGCCUGAAAGGAUGCCUGAAAUUCAGCAUGAGACACAUUUUCAUUCAAUGGGUUAGCGAGUUGAGGUUGCUGACCAUCAUUAUUCUUCCAGAUCGACGUGGAGGCAUAUUUUUGAAAGAUAAGAGCACAAAUCAAUAGCAGAGAGAGACAUUUUAAGCACGAUAGACUUCUGAAAGAAAGAAUCACACUUUUUCCUAAAACGUCUUAUAGCAUCUUGCUCAUAGAUAUGGCGCGCUACACACCGAUAAUCAAGACUCUGCUUAACGCAGCUUUUCAGACUCCCUAGGACACCUUAAAACCUUAGGCUCUGAUACCAAGUUUGUAACGCCCUGGAAAACAGAUCCCGGAGCAUCACACGGUGCUUGAGGCUAUGAGUAGCCCCAAGCUAACCCUUUGAGCCAUUUUCAUUCAAUUUAACACAAAUCAAUGGGGUUUCCAUAAAUAACCCUCAAAUAUCAACAGAGUAAUCAUCAUCCAAGAAUAAAAGAAUUUCAGAAAGAUAACAAAAUACGACUUAUUAGUCAACACCNNNNNNNNNNNNNNNNNNNNNNNNNNNNNNNNNNNNNNNNNNNNNNNNNNNNNNNNNNNNNNNNNNNNNNNNNNNNNNNNNNNNNNNNNNNNNNNNNNNNNNNNNNNNNNNNNNNNNNNNNNNNNNNNNNNNNNNNNNNNNNNNNNNNNNNNNNNNNNNNNNNNNNNNNNNNNNNNNNNNNNNNNNNNNNNNNNNNNNNNNNNNNNNNNNNNNNNNNNNNNNNNNNNNNNNNNNNNNNNNNNNNNNNNNNNNNNNNNUGGAAAGGAGCCGAGUAUAUAGGGGUGUAUGUAGUUGUAUAAACAUCAUCAUCAUAAAUAUUUAUAAGAAAUAUGCAGGAUGUAUGAAAGACUCACAUAGCCUGAAGAAAAUCAUCAUAAUCAUGAGAGGAUGAAAUAAGGACAAUAACACAAGUGAGUCAUCAUAUAAUAUGUCAAUCACUUUCAGUUCAGCAAGAAUAUCAAUCCUCAUAAUAUAAAUAUCAUUUAAAUCUUUCGAAAGAAUAACUUUCACAAUUCCACUUUCAAAUCACUUCACCAUGCACCAUAGAUACAAGGAAACACACACACACUGGGAGAUCCUAUAACCAACAUAAACUAUGUGAGCUACAUGGAGUCGAACGUACAAUCCACGUUGGGGAGAGCCAUCCUAUCCUUGCCAUCGGAGUAGGACUAUUGAUAUCAAAUNNNNNNNNNNNNNNNNNNNNNNNNNNNNNNNNNNNNNNNNNNNNNNNNNNNNNNNNNNNNNNNNNNNNNNNNNNNNNNNNNNNNNNNNNNNNNNNNNNNNNNNNNNNNNNNNNNNNNNNNNNNNNNNNNNNNNNNNNNNNNNNNNNNNNNNNNNNNNNNNNNNNNNNNNNNNNNNNNNNNNNNNNNNNNNNNNNNNNNNNNNNNNNNNNNNNNNNNNNNNNNNNNNNNNNNNNNNNNNNNNNNNNNNNNNNNNNNNNNNNNNNNNNNNNNNNNNNNNNNNNNNNNNNNNNNNNNNNNNNNNNNNNNNNNNNNNNNNNNNNNNNNNNNNNNNNNNNNNNNNNNNNNNNNNNNNNNNNNNNNNNNNNNNNNNNNNNNNNNNNNNNNNNNNNNNNNNNNNNNNNNNNNNNNNNNNNNNNNNNNNNNNNNNNNNNNNNNNNNNNNNNNNNNNNNNNNNNNNNNNNNNNNNNNNNNNNNNNNNNNNNNNNNNNNNNNNNNNNNNNNNNNNNNNNNNNNNNNNNNNNNNNNNNNNNNNNNNNNNNNNNNNNNNNNNNNNNNNNNNNNNNNNNNNNNNNNNNNNNNNNNNNNNNNNNNNNNNNNNNNNNNNNNNNNNNNNNNNNNNNNNNNNNNNNNNNNNNNNNNNNNNNNNNNNNNNNNNNNNNNNNNNNNNNNNNNNNNNNNNNNNNNNNNNNNNNNNNNNNNNNNNNNNNNNAGGGAAUUUGAUGAAAUAUAACAUAUAAUUCUUCUAAUAGGCUUUAAUAUAGGGUUUGGGCGGAUUUUAGGUGAGGGGAAAUGACCAAAACGCCUCUAAAAAUCAAAUAAUUCUUGAAUCUGUCCUUUGGUGGACUGUUUUGAUAGUCUGAAGUAGAUCAACCAUAAUGUUUUACUCCGAUAUCCAAAUUGGAUGAAACCAAUUUCAUUAGAAAGAGGACUCUCAUGUAUUUCCGUUGAUAUAUAGUAUCUCACCCAGAUCAUUGUGUACAAGGAUUUAUGAUCAUUUGAAGUUGACCCAAAAAUUUGCUUUUAUUGGCUGAAGUAGAUCGACCAUAACUUUUUGCUCCGAUAGACAAAUUGGAUGAAACCAAUUUCAUUGGAAAGAAGACUCGUAGAGCUUUCCGUUGAUAUAUAGUAUAUCACCCAUACCAUUAUGUACAAGGAUUUAUGAUCUUUUAAAUUUGGAGCAGAAAUACGCCAGGCCUCAGUACUUUUCCUGCACGUUUUGCUGUUCACUACUAUUCAUAGUUCGAUCGGAAUGUUCAUAACUCGUGGCUCGGGUGUCCGUUUUGGAUGAUCCACAUAUUUUUGGAAAGAUUAUUUGAUACUAUAUGCAAUGGUGGUUCAUAAUAUAAGAUAUUUUUCACGGAAAAUUUAUAAUUCAUUCUAGAAGACAGAACCCAACACGUUUACGCACAAAAUUUCAACGAAAAAUUUCCCGGGGUAUUACAUAAACCCAUUUACAUGGAAUGGACUUCUUACCAGCAGGAAAAGGGAAAAUAUCCCAUGUAUGAGUGUCUUUCAAAACCUUAAAUUCUUUCAUCAUGGAUUUCUGCCAGGCAAGAUUGGAAACACCUGUAACGCCCCGCAUUUCGGGCUAUAAUAUAGACCAUAAUUUUGAUGCGUUGAUAAUCCCGAAGCCAUAAAAUCCUAUGCCAAUACGGCAUGUUAAUUUUUUGUGUAGCAUAGGAAUCCAUUCAAACUUGAAUUUAGACCAUAGAGGUCCUUCAACCCAUGGACGAGUUGAAACUAUUUCGAUCGACUAAGUUUUAGUGGAUGUUGUGAAGUGUGUCAGAUUUCAUAUACCAUAACUCUCUGUAUAUGUCAAAUUAGGAAGCAUACUAUGUGUCAAAUUAUAGGUAUUCGAGUUAGUUUUCCAAUGAUGUCAAUUUUACUAAAAUCUGACACCCGAGUAAGAAGUUAUGGCCUUUCAAAGUGACAUGCGUCGCCUAACCAAUCGCCCAUGGCCACUGGAAAGCAUAGGUGAUAGCCUAUGUAAACAUAGACAAUAGCCUAGGUGGCGCCUAUAUAAACAUAGGCUAUGGGAUGGGCGGCGCCUAUGUACAGAAUUCAAGUAACUUAAACACUUUGUUUUGGGGACAAAGUGGUCCUUUUCCACCCUUACUUAGUCCUAAAACACGAAAUUCAGUUCCAAGGACCCCAAAAUAUACCUUUAUUCAUCAAAAGUAAUCAAAUAUUCUCCUCGGCAUUUCAAAAUAAAAACCCAAAUAGUUCAAGAUUCAACCGUAGGUUUUCAAAGAUAAUUACAUAUUUGGGAUCACCAAUCCGCAAGCUUCAAGAAACAUCUAUUAUCCUUGAAAUAGAGGUACGUGGGGUUAUCCUAAAAUCUUAUAGGUGUAUUUUUUAUGAACAUGCAUUCUUUUAAAUGGGGAUUUUCAAUCAAAUGCUAAUAACUUGCUUUCAAUAUGAUUUCUAAGUCAUUUUUCUUUGUCAUGGGAAUUGUUUGCCUAUAUACUUCAAUGGUUAAAACCAUGCAUAUGUGAUUUGAGAUUUUCCAUGGAAGUUUGAUAAACAUGAAUGAUAAAUUGCUUUCAAAUUCCCAUGAUAAUGUCUUGAUACCCCAUAUUAUAUUGUGAUCGACAAAAGAGAGCAUGAAUUUGAAAUAAAUAUUGUUCACCACUUAUAAAUGAUGAAUCACCUUGUUUUUUUACAUGAUUAUGCAUAUGUGGAAGUGAUAUUGAGGACUUUCAAGUCGGGUAUGACGAUACCCUACAGAAUAUGAUAUAUGAUUGAAAUCAGAUGAAAUUUGAAUACAUCAAUUUUACAUGAGAUAGGUGGUGCCCGAAGAAGGCGUUUGAGUGUAAGGGCUCAUUGCUGGAAAACGUGUUUGCCGACAUGGAGAUUUGGUACCAGGCUAAGUGAUCUUGUGUACUUGACUUUAUGUCAUUCCCAAAUUGGGACUAUAGGUAGGAGCCCUGGCUAAGUGAUCUUGGGCACUACCAUUGGGUCGAGACACCAUGCUAUGUGAUCUUGUGUGUCUCUCGCUCACUUAUCCUCUAAUUUUGGCGGAAACCGAGGUUAGACAGUUGGUGUAAAUUAUGUAUGGUAUUCCACCUAGCUCAAUUGCAUUUCAUUAUUGUUGAGAAUCUAUUGCAUUACGCCCAUGUGUUUUCAAAUGAUUUGAUACGAAAUUUCUUUAUAAUGGCUCUCAACUAUAUUUUGUAAAAAUAUUAUGUUUUGUUUUGAUAUCUCUGCAUGCCAGUAAUUUUGUGCUGACCCCCUCCCCUUUCCAACCUCUCAGGUUCAGAGGCCCAGUCUAGGGGUCAAGAGAAUCAGUAGAUCAUUUAGACAGAGUUGCAGAGACAAGUGGUGAGCCUUCUAUGUUUCGGAAGGUCUUAUGUCCUGCAGUCCUUUUAUCUUAUAUUCCGUUUUGGGGUCUACCGGGGCCUUGUCCCAGUUUAUAUAUGGUUAUUUGACUCAGUCAUUUGUUAGAGAUUUUUGCAGACAGUUGUUUAGAGGUUGAUUGAUAUUGGGGGAACCUUAUCUCCCCGUUAUUGUUUCUUUUCAUAUUUAUGACCAUUUUUCUGAAUUAUUGUGUUUCUUCCACAUUACUUUGAUCAUAUGAAUUAGGUGUAUGAUUACUAGAUAGGGGUGUUUCGGGCCUCCAUGGUUUGAAAUGCUCGUCACGACCAGGCCCUGGUUAGGGUCAUGGCAAAGUUGGUAUCAGAGCACGGUUCAUGGUCGCAGGGUGUCUGCAAAAUCGCGUCGGGUAGAGUCUUGUUUAUGGGUGUGUAGCGUGCUACACUUAUAAGUAGGAGGCUGCUAGGCAUUUAGUAAAUGUUUCCCAUCUUUGUGAUUUAGUUCAUGCUUCAGAGUCUGAACUGUCCCCUAAUCAAUGAUCACUUGUGUUUUAGAAACACAGUUAUGCCUCCACGUCGUAUCAUCGAUCAGAAUGCUUAGGCAGAUGAGGUCCUUACCACCCAUGGGAUACAGACCCGUAACGGAGCUCACGCUAAAGAAUUUGUCCCUACUCCGGGAGUCCCUCCAGUCUUGACCAGUCCACCUCGGUCUCUGCAGACUAAUGUCAACCGUCCCCCAACUGCUUAGAGAGAUAUUUCAAAUGCAGAAUUCAGACAUUCUAUUCAUAUGUUGACAUAGUUGGUAGCUAACUAUGCUUAACGAUCGGNNNNNNNNNNNNNNNNNNNNNNNNNNNNNNNNNNNNNNGGACAUUUCAUGAAGAUGAACCCACCUAAGUUCACUGGCACCAAGGUGGAGGAAGAUUCACAGGUGUUCAUGGAUGAGAUGGAAAAGAUCUUUAAGGUGAUGCAUGUGGAUGAGGUUGAAAGGGUGGAACUAGCAACCUAUCAGCUCAAGGACAUUGUAAAUCAGUGGUAUACUGACUGGGAAGAUGCAAAAGGUGAGAGUGCUGAGCCCACAGUUUGGUAAGAAUUUGUGGAAGCUUUCCUUGAUCGAUUCUUUCCUCUGGAAUUGAGAGAGACCAAAGUGGAAGAUUUUAUAAAUCUGAAGCAGGGCAGUAUGAGUGUCCAGGAGUACACUUUGAAGUUUAAUAAACUAGCCGGCUAUGCACCAGAGUUGACUAGUAAUAUGAGAGCCCGGAUGAGGAAAUUUGCAUCUGGCCUUGCUGAUAACCUGGUAGUUGAGUGCCAAGGGUCUAUUUUGAAUAAGGAGUUAGACUUUGCUUGACUGACCAUUCAUAUGCAGUAGGUAGAAGAGAAGAAGAAAAAGAUUGCUGAAUCUAGAGAGAAAGACAGAAAGGCUAAGAGAGCUAGAUCUGUGGACCAGCACCAGAGUCGGCUGCAGAGUGGUAACUAGGGUAAUAAGUGGUUGAAUAAGAAGAAGCUUUGGAAUAAUAAACAAUCAGCAGCCAGCGCCCCAGCACCCAGACCAUCGACAGACAGACAAACUCAGAGUUUUCAGACUCCUCAUGGAUCCAAAGCUCUAAGUACACAGUCCCAGGGCAGUGUGACCCAGCAGCAUCGUAAUUAUCCGCAGUGCAAGGUUUUUGGCAGGAAUUAUCUAGGGAAGUUCUGGUUUGAGGGGAGAAACUGUUAUAAUUGUGGCAAAGUGGGUCACCUUUAGAGAGAUUAUCCUUCUGCUGGAGGAAAUAUCAGGGGGAGGGGGGUUAAGUCCCAAGCCUCCUUCAUAGCUCCUUUUCCUAAGGGUGCCCCUUCAGCUGCUGAGAGUAGUCGUAACCGAUUAUAUUCUUUGACUAACCGCCAGGAGGCAGAAGCUUCACCAGAUGUUGUCACCGGUAUGUUACGAAUCUUUUCUCGUGAUGUUUAUGUACUGCUUGAUCUCGGGUCUACUUUAUCUUAUGUGACCCCUUAUGUGGCUGUUGGUUUUGGGUUUGAGCCCGAAGUUAUUGUAGAACCCUUCUCUGUUUCUACUCCUGUAGGUGAUUCUGUUGCUGCUAGAAGGGUGUAUAGAAAUUGUGCCGUGUCUAUUCAUAGUAGGGAAACUGUGGCAGACCUUAUAGAACUAGAUAUGAUAGAUUUUGAUGUCAUCCUUGGGAUGGACUGGCUCCAUUUGUGUUAUGCCACCCUUGAUUGCAGAACCCGAAAGGUCACUUUUUAUUUCCAGAAUGAGACACAAAUUGUAUGGGCAGGGAGUCCUGUGGAACCUAGAGGUCACUUUAUCUCUUAUCUUAGAGCCCGAAAGCUUAUCUCCAAAGGUUGUAUGUAUCAUCUAAUCUGAGUAAAAGAUUCAAAAGUUGAAAACUUUCCUCUGUAGUCAGUCCCUGUAGUGAAUGAAUUCCCAUAAGUCUUUCCCGAGGUUCUCCUAGAGAUACCCCUGAUAAAGAGAUAGAUUUUGGUAUUGAUGUGUUGCAGAUACUCGUCCUAUUUCUAUUUCACCAUAUAGAAUGGCUCCCGCGGAACUAAAGGAGCUAAAGGAACAGCUUGCAGACCUCCUAAACAAAGGUUUUAUUCGUCCUAGUGUUUCCCCAUGGGGUGCACCCGUGCUCUUCAUGCAAAAGAAGAAUGGGUCCCUUUGUAUGUGCAUAGACUACCGCCAGUUGAAUAAGGUCAUGAUUAAAAAUAAAUAUCCUCUUCCUAGGAUUGAUGAUCUUUUUGACCAGCUUCAGAAUGCCAAGUAUUUUUCAAAAGUAGACCUUCCUUCGGGUUACCAUCAGUUGAAAGUUAGAGAGUCAGGCAUACCCAAGACAGAAUUCUGAAUCCGAUAUGGUCACUAUGAAUUUCUAGUCAUGUACUUCGGGUUGACUAACGCCCCUGCAGCCUUCAUGGAUCUUAUGAAUAGAGUGUUUUGUCAAUUUCUUGUCUUGUUCGUCAUUGUAUUUAUUCUGAUCUAUUCUAAGAGUAAAGAGGAUCCCGCUAAUCACCUCCAAAUUAUUCUUCAGACCCUUAAGGAUCAUCAGCUGUAUGCCAAAUUUUCUAAGUGUGAAUUCUGGUUAGAUGCUAUUGCCUUCUUAGGGCAUAUUGAGCCCAGUGAUGGGAUAAUAGCGGGUCACCAGAAAGUUGAAGCAGUGAGAAAAUGGCCCAGACCCAUGACUCCAACCGAUAUUCGGAGCUUCUUGGGUUUGGCGGGGUAUUACAAAAUGUUUGUAAAGAGUUUUUCUUCCACAGUUGCUCUAUUUACUAAACUGACUCAGAAAAAGAUGAAGUUUGUGUGGUCUGACUUGUGUGAAAAUAGUUUUGAGAAAUUAAAGGACAAGCUGACUACUGCUACUAUUUUGACCCUUCCGAGGGUGUAGAUGAUUUUAUGAUUUAUUGUGAUGCGUCCCGUGUGGGACUUGGUUGUGUAUUAAUGCAGCGUGGUAAGGUGAUAGCUUAUGCAUCUAGGCAGUUAAAGUUGCAUGAGCACAAUUACCCUACUCAUGACUUGAAGUUAGAAGUGGUGGUGUUUGUACUUAGAAUCUGGAGGCACUAUCUCUAUGGAGUGCAUAUUGAUAUUUAUACUGACCAUAAGAGUUUGCAGUAUAUUUUCUCACAGAAAGAAUUGAACCUCAGGCAGAGGCAUUGGAUAGAGCUUUUGAAAGACUAUGCUAUGAGUCCGCAUUACCAUCCGGGCAAGGAAAAUGUUGUAGCCGACGCCUUCAGCAGGUUGUCUAUGGGCAGCCUCUCUCAUGUAGAAGAAGUAAAGAAAGAGAUGGUGAAGGAUAUUCACCGCCUUGAAAAUCUGGGAGUGCGACUCUUAGAUUUCAAAGAUGGAGGGGUGAUUGUUCAUGAGUUAGCUAAGUCAUCCCUUUGUGCUGAAGUUAAAGAAGCAGGUUGAAGAUCCCAUCUUGAUGAAAAUCAAGAGAGAUGUGGGUCAACAAAAGGUUAUGUCGUUUGAAAUUGGUGGUGAUGGUAUUCUAAGAUUUCAGGGUAGGUUGUGCAUUUCGGAUAUUAAUGGACUGCAGUAAAGAAUCUUUGAUGAGGCGCACACUUUAAGGUAUGUCGCUCACCCAUGCCUUACUAAGAUGUACCAUGAUCUGAAAACCUUGUAUUGGUGGAAUAACAUGAAACGUGAUGUAGCUAAUUUUGUGUCCAAGUGUUUGAACUAUCAGCAAGUGAAGGUAGAACACAUGAGGCCAGGUGGUACAUCCCAAGAGAUAGCCCUGCCUUUAUGGAAGUGGGAGAUGAUAAAUAUGGACUUCAUUAUAGGACUUCCAAGAUCUCGAAACCAGUAUGAUUCUAUAUGGAUGAUUGUAGAUCGGUUGACAAAGUCAGCCCACUUUUUGCCUGUGAGGACUAAUUAUUCGGGGAGAGUUUUAUGCUAAGAUUUACAUUGAGGAGAUAGUUCGAUUGCAUGGGGAACCAGUGUCCAUUAUAUCCGAUAGAGGUAUGCAGUUUUCAUCUUAGUUCUGGAGAUCUUUUCAGAAGGGUUUAGGUACACAAGUGAAUUUGAGCACAGCUUUCCACCCUCAGAUGAAUGGGAAAGCUGAGCGUACCAUUCAGACCCUUGAAGAUAUGUUGAGGGAAUGCGUCAUUGAUUUCAAAGGUAGUUGGGUAGAUCACCUGCUACUGGUUGAAUUCGCUUACAAUAAAAGCUACUAUGCCAGCAUUAAGAUGGCUUUUUUUGAGGGUUUGUAUGGUAGGAGAUAUAGGUCUCGGAUAGGAUGGUAUGAAGUAGGUGAGACUCAGUUUUAUGGGUCUGAUCUUGUUCAUCAGGUGGUGAAGAAAGUGAAAAUCAUUAGAGAAUGACUCAAGACUGCUCAGAGUCGUCAGAAGUCCUAUGCUGAUGUUCAGAGAAGAGAACUAGAGUUUGAAAUUGGUGAUUGGGUAUUUCUCAAGGUUUCUCCUAUGAAAGGAGUUAUACGGUUUGAAAAAAGGGGUAAAUUGAUCCCUCGUUAUGUAGGGCCAUAUCAAAUUUUGAAAAAGAUUGGUACAGUUGCUUUGGAAAAAGGGUAAAUUGAGCCCUUGCUACGUAGGGCCAUAUCAGAUUCUGAAAAAGAUUGGUACAGUUGCAUAUGAGCUAGAAUUUCCUACAAGUUUGGGUUCCAUUCAUCCGGUAUUCCAUAUAUCCAUGUUGAAGAAAUGCAUUGGAGAUCAUUCUAUGGUAUUGCCAGUAGAGGCUAUCAAAGUGACAGAGCCCUUGUCUUACGAAGAAGAGCUCGUUGAAAUUUUAUAUCACCAAGUUUGAAAGCUGAGGAGCAAAGAGAUAGCCUCUGUAAAGGUACUGUGGAGGAAUCAAAAAGUCAAAGAAGCAACUUGGGAGUCAGAAGAUGACAUGAGAAUUAGAUAUUCCAAUUUGUUUGCUUCGAUGGAGGAUGAGACAGAAGGUACUAUUCUUAUCUUAUCAUUCCUAGCCUUUUAUUAUGAUAGAAAUCGUGUCUGUCUGUGUCCCACAUCAUCAUUUGGGGAUGAAUGAUCCUAAGGGGGGAUAAUGUAAUGCCCUGCAUUUCGGGCUACAAUAUAGACCAUUAUUUCAAUGCAUUGAUAAUCCCGAAGCCAUAAAAUCCUAUGCCAAUACGGCAUGUUAAUGAUUUGUGUAGCAUGUGAAUCCAUUCAAUCUUGAAUUUAGACCAUAGAGGUCCUUCAACUCAUGGACGAGUUGAAACUAUUUCAAUCGACUAAGUUUUAGUGGACGUUGUAAAUUGUGUCAGCUUCCAUCGACCAUAACUCUCUGUAUAUAUCGAAUUAGGAACCCAACUAUGUGUCAAAUGAUAGGUUUUCGAGUUAGCUUUCCAACGAGCAAGAAGUUAUGACCUUUCGAAGUGAUAUGCGUCGCCUAACCAAUCGCCCAUGGCCACUGGAAAGCAUAGGCGAUAGCCUAGGCGAUGCCUAUGUAAACAUAGGUGAUAGCCUAGGCGGCGCCUACAUAAACAUAGGCAAUGGGAUGGGUGGCGCCUAUGUAAAGAAUUCAAGUGACUUAAACACUCCGUUUUGGGGACAAAGUGGUCCUUUUCCACCCUUACUUAGCCCUAAAACACGAAAUUCAGUUCCAAGGACCCCAAAAUACACCUUCAUUCAUCAAAAGUGCUCAAAGAUUCUCCUUAUGGUUUCAAAAUAAAAACCAAAAUAGUUUAAGAUUUGACCAUAGGUUUUCAAAGAUAAUUACGUAUUUGGGAUUACCAAUCCGCAAGAUUCAAGAAACAUCUAUUAUCCUUGGAAAUAGAGGUACGUGGGAUUAUCCUAAAAUCUCAUGGGUGUAGUUUUUAUGAACAUGCAUGCUUUUAAAGGGGGUUUUUCAAUCAAAUGCUAAUAACUUGCUAUCAAUAUGAUUUCUAAGUCAUUUUUCUUUAUGUCAUGGGAAUUGUUUGCCUAUAUACUUCAAUGGUUGAAACCGUGCAUAUGUGAUUUGAGAUUUUCCAUGGAAGUUUGAUAAAUAUGAAUGAUAAAUUGCUUUCAAAUUCCCAUGAUAAUGUCUUGAUAGCCCAUAUCAUAUUGUGAUCAACAAAAGAGAGCAUGAAUUUGAAAUAAAUAUUGUUCACCACUUGUAAAUGAUGAAGAACCUUAGUUUUUACUUGAUUAUGCAUAUGUGGAAUUGAUAUUGAGGACUUGCUAGUCGGGUAUGACGAUACCCUACAGAAUAUGAUAUGUGAUUGAAAUCAGAUAAAAUUUAAAUGCAUAGAUUUUACAUGAGAUAGGUGGAUGCCCGAAGAAGGCGUUUGAGUGUAAGGGCUCAUCAUUGGAAAAUUUGUUUGCCGACACGGAGAUUUGGUACCAGGCUAAGUGAUCUUGUGUACUUGACUUUAUGUCAUUCCCAAAUUGGGACUAUAGGUAGGAGCCCGGGCUAAGUGAUCUUGGCCACUACCAUUGGGUCGAGCCACCAUGCUAUGUGAUCUUGUGUGUUUCUCCCUCACUUAUACUCUAAUCUCAGCGGUAACUGAGGUUAGACAGUUGGUGUAAAUUAUAUAGGGUAUUCCACCUAGCUCGGUUACCUUUCAUUGUUGUUGAGAAACUAUUGCAUUACGCCCAUAUGUUUUCAAAUGAUUUGAUCUGAAAUUGCUUUAUAAUGGCUCUCAACUAUAUUUUGUUUUGAUAUCUCUGCAUGCUAGUUCUUUUGUGCUGACCCCCUCCCCUCUCCAACCUCUCAGGUUCAGAGGCCCAGUCUAGGGGUCAAGAGAAUCAGUAGAUCAUUCAGACAGAGUUGCAGAGACAAGUGGUGAGCCUUAUAUGUUUCAGAAGGUCUUAUGUCCUGCAAUCCUUUUAUCUUAUAUUCAGUUUUGGGGUCUACUAGGGGCCUUGUCCCAGUUUAUAUACAGUUAUUUGACUUAGUCAUUUGUUAGAGAUUUUCGCAGACAGUUGUUUAGAGGUUGAUUGAUAUUGGGGGAACCUUAUCUCCCUGUUAUUUUGUUUCUUUUCAUAUUUAUGACCAUGUUUCCGAAUUAUUGUGUUUCUUCCGCAUUACUUUGAUCAUAUGAAUUAGGUGCAUGAUUACCAGACAGAUAGGGGUGUUUCGGGCCUCGAUGGUUCGAAAUGCUCGUCACGGCCAGGCCUUGGUUCGGGUCGUGACACAACCUGAUGGUAGAAUUGAGGUUCUUGCAAGGAAGUCUCAAAAGGUAGAGGAAUAAUCCUAGAACUUGAAACAGAAUUGCACACAUAAUCAUUGAGGUAAACUGGAGGAUGAGAUGAUCUAGAAGACUUUCUUUGGGCAGAGACAGGAACAGAAGUUGGGAUAACAGUGGUAGAAAUUAGGACAAUUGAAGGAGAAGAGGGAUUAUGAGGUAUAGGGGGGAGAGAGAUCAGGAGGAAAAAGAUGAGGGGAAGUAGAAGAUGAAUAAGGGAAAACAUUUUCAUAGAAUAUGACAUCCCUGGAGUGAAAAAUGCUAUGAUCAGAUAGUCUCAAAAGUUAAUAACUUUUCUUGCCAUGACUAUACCCAAGAAAAACCGAGGGGUAUGACCUGGAUUGAAACUUAUCUCUAUGUGGUUUAGGUACAGCAGCAAAACAUAGAAAGCUUUCAAAUGUGUAAGAGAAGGUGAAAUACCAUGAAGUAACUCAAAAGGGGAUUUGUAAUUCAAAAGUGGAGUUGGACACCUAUUUAUCAGAUAAGCAACAGUAAGAACACAUUCUCCUCAAUAUUUGACUGGGAGUUUGGAUUGAAAUAAAAGGGCUCUAGCAGUUUCAAGAAGACGCUUGUGUUUCCUCUUCACCACACCAUUUGGUUGUGGUGUGUGAGGACAAGAGGUUUGAUGCAAGAUUCAUGUGUUGAAAAAAAAUAGAAUUUGCUGAACUACACCCCCAAUUCAAGGGCAUUGUUAGAUCUGAACAGUGGUGUUAAAUUGGGUUUUAACCAUAAAGAUGAAAGAUUGUAUGAGAGUGAAGGCAUUACCCUUGGUAUGGAAGAGAUGUGUCCAAGUAGCUCUAGUAAAGUCAUCUACUAUUGUCAAGAAAUAUUUAAAACCAUUAUAAGUUUGAGUAUGAUAAGGACCCUAAAGAUCCAAGUGAUUUAAUUGAAAAGGACAAGUGGAGUGAAUGGAACUCUUAGGGAGGGGGAGUCUUUGUUGCGUAGCCAUGGACAAAUAGGGCAUAAGCAGGAUUGUUUAUUAGGUAGGACAUCAAAUAAACAAGAAAUUUUAACAACAGAAAAAUCAAAGAAGAAAAUUCAACAUAUUAGAACAUAAGAACAACAACCAAUAACAUACCUAAUGUAAUUUCACAAGUCGAGUCUGAGAAGGUAAGAUGUAUACGGAUCUUACCUGUCUCUGUGGACAGAGGUUAUUUCAAAUAACUCAGAAGAAUUCUAUAUUUCAAUCUCCAAAAUAAUACCUCAUAUUUAUAGGUGUUAACCCAAAUGGUUAGUUAACGGUUAGUUUGAUUUCAUUAAUGGCAGAUAAAAUAAUUUAUUAAAUAANNNNNNNNNNNNNNNNNNNNNNNNNNNNNNNNNNNNNNNNNNNNNNNNNNNNNNNNNNNNNNNNNNNNNNNNNNNNNNNNNNNNNNNNNNNNNNNNNNNNNNNNNNNNNNNNNNNNNNNNNNNNNNNNNNNNNNNNNNNNNNNNNNNNNNNNNNNNNNNNNNNNNNNNNNNNNNNNNNNNNNNNNNNNNNNNNNNNNNNNNNNNNNNNNNNNNNNNNNNNNNNNNNNNNNNNNNNNCCUUAUAUUGACUAACCAUUAACUAGCUGUUGGGGUAACACGAAAAUUAAUAAUUUGGAAAAGCAUUCUUUCUCUAAUCUUAUAUUGACUAACCGUUAACUAGCCGUUGGAGUAACACAGGAAUGCUCAUUAACAUUGUGAGAGAACUUUCUCUAAUCUUAAAUCAAACUAACCAUUAACAAGCCGUUGGUAACAUAUGAAUGCUUAUUAUUGAUUUAGAUAAUCUUUCUUACUCUAAUAUUGUUAUGUUUACUUACUAUUUGAUAAAAUUGACAUUAAUGAAAUCAAACUAGCCGUUAACUAACCGUUUGGGUUAACAGCGAUAAUUAGAAGGCAUUAUUUUGGAGAUUGAAAUAUAGAAUUCUUCAGAGUUAUUUGAAACACCCUCUACCAACAAAGACAGGUAAGAUUUUUAUACAUCCUACCUUCUCCAACUCUACUUGUGAAAUUAUAUUAGGUUUAUUAUUGGUUGUUCUUAUCUUCUAAUAUGCUGAAUUUUCUUUCUUGAUUUGUUUCUGUCCCAAUUUAUAACUGAACAUGUUUUAGUGAAUCUUGAGCACAAGUCUAAUUUUCUUAUUCAUUAUUGAGACACCUUAAGCUAAUAGUGAUCCAUAGGAAGUACUACUUUCACAACAAUCUAUACUACUCUAUAAAGAGAUGUAUUUCCAUGAAACUACACUGAAUGUAUUAUCGCUUAUACUACAAAUAAGUAGUAACCUUUUGAAGUUUGUCUGUUAAUAGAAACACAUGAUAAAGUGAACUCUGGGUACUUCUUUUAAACUGUUUUAAUUGCUUACUAUCUAUAACAAGUAUAAAUUCAUUAAGUGUUCAUUAAGAAUAGACAUUUUGGACUCCACUCAUGAAAUUACACUAUAUAGAUUAUUGUUAUAUAGAUUCGCCAUGGAAAACAUGUUCAGCAAAUGUAAAUUAUGAAUUGCAUUCAGAGAGUAAUUUAUAAACUAAUUUUUUGUACAUUUUUGCUAGAGAAAUUGCAGGUAAUUGAGGAAUUAAGUUUUGUUUUCUAUUUCCAUCCAUGGACGAAACUGCGAAGCGACACUGUACCGGAGAAGUUGGUGGCGGCAGCGGCGGUAAAAAAGGAGGAGGAGGAAGAUCCGAUGGCGAUUUUGAGCCGUCAAUGGGUAGAUUUACAAAUCAUAUAAUAAUUGAUGUGUUGGAAAAAAUGGAUUUGGCAUCUCUUUGCACCUCUGCUUGUGUCUCUCCAACCUUCAAUUCUGCCGUUGCAUAUCAUCUUCCUUUUGUUUCGUCUUCUUGUGCUUCUUCUUUUGUUUUGUAAUUAAAUGCCCUAAUUUUAUUGUGUAUGAUUUACUAGUAGACUAUCCAAAACUACUGGAGGCAUUUUAUGGGCUUCACUUUGCUAAUGCGUAUGUGGGCAUUAGCAAGUGUAGCUGGUUCAAACAUUCAUGAUAAGAUAGUGUGAUGAAUCCUCUUAUUAUUGAAUAGAGUAAAAUGCAUGUGGAGAAUGUAGCAUAAACGACUGUCCAUUUGACCAUCUUUAGUUUUGCUAAAUGCGAUUCUUACUUCUGGGAUGAACUUUUCAUACUAGUAUCUUUGAUUUACAGGGAUUCUAUCUGGAUGAAGAGACUCUAAAACAUAUUUUGCGUAGGGUCCCAGGAGCCAAGAGUUUAACUAUUGAGUGCCUCCGAAUGAGGAAUGAUUCCUCCAUCAUCAAUAUUCUCGGUGAGCAUAUCGAAGAUUUGAGUUUGCUCAAAUGUACCUGUCUGUCUUACGACAUUCUGCGUGCACUUGGAGAAUGGUGCCCCAACUUAAGGUAUUCUCCUAUGUCAACAUAUUGGUAAAUUGUUAUUAAAUGCUUCGUUGAUUAUAGUUUCCCAUCUUUGAUAAUAAGAGCUUUAGAAGUGGUUGCAAAUUGCAAUCAAUUUAUCAGGGCUUAGAAGGCGUUCAUCGCCUCCAUUGAUAGAUUUCAGACUGUUAUUAUCCUGAAAUUCUCUCUGCAUAAAUGGAUUUUAUUUAGAUCUAAUGGUUCACUGGAGCCAUUAUCUUUCCACUUGCUGAAGCUGAUUUGUAAUUUUAUUCACGAUAUAUCUGAAGCAGAUUUGUUGAUUUAAAUAACUCGUUUGGGAACCAAUUCAUUUAAAUUUGAAUUUUUUUUUCUUUGCUGCCCUUGAUGAUAUCUGAACUUCUUUAGGCUGCUUGGGCAUAGAAAACUUGAACUGCAUUAUCUUUUGCACUUGGAUUGAUUAAUUUCACUCUAUAUCUCCACCUUCGGAAGAUGGAACAGUCGAGCUAUAAUAAUGUUCAUUGUGGUUACACCUACAAUAUCUUUCUUUCAUACUUUUGUCACUUCUUCCUGGAUUUGUUUCCAAUGUAUGUUUUCUUAUUUCACCUUUUUCUUUUUCUGAAUCAGGUCCUUGCUUAUAGAAUUUGCUGGGUGUGAUGCACCAGAACUUUUCAAAAGGAAACUUGCAGAAAUGCUCCAAAAGGUGCCCUUGUUAGAGGUAAAGUAUUCUCAUCUUUCACAUAUUUUUCCUCUCUUUCUUCUUCAAAUCGUCCCUGAUGCCUCUUCAAGCUAAUUACUCUUUAGAACAAGAGUUUUCCUUUGAUGUUCAAUUUCAUGAGUACUUUUCUUUCCUGCAGUCGCUGUCCAUAACAAUCCGAGGGACCUCACGUGAUGUAUUUGAUGUACGACCUCUUGGACAAUUUCUUCCCCCAAGUUUAAAAAAUUGAAGUUACAGCAAAUGGAUGCACGCCUCUUUGUCUUGUGGUUAGAUGCAAUCAGGAAAAUCCCUCUGUUCAACUUGCGAAGCUUGUCGCUUGUCUUGGACCUUAUAUCAGAUGAUCUUCUCAUCACAGUUGUGCAUCCUCUUCCUCAUUGGUAGAGCUGGAUCUUGAAGACAGACCUUUUACAUUGUCAUCGGUAGGGGACUUGACCAACAUUGGACUACAGGCUCUGAAGUUCUGCGAGUGUCUAAUUGCCCUCUCAAUUGUUCGAAGUAAAAUGAAUUGUCCUGCUUCAUUUACAAGAGUGGACAAUAAAGGCAUGUUCCAUGUUUCUGCAGGUUGUAAAAGGUUGGAAUCAGUGAAACUUGGUGGGUUUGCAAAGGUUACUAAAGCUGGAUAUUUGUCAAUUCUGUAUUCAUGCCGGAAUCUGAAGAAAUUUGAAGUGUUUACUUCACCUCUAUUAUCAGACUCGGUGAUUGAUAAUAUGACAGGAGUUGCAAGGUCCGUAGUUGAAUUAANNNNNNNNNNNNNNNNNNNNNNNNNNNNNNNNNNNNNNNNNNNNNNNNNNNNNNNNNNNNNNNNNNNNNNNNNNNNNNNNNNNNNNNNNNNNNNNNNNNNNNNNNNNNNNNNNNNNNNNNNNNNNNNNNNNNNNNNNNNNNNNNNNNNNNNNNNNNNNNNNNNNNNNNNNNNGGAAAAUUUGCAAGACGUUAUCGGUGUUGGAUGUUGGUUACAUUCCCAAAAUAACUGAUGCAACUAUUUUUACCAUUGCAACUGCUGCUAAGGCAUUAACUGAUUUAUCUUUAAGGUUCUGUAAUGGAGUCACUGAUGCUGCGGUGCAGAUGCUGAUGGAUCGACCAAACCACAACAGUAGUCAACUACAAAUGCUUGAUAUUUGCAGCUGUCAAGGUCUGUCUGCUGAGGCCAUAAUGCUACCUCUGCACCUGUAUGCUUUCCAUCGUUUGCGCUGGCUCGGUAUUGGACUUACUGACAUAGUUGCUAAGAGAGGCAUUUUCACCGCAAUCUGCGAGGCGCGACCCAGGCUUGUUGUGUGCAGUGUUUGCUGCGACUUUGGGUGCUGUGAUGGCUGGCAAUGAAACAAAGUCCGAUGACUGAAACUUAGCUUUUUUCCCUUUUUUUAGGCAUUAUUGUGCUUUAUUUGCUCUGUAUUGUAAUCAACCUUUUGAAUUACAAUGAAUAUCAAAUGCUUUUUUUUUUUGGACCUGCGAUUGUAAUUGCUCAUUAAGUAUCAAUUCAUUGCUACUAGCAUCAAUUGGCAUUACCACUUGGACACACCAUUGCUAGCUAUAUGUGAAACAAACACCUAAUUUUGUUAUUUUCACUCUCUUACCCUACUAUGGAUUACCACCUACUUCAAUGGCAGGUGCAUUAACUACUUAUCUGCCCCAACUCCUUAGGUUUCUGUUGAUCACAUUCUCAAUAGCAGGCCCUCUUAUCUCUUCCUUCUCCGAGCUCUAGUUAUGAAAGAGGGAACUGACUAUCCUCAAGCUCAAGCCAUCUGCUCCACCACAACCCCCGUCUUGUGCCCCCAAAAUUUCUUUUAUAGUUCUCAAAUUUCAUGUUUUGCAUCAUCUUUUUUACAACAUUAAUAAUGAGCUUGUGGUUAUGCCGAUUAAUUCCUUGCCAGUUUCUACCAUGGAAAACAUCUAUCCACUGCCACUUAACAAGAGAUCGUUUGUUACCAACACCAGCAGCAUGAUGUAAACAUUCUAGUCAACCUACACCACCGUUAGGGAUAUACCCAACCACCAGUUAUGGAAGUUAACCUACCAUGCACCCGCACCAGCACUAACUGAAGAAGACUUGCAGAGAGUACAUUUGUAAUUCAGCCUUUUACUGGAGAAAGAAUGGUGGUCAGAAAAAGAUCGCAAUAUCUCAAAAUGUUUUGGGCUUUUACCAUUAUGCUGGACAGUUGUUGAUAUAGCUAUGAUCAAACCAUUUCUAUCUGUAGUAUUUUGUUCAAAUUUGACUUUAUAUAUAUCGUAGAAGCCCAAAGCGAACGCACUUCCAUUUCAUUGCCAAACUGUAGCUGGUCUAAAACUAGAUAUGAUUCGGGAGCCCGAAAAGAUGGUCAUGCCCUAAAAAGUAGACAACAGCCUCAUAUAUAUCAAAGCCAAAAUCCAUAUCUCAAAAUAACUGCAAGAACCAAACUACAACUACAUAUUUCAGUGUAAUCUUACAAAGUGGGUCUGUUGAGGGAAGAGUAUGUGCAAACCUUACCCCUACUGCAGAAGUAGAGAGACUGUUUCCGAUAGACAAAAUUGUAAUUGGAUAAAAAGAUAAGAACCAUACUCAGUUGUGAUGUGAAUUACAUUUUCUGAUAGCCGUCUAAGCAGCACGCCCGGACCCCGGGCCCACCCCCAAAAUCGUGGGUUAUAGCACACCGAUUUGGCCUGAAAAUGCCCCGUUCGCGCCGUUUCAUCUGUUUGUCCACCCAAAUAGGCAUGAAAAUUUAAACAGACCACACUGAGACGAUACCUAACUUCCUUGGCAUGGCCCAGUCGAUUUUUGGCCUACAGCACUCUUGGACCCCAGGCCCACCCCCGAAACUGUGGGCUAUAGCACACUAAUUUGGCCCGAAAACUCUCUGUUCGCACCGUUUCGCCCGUUUGUCCACCCAAAUGGCCACAAAAAUUUAAACGGACCACAAUGGAAUGAUUCCCAACCUUCCUGGCAUGCCCCGGUUGAUUUUCCGUCCACAACACGCCGGGACCCCAGGCCACCCUCGAAACCGUAGGCUAUAGCUCAUCGAUUUGGCCCAAAAACACCUGGUUCGCGCCAUUUCGCCCGUUUGUCAACCCAAAUGGCUACAAAAAUAUAAACGGACCACACUGGGAUGAUCCCCAACCUCCCUGGCAUGCCUCAGGUGAUUUUCGGCCCACAGCAUGCCCGGAUCCCAGGGCCACCCCCAAAUCCGUGGGACAUAGCACACCGAUUUGGCCCAAAAUUGCCCCGUUCACACCAUUUCGACGUUUGUCCAUCCAAACUUUCAAGGUUAUUACUAUUUAUACUUUUUAUAGAUAGAAACCAAUUAAAGCAGUUUAAAGAAGUACCUAGAGUUCACUUUAUUAUGUGUUUCUAUUAACGGACAAACUUUCAAGGUUAUUACUUAUUUGUAGUAUAAACGAAAUACAUUCAGUGCAAUUUCAUGGACAUACAUCUCUUUAUAGAGUUGUACAGAUUGUUGUGAAAAUAGUACUUUCUGUGGAAUAGAAUUAACUUAAGGAGUGUCAAUAAUGCAUAAGAUAGUUAGACUUAUGUUCAAGAUUCAAUAAACUCGUUCAUUUAUAAAUUGGGACAAAAAUAACAGAAAAAUCAAGGAAGAAAAUUCAACAUAUUAGAAGAUAAGACAACAACCAAUAACAUACUUAGUGUAAUUUCACAAGUAAAUUUUAAGAAUGUAGGAUGUAUACAAAUCUUACCUGUCUCUGUGGGUAGGGGUGGUUUCAAAUAACUCUGAAGAAUUCUAUAUUUCAAUCUCCAAAAUAAUACCUUGAAUUUAUAGGUGUUAACCCAAACGGUUAGUGAAUGGCUAGUUUGAUUUAAUUAAUGUUAAAUGAAAUAAUUUAUCAAACAGUAUGUAAACUUACCAAUAUUAGAGUAAGAAAGAUUUCCCAAAUCAAUAAUAAACAUUCAUAUGUUACUCCAACAGCUAAUUAAUGGUUAGUUUGAUGUAACAACCUUCAAUGGGUAGAUUUAUAGAUCAUAUAAUAAUUAAUGUGUUGGAAAAAAUGAAUUUGACAUCUCUUUGCACCGUCGAUUGUGUCUCUCCAACCUUCAAUUCUGCCUUCACAUAUCGUCUUCCUUUUGUUUCGCCUUCCGAUCUUUUUGUAAGUUAAUUUCACUGUUUUUUUCUAAUUAAAUGCCCUAAUCUUUUUGUUGUAAUAGAUAAAAUGAGUUAUAUUGUAUGUGAUACCAGGCAAAAACACUAGGUGAUUUCUUUCCAAGUGUCUUGACCUUGGUGGAUCGGCUUCCCGCUGAUGAGUGAGAGGUGGCAAGUAUUCUGUGGAAUUAGUCGAGGUGUGCAAAAGUUGGCAGGACACCACAAUUAUAAAAAUAAAAUAAAAUUUGACACCACAUCCUCUUAGCCUCAUUGAGCAUAAUAAAUAUGAAAUUAGUAAUUUGUUUUGUUUAAAAUUCCAAUCCAAUUGUCUCAAGUUUAUGUUAAGUGAAAUAUGUUGUUCCUAGAUAAUCUAAAGCUUUUGUUAGAUUUGAUUGAUGCUUCUUGAUCACUACGAAAUGAAAAUGAAUGUGAAUAGAGUGGAGUGGGACUCCAAGGACUUAUUUAGGAUUGAGACCUAGUUGAAUUAUUGGUUGAGUGUCUUGAGAUUGAUUUGGCAGUUUGAACUAUUUUGAGUUUAUUGCUGGUUGAUUUGGAUUAACCUAUUUAUGUAAGGUUUACUAGUAGACUAGCUAAAACUGCUUGAGGCAUUUCCCUGGGCUUCACUUUACUAAUGCCUAUGUGGGCAUUAGCAAGUGCAACUGGUCCAAACAUUCAUGGUAAAAUAGUCUGAUGAAUCAUUUGAUUAUUGAAUAGAGUAAAAUGCAUAUGGAGAAUGUGGUGUAAAUGACUGUCCAUUUGACCAUCUUUAGUUUUGCUAAUGUAAUUCUUACUUUUGGGAUGAACGUUUAAUACUAGUAUCUUUGAUUUAUGGAGAUUUUAUCUGAAUGAAGAGACUCUAAAACAUGUCGUGCGUAGUGUCCCUGGGGACAAGAGUUUAACUAUCGAGUGCCUCCAAAUGAAGAAUGAUUUCUCCAUUAUCAAUAUUCUCAUUGAACAUAUCGAAGACUUGAGUUUGCUCAAAUGUUCCCAUCUGUCUUAUGACAUUCUUCGUGCAAUUGGAGAAAGGUGCCCAAACUAAAGGUAUUCUCCUAUGUCAACAUAUCGGUAAACUGUUAUGACAUGCUUCAUUGAUUAUGGUUUCACAUCUUUGAUGGUAAGAACUUUACAAGUGGUUGUAAUCAAUUUAUCAGGGCUUAGAAGGCGUUCGUCGCCUCCAUUGAUGGAUUUUCAGACUGUUAUUAUCAUGAAACUAGUAUGUGUACCCGCGCGAUGCACGAGCAAUAUUAAAGAAUGUAAUUACAUUAUACAUUAUGUGAAACUUAUAUUAUACACUUGUAUAUUUGAAAUAAAAAAAUCAAGUGAGUAUAUUAAUGAGUGAUAUUACUGGGUAUGAUGUUGUUGUUAGAGGUAUUUGUAGUUGAAUUGAACUUUCUUGAGUAAGAGAUAGAAUCAUUGUUUUUAAAAAAUAAGCUAAUAACCAAAUAUAGUACUAUAAAUUUAACAUGCAUUGUGUCAACUCUUAACAAAGAUAAACUUAGAAAAUGCACCUUAUGGUUAAAAAAAUAUAUAUACAAUUAAAGGAAAUAAAUCAUACACUCGAUAAUUUUUCGAGAGAUACAUCAAAAAUAUAAAAUGAGGUUAUAAAAUAAAUUUUGAUUAGAAUUGGAUUCUUCACAUGUUAUGUAUAGUUUUUCCUCUAUCCUUUGUCACAUGAAACAUAAAAAACUAAUACAUCAAAAAUAUAAGCAAAUCAAGUAGAUAUUAACACGAACUAAUAUCAUUAACACAGAAGCACAUAGUAAGUAAAACAAAUCAUAUAAAUAUACUUUUGGAUUGUUCCCUAUCCAACUAUUCCUUUAUGAAUCAUUUCCUUUGCAAAUCCAACAAUAGCAAUAACAUAUUCAAUAUAUUUUCACAAAGUGGAGUUAGGGGAUCUUUACGAAUCCAAACCUGUAGCAUGCUUUAAUUAUCUAAACUAAAGAGGGAUUAUUAUCUAACUACACUGAUUUAUUAGCUCUUUGAUCAAGUAGAAAGGAAAUUCAUAUUGAGAAAAAUAAUUGAUUCUAAUCCACUAAUGUAUCAAUUUGAAUGCUCAGUCCUGCAACUUUGAAACCCAUCCAUUAGUUGUAUGGCAACAACCGAUACUCCAACCAGUUUAUUCCAGUUCCCAUCACUUCUGAGGUAUCAAUCUUUUAAUUCCAAAGACUCACUUGUUGCAAUUUGAAAUCAGUCAAAAUAGUUUUAGUUUGAUGUUGUUGAAAGAAGGAAAAUUACACGUCCCGUCAUAUAGUUGAUUACCAACCACCAGCUUCAUAGGACUUUUACAAUUUUGAACUGAUUGGCCUGUACAUAGACACCACAAUCGUUGAUUAAGUCACUUGUAAAGAAGCAUGAAAUACUAUUAUAAGCGUAAAGAGCCUAGUAUUUAAACCUAUUGAAAUAUAUCAUCUCCUAGUGCAUUACAUGCGCUAUGCACGAACAUCGAUAAAAAAAUAUCAAUAACAAUAACAUAUCUUUCAACGGAUCAUUUCUCCUCUUUAAAUAUAAAUAUUUGAUCAAAUAAUGUCUAUAAUGUGAUGAAACUUAAAAGUAUCUAUCUCGUUAAAAUAAUUAAUCCAUUCAAAUGGCCAUGAAUUUGUAAUAACAUUCUUAUACAAUACACAAAAAAUGUGCAGCGGGUAAGUUAACUAAUCUAAAUGAACAAAAUAAUUUAUUUUCUAGCUAAAAGUAAAAAUAUAUAAUAAAAAGCAUUUGACAAAAAUUAAGCUUAUACGACAUCACAUUACAAGGAAGUGAUCAUUUAACUUCUACUAUAAGCCUAUAACUACAUUGUAUCAUAUAUAUCCUUUGAAAUAUUAUCUUCUUUUACAUACAAUGUGUUUUGCAGAAUCCAUUAUCAGCGAGUGAAGUAAUGGACUUCAAAAUUCACUAUGAUACUUCACCCAUGAUAUGCAAAGGUGUUUUGAGAAUGAUUUAUCUAGAUUAUAUAUGAAUAAACCUAACAUUUUGGGCAUAAGAUCAUUCUGAAGAUAUCCACAUGCUACUUUCACCGUUUUCUUUGUUUUCCAAACUUAUCAGUGUUUAGUAUGUGUCUUAACUUUUCUCCUAAAUCUUGUUUCAAUCUAUAAUUCAAGCAAGUAAUUUAAAACAUAGAGUAGGGCCCUUCCACGUCCGAUUUAUCUAUAUUGAUCUUACUAUAAUAAAUGAGCAUACUUCUGUGAGGGUUCAAUGAUCAUACAAUAAAUCGCAACAAUAUAUCCAAUGUAAUUUCACAAGAGAGAAGGUAGAUCAUACUAAACUUACCCCUACCUCGUAGAUAUAGAGGGGUUGUAUUUUAUAGACACUCAGUUUGUAUAAGGCAAAAGUCUUCAUACAUGAGAAAAAUUAUCACAUUUGAAACCAAUGGAACUCAACAUAUGAGAAGGCUUCAAUAGAUAGCAUCAUUCAAAUAUCAAUUCUUAAUUGGCAAUCAUCAUGCUUUAGAUAAAAAAAAAAUGUAUACUAUAUAUUCAUAAAGUAGAAUUCCCAAGAGAUCUCUUAGAGCAAUUUGCAUAGGAUUAGAACUUCAAAAGUAAAGAUGCAACAUUCUCAAAGCUAAGGAUCACGCUGACACUGAAAGUUCUAUUGUUCUUUUAGGUUAUCCUUUCACUAAAUCAUGGCUAAAGCAUAACAAUUUCUGUUAUGAAAUGCUUCAUUGAUUAUGGUUUCACAUCUUUGAUGGUAAGAACUUUACAAGUGGUUGUAAUCAAUUUAUCAGGGCUUAGAAGGUGUUUGUCGCCUCCAUUGAUGGAUUUUCAGACAAUUAUUAUCCUGAAAUUCUCGGCAUAAAUGUAUUUUAUUUAGAUCCACUCGCUGAAGCUGAUUAGUAAUUUUUAAGCAGAUUUGUUAAUUUAAAUAACUCAUUUGGGAAUCAAUUCAUUUAAAUUUGAUUUUUUUCUUUGCUGACCCUUGAUGAUAUCUGAUUUCUAGGCUGUUUGGGUAUAGAAAACCUCAAACUGCAUUAGCUUUUGCACUUGGCAUGCAUUAAUUUCACUCUAUAUCUCCACCUUCGGAAGAUGGAACAGUCGAGAUAUAAUUAAGUCCAUUGUGGUUACACCAACAAUAUCUUGCUUUCAUACUCUUGCCACUUCUUCCUGGAUUUGAUUCCAAUGUGUGUUUUCUUAUUUCCCCUGCGUAUAGAAUUUGCUGAGUGUGAAGCACCAAAACUUUUCAAAGAGAAACUUGCAGAAAUGCUCCAAAAGGUGCCCUUGUUAGAGGUAAAGUAUUCUCAUCUUUCACUUAUUUGUCCUCUCUUUCUUCUUCUAAUUUUCCAUGAUGCCUCUUGUCACGACCCGAACCGGGGCCCUGGCCGUGACGAGCAUUCCGAACCAUAAAGGCCCGAAACACCCCUAUUUGUCUGAUAAUCACGCACAUAAUUCAUGGUAAACGAAAUGCGGAAGAUACACAAUAUAACGGAAACAUGGUCAAGAAUCAUAUGAAAACGAAAAUGGGUAAUAGUGUCCUACAAUCUAAAUCAACAUCUCUAAAACCGUCUGCGAAAUCGCUACUACAUGACUGAAACAAUGUCUAUCUGAAAACUGGGACAAGGCCCCCAGCAGACCCAAAACUAAUAAAUGAUAAAUGAAAUAGCAUACGUCAGGCCUUCCGAAAUAUAGAAGGCUCACCACUUGAUUCUGCGAUCUGUCUGAAGAAAUUUACUAGUUAUCUGGACCCCUAGACUGUGCCUCCGAACCAGGGAGGGAACGGGGUCAAUACAAAAGUACUGGUACGCAGAGAAAUCAAAACAGAAGUAUAAUAUUUUUACACAAUAUAGGUGAGAGCCAUUAUAAAGCAGUUUCAUAUCAAAUCAUUUGAAAACACAAGGGCAUAAUGUAAUUUGUUUUAAUAACAAUGAAAUGCAACUGAGCUAGGUGGAAUACCCUACAUAAUUUACACCAACUGUCAAACCCGGGUUGCCGCUGAGAUUAGAGUAUACGUGAGGGGAAGACACACAAGAUCACACAGCAUGGUGUCUCGACCCAAUGGUAGCGCCCAAGAUCUCUUAGUCCGGGCUCCUACCUAUAAUCCCAAUUUGGGAAUGACAUAAAGUCAAGUACUCAAGAUCAUUUAGCCUGGUACCAAAUUUCCGUGUCGGCAAACACGGUUUCCAGCGAUGAUACCUUACACUCGAACUCCUUCUUCGGGCAUCCAUCUAUCUCAUGUAAAAUCAAUGCAUUCAAAUUUCAUUUGAUUCAAUCACAUAUCAUAUUUUGUUGGGUAACGUCAUACCCGACUUGAAAGCCAUCAAUAUCACAUUAUUCUUCUCAUUCAACCAUUGUAUUCAACAUGUUUCAACACAAAUAACCCUCUAGUUUUCAAGUCAAAAUAAUAUCAAUUCUCAAAACAUUUCAUGUCAUGCUUUUCAUGAUGUUUUCAAACAAUUUACAUCAUAUGGACAUUCAAAACAAAUUCAUAUCAAGAGAGGGAUUUCAUAUAAUUCAUGCUCUCAAAAUAUCAUCUUUUCGAAACACACGCAUAUACAUAUAUAAUAUGUCAAAUCGUUCGAAAGUAAGCCUAAAGACCAAAUUCAAUAUUAUAGAAACGUUCAAAACAUAAUUAUAUUCGAAGUUUCAAAACCCCCAUUUGUAAAACAUGAAUUUAAAGACCCAUGAGAUUUUUCAAUAACCCCACGUACCUCUAUAUGCGAAUAUGAUAGGUUCUUCUUGAAGCCUACGUUGCGGAGAUUCCAAAACUUCAAUUUGUUUAGAAAACCCAUGGUUGAAUCUUGAACUAUUUGGGUUUUUAUUUUGAAACCCUAGAGAGAGUUCUUGAACAAUUUGGAUGAAUGAAGGUGUAUUUUGGGGUCUUUGCGAACUGAAUUUCGUGUUUAUGGCUAAAUAAGGGUGGAAAAGGACCAUUUUGCCCCAAAAACAGUUUUUAAGUCACCUAAAACCUUUACAUAGGCGGUGCCUAUGCUAUCGCCUAUGUUUACAUAGGCGCCGCCUACUACUUUGAAAGGUCAUAACUUCUUGCUCAGGUGCCGGAUUUUAGCAAAAUUAGUAACGUUGGAAAGAUAACUCGAAGACCUAUCAUUUGACACAUAGUAGGCUCUCUAAUUUGUCAUAUAUAGAGAGUUAUGGACAAUGGAAUCUGAAACAAAUUACACGUCCACUAAAACUUAACCGAUCGAAAUAGUUUCAACUCGUCCUUGAGUUGAAAGACCUCUAUGGUCUAAAUUCAAGCUUGAAUGGAUUCACAUACUACUCAAAUAAUUAACAUGCCAUAUUGGCAUAGGAUUUAUGGCUUCGGGAUUAUCAACGCAUCGAAAUCAUGGUCUAUAUUGUAGCCCAAAAUACAGGACGUUACAUUAUCUCCCCCUUGAGAUCAUUCAUCCUCGAAUGAUGGGUAGGAACAUAUUGAAGCUUAGAGGUAUGGAAUAAAGCGGACACGACAUGACCUCUAGUAAGAAUACACUGAUCUAAAACAUAACCAUAUGGCUGGAACUACUGAUGUUCUGAAUUCUUAUACCGGACAUGCAUAUCUAAUCCAUGGAAUACACGACUGAAGCUACUCAUAAGCUGAAUUCUCAUAAUGAACAUGCAUACCUGAUGCAUGGAUUCGUUACUGAGUUGUUCUCAUGAAUGCAGAACUGAAUACACUGCUAAGCUGAACUUUUCUAUUGUACAUGCAUUUCUAAUGCAUGCAUAUCUGACUGAACUGAUGUAUGACGUAUGACUGAAUACGCAAUGAUAACUAGUGCAAAGCUUGCAAUAAGUAUCUAUGCAUGCAGCUGAAUGAGGUAUCUCGUCCUUGGGAUCCUAUGUCCCUCUAUGAAUGCUCAAUUCACUAAGAUAUUCGGGGAACUGAGGCGAUGCACAGGCACCUACGAAUUGAAUCAUAACUGAACCCCUGGAAUCUUAAUCUAAUGCAUGACGCAUGAACUGAUCUAUACUCGCAAUUACUAGUAUACUCUAUCUUGGAAUAGUAGCAUGUCUAAUAUUUUGGGUAGCAUGAAUAAAUGAAAAGAUGAGAAAACAAGCCAUGCGAAUCUGCUUGUUAAACUGACUUACUGACCAUACAGACUAAAUUAUGCUGGACCUUCAUACUUAACUGGAGUAUUCUCUUCAACACUCUCUCUAAGGAAGUUCUAGAAGUAAUAGGGAUCCAUGAAUCUUGGGUAUGGAUUACACAAGACAUCCAACUGAGGAGAUCACAACAUUGACACUACCCUGCAGUAUGGAAUAUAGACAUAUAACUCCUAAAUUAGGAUAUAAUUUUCAGACCUUUGGUAAUACGACUUCUUACUUUCAGGCUUUGAGCACUCCCCGAAUAUCCCUUAAACUAUACUAUUCCCUAUAAAUAUCAUAUUCAUUCAACUCAACUUAAAAUUCUCAUAUGAGCAUUGAAAAAUCUUUCUACUAAUGUCAAAAAUAAAUUAAUCCCUUCGCCGUGAUCAAGCCUAACUCUAAGUCACCAAAAAAAAUACAACAUGCCAGACCACGCUAUUAUUCUAAACCAUAUGAUGCCACCUUCUAUACCUCUUUUAAAAAUCACAUCCUAAGCAUAACAUGCCUUACCACUUCAAUGACUACUCUGAACUCUUAAUAUGAAGUCGCUAAUGCAUAUAGCGACCUUCCACUACAAUCCUAAAAUGUCAUUCAAGCCUAAUUUGUAACCACAUGUUAACUCCAAGGAAAUCACCCAUAAAUGCAUACUUCACAUAGUUUCUAAACUAUUAUCAAUAUAACUCCCACGUGCUAUCCUAAAAACAUACACACACCAACUUUUCCACUAACCAUCACAUGUAUCAAACUUAGCCCCAAAUCUUACUUCAUACUUAUGGCCUUAUCUAAAAAGCAUACUAUGAUCUUCCAUCUACAAAAACAUUUACAUCAUCACCACUAUCAUUGCAUUGGAAGGGUCACUAAAAGGUUAAAACAUAAGACCCUCAAGCAUGAAAAGAUCUUUAUACGGGACUGAGCACACUAUAAAGAGUGAGUACAUGCGUCAAGAGUUGCAUGACCUCAACUAGAGUUCAUAACAUAAGGAAUGUGACUUAUUUCUAUCGGUUCAACCUUCAAAACUCAAACUUAGAUUCUAACACUUAACAUGGAUAUCACCAAGCAUUUGAUAAACCAAACCACUUUCGACAUAGCUUACUAAUAUCGCGACUCCCAACUUAUGCCUAAUUACUAUGAGAAUCAAGAUCAUAUAAAAGGCUCAACACUAUCAAUCAAAACUCUUUAACCUAACUAUUUAGAACCCAUAUAACAUCUACUAGUCUUUCCCCAUCUAGCAACUCAACAGUACUAAUAGCCAUACACAAUAGGUAAUUGCCCUAGAAAGAAUGCCGCAACCUCAUGUAACCUUAGGCAUACUUCUACAUCACACAUACAAUAUCAUACAUCACUACAAAUCAAAUAAACUUAAUCUAUUUCAUGCACCGUUCAAGCCUAUUAGAUCACUUCUAUACAAAUAGUAUUCAUUAACCAAGAAAUUUUCACAUCCACCUUCAUGGACAUCAACUAUUCAAACUUAAUAUCUAGUGCUAUGCAUGAUUUACAACCCAACCUUACACAAAAUUUUCACUUGGAAACUAUAAAUAAACAUCACAAAACACUAGUGCACNNNNNNNNNNNNNNNNNNNNNNNNNNNNNNNNNNNNNNNNNNNNNNNNNNNNNNNNNNNNNNNNNNNNNNNNNNNNNNNNNNNNNNNNNNNNNNNNNNNNNNNNNNNNNNNNNNNNNNNNNNNNNNNNNNNNNNNNNNNNNNNNNNNNNNNNNNNNNNNNNNNNNNNNNNNNNNNNNNNNNNNNNNNNNNNNNNNNNNNNNNNNNNNNNNNNNNNNNNNNNNNNNNNNNNNNNNNNNNNNNNNNNNNNNNNNNNNNNNNNNNNNNNNNNNNNNNNNNNNNNNNNNNNNNNNNNNNNNNNNACCCCAUACGAUCUUAUCUACUUAUGCGGAUUUCUCACCUCAUACUUACUUACUCAAGCAUACAUUUAGAUUGUCUUCAAAUUCCUCAAACAACCACGAGUCUAUAAUCAUAACUUACUCACUAAUAUAGCCAUUUUUCAUAUUCAAGAAACCAACAAAUCACCCUGACUAACAACUCCUUCUCUACCUUAUACUAAACUAACUCACAAGGACGAAUUACCUCUUUACCAACUCAAUCUCAUGCAAACAGAUUCAGCCAUACAUAUAUUAAACCAACGAAAGAACAACAAGUUGCUAGUGAAUCAAAACAGGCCUCACACGGCUUCACUAGACUUUGGUUUUGUAUUUUGAACAAGAAAAUGAGAUGGAUGACAAUGCAACUAUGCUAGUGAAUCGAAAGAGCCCACACGGCUUCACUAGACUUUUUAAUUUCAUCAACACAAUGAUAAAAUAUUUUCAAGAGAUAGAAACUUGUCACACAAUAUUCCAUUAUCUGAGAAUACACAUCUUACUUUGUAUAGAUAAAAAUCUGAGUCAAAUAUUUCCCCCACAGAUUAUCAUACAAUCCACACACGCUACUAGCUACCAACAGAUCAUGACACUGACACUUUAGUUUAUACUACUAUUUGGGUGGAAAUAUAAUUCCGACACUUCUACUACACAUCUUUUCCCUUAAGCAUGAUAUCUACAACAUAAAUUUUUGAAAAAGGCCGAAUAUACUCAAUACAGAAGGCUGAAAAGCACGAUUUCAUCAAGAUCAAGGUUCACACUAGAACCCAUACACUCUAAAGCAAUAACGGACUCUUCUCGAGUCCUUGCAUAAUUUUAACACCUUAUAUGAUGCGAUCCAAAGGGAUAAUACCAUUUAGACUCUAUACUUCUGUACUUGAAUUGGCCCAAUAAUGAGGCAUGUCUGAGAAUGUCCGAGUAAGGAAAGAAUUUUGGAUGAUUUUACUUUCGUAUGGAUGUCACCAUAGCAUGAAUUAGAGUAUGAAGGAGGAAUUGACUCUGUUGCAGGAGCUAGAACAUGAAGAAAGAGAGACAUUCCUAAAUGCCUUGUAGCUUCCUGCUUAUAAGUGUGGUUGACUACACACCCAUAAACAAGACUCUACUCGAUGUGAUUUCGUACACACCCUGGGAAUAUGAACCACGCUUUGAUACAAAGUUUAUCACGACUCGAACCGGGGCCUGACGAGCAUACCAAACCAUAAAGGCCUAAAACACCCCUAUCUUUCUGAUAAUCCUGCACAUAAUUCAUGACAAAAGAAAUGCAGAAGAUACACAAUAUAAUGGAAACAUGGUUAAGAAUCAUUUGAAAACGAAAAUGGGGAAUAGUGUCCUACAAUCUAAAUCAACAUCUCUAAAAUCGUAUGCGAAAUCUCUACUACAUGACUGAAACAAUGUCUAUCUGAAAACUGGGACAAAGCCCCCAGCAGACCCAAAACUAAUAAAUGAUAAAUGAAAUAGCAGACGUCAAGCCUUCCGAAAUAUAGAAGGCUCACCACUUGAUUCUGCAAUCUUUCGGAAGAAAUUUACUAGUUAUCUGGACCCCUAGACUGUGCCUCCGAACCUGGGAGGGAAGGGGGUCAAUACAAAAAUACUGGUAAGCAGAGAAAUCAAAAUAGAAGUAUAAUAUUUUUAUACAAUAUAGGUGAGAGACAUUAUAAUGCAGUUUCAUAUCAAAUCAUUUGAAAAAACAUGGUCAUAAUGUAAUUGUUUUCAAUAACAAUGAAAUGCAACUGAGCUAGGUUGAAUACCCUACAUAAUUUACAUCAACUGUCAAACCUCGAUUGCCACUGAGAUUAGAGUAUACGUGAGGGGAAGACACACAAGAUCACACAGCAUGGUGUCUCGACCCAAUGGUAGUGCACAAGAUCUCUUAGUCCGGGCUCUUACCUAUAAUCCCAGUUUGGGAAUGACAUAAAGUCAAGUACUCAAGAUCACUUAGCCUGGUACCAAAUUCCCAUGUCGGCAAACAUGGUUUCCACCGAUGAGCCCUUACACUCAAACGCCUUCUUCGGGCAUCCACCUAUCUCAUGUAUAAUCAAUGCAUUCAAAUUUUAUCUGAUUCAAUCACAUAUCAUAUUUUGUAGGGUAACAUCAUACCCAACUUGCAAGCCAUCAAUAUCACAUUAUCCUUAUCAUUCAACCAUUGUAUUCAACAUGUUUCAACACAAAUAACCUUCUCGUUUUCAAGUCAAAAUCAUAGCAAUUCACAAAACAUUUCAUGUCAUGCUUUUCAAGAUGUUUUCAAACAAUUUACAUCAUAUGCACAUUCAAAAUAAAUAAAUUCACAUCAAGAGAGGGAUUUUAUAUAAUUCAUGCUCUCAAAAUAUCACCUUUUUGAAACACACGCAUAUACAUAUAUACUAUGUCAAAUCGUUCGAAAGUAGGCCUAAAGACCAAAUUCAAUAUUAUAGAAACAUUCAAAACAUAAUUAUAUUCGUAGUUUCAAAACCCCCAUUUGUAAAACAUGAAUUUAAAGACCCAUAAGAUUUUUUGAUAACCCCACGUACCUCUAUAUGCGAAUAUGAUAGGUGCUUCUUGAAGCCUACGUUACGGAGAUUCCAAAUCUUCAAUUUGUUUUGAAAACCCAUGGUUGAAUCUUGAACUAUUUGGGUUUUUAUUUUAAAACCCUAGAGAGAGUUCUUGAACAAUUUGGAUGAAUGAAGGUGUAUUUUGGGGUCUUUGGGAAUUGAAUUUCGUGUUUAUGGCUAAAUAAGGGUGGAAAAGGACCAUUUUGCCCCAAAAAUAGAGUUUUUAAGUCACCUGAAACCUUUACAUAGGCGGUGCCUAUGCUAUAGCCUAUGUUUAUAUAGGCGCCGCCUACUACUUUGAAAGGUCAUAACUUCUUCCUCAGGUGCCGGAUUUUAGCAAAAUUAGUAACGUUGGAAAGCUAACUCAAAGACCUAUCAUUUGACACAUAGUAGGCUCUCUAAUUCAUCAUAUAUAGAGAGUUAUGGACAAUGUAAUCUGACACAAAUUACAACGUCCACUAAAACUUAAUCGAUCGAAAUAGUUUCAACUCGUCCUUGAGUUGAAGGACCUCUAUGGUCUAAAUUCAAGCUUGAAUGGAAUCACAUACUACGCAAAUAAUUAACAUGCCAUAUUGGCAUAGGAUUUAUGGCUUCGGGAUUAUCAACGCAUCGAAAUCAUGGUCUAUAUUGUCGCCCGAAAUGCGGGACAUUACACCUCUUCAAGCUAAUUACUCUUUAGAACAAGAGUUCUCCUUUGAUGGUCAAUUUCAGGAGUACUUUUCUUUCCUCCACAGUUGAUGUCCACAAAAAUCCGAGGUACCUCACGUGAUGUCUUUGAUGUAUGACCGACCACUUGGACAAUUUCUGCCCAAGAGUUUAAAAAAAUUGAAGUUACAGCAAACGGAUGUACCCCUCUUUGUCUCCUGGUUAGAUGCAGUCAAGAAGAUGCCUUGUUUCAACUUGCGAAGCUUGUCUCUUGUCAUGGACGAUAUAUCAGAUGAUCUUCUCAUCACAGUUGUUCAUUCUCUUCCUCGUUUAGUAGAGCUGGAUCUUGAGGGACAGACAUUUUAUGGAGCCAUCGGUACGGGACUUGACCAACAUUGGACUGCCGGCUCUGAAGUUCUGCGAAUGUCUAAUUGGCCUCUCAAUUGUUCUAAGUGAAAGUAAUUAUCCUUCAUUUAAGAGAGUCAAAAAUAUAGGCAUGUUCCAUGUUUCUGAAGGUUGUAGAAUGUUGGAAUUAGUGAAACUUGGCAGGUUUGCAAAGGUUACUGAAGCUGGAUAUUCGUCAAUUCUGCACUCAUGCCGGAAUCUGAAGAAAUUUGAAGUGUUGACUUCACCUCUAUUAUCAGACUUGGUGUUUGAUAGUAUGAUAGGAGUUGCAAGGUCCGUAAUUGAAUUAAGGCUGUCAGCAUGCAGUCUUCUAACUAUGCUCUUCUCAAUUCUGCCCAAAUUUUAUUGUCUUCUCUUCUCUUUAUAUUUGUUUUUUGUAUUUUAAUUCCAUGUUGUACCUCUCUUGUUUCUUAAUAUGUGUUAAUAUAUUUCAUGUAAAUCUCUCUACAGCCACUUGGAGAGAUGGAAACUAUUGUUUUCCUCUAUAUGUACAAUUUUUACAAGGUAUUCUUUUGUUUACUUCUAUUUUUCGUAAAUUCUAAUUCUCUGUUUUACUCUUUCUAGUUCUAAUAGUGUUGCUUUCUAUUGUAUCUUAUUCUUUUACUAUUCCUUAUUUUAGAUUGUUUCAUUUUGAGCCGGGGGUCUAUUGGAAACAACUUUUCUAUCUCACAUUUGAGGUAGUGGUAUGGACUGCAUACACUUACCCUCCCCAGACCUCACUUGGUGGGAAUAUACUGGGUAUGUUGCUGUUGUAGUUCUUAUAGUGUUGCCUUUAAUUUACGUAGGGGUUGUUUAGUUGGGAAACUAGUUAUCCCAAGGAUUAAUUAUUCCGGGAUUAGCUAUCUCAGAAUUAGUUGUCCUACUCUCAAGGGGUGAUAAAAAUAACACUACAAGAGAAAACUAAUUACUGUAUGUGUUAUUCCAUGCAUUUUAUCGCAACCAAACAUGGAUUAGCUCGUCCUAAAGUUAAUUUUAGAAUUAGUUAUCCCUCGUACCAAAUGAGUCUUGAAGGUUGGAUAAAAAUAAUACUAUAAUUCAGAAUAACUAAUCCCGGUAUGAGCUAUCCCAUGCAUUUAUCCCAACCAAACAUGGCAAAUGCCUAUCGUAAAUUAAUUCCAACAUUAGUUAUCCCUUAUUCCUAGUAUCAAACGAGCCCUUGUAAUUGCAUGUGUGUAGUUUUUCUUUCAUUCCCCUUAUUAACUCUUAAUUUAAGGAGAAGUAAUAGUUAAAUUUAUGUUACCAUUUUAUUUGAUUUGCAGGAAUGGUUUACUCUUGCUUGUGGCAUCUUCUCUAAUACCAUACCUACCUACCAUUAGAAAGAAAGGGAACAAAUAAAAAUAGUGAAUACACAACUUUUUUGAAUAACCGUGGUGUUCGGGUCAGCUUACGUGCACCUUGGCUAAUUCCACGGAAUAUGUAGCACCUCCCACCAGCAACAAUGGUGAAUACACAGCUAAAGACAAGUAAACCAUUUAGGCGCAUGUGUAUCAUUAAUAGCUAACUCUAAUCCUUUUUCUUUUCUUUUGCUGAAUUAGUGGUCAUGUUAGACAACACCUCUCAUAAUUACAAUUCUUUGGAAAAACGAAGUUGUACAAAAUGGCUAUUGAAGUAGUUACUGCACCUGCUAUUGAAGUAGGUGGUAAUCCAUUGUUGGAUAAGAGAGUGAAAGUAACAACAUUAGGUGUUUGUGUUUCACAUAGAGCUAGUAGUGGUGUGUGUCCAACUAGUGAUGCCACUUAAUGAUAGUAGCAAUGAAUUGCUACUUAAUGAGUAAUUACAAUGGCAGGUCCAAAAAAAGGCAUUUGAUAUUCAAAAGGUUCAUUACAACAGAGGACAAAUAAAGCACAUAAUGCCUAAAAAGGAAAAAAAAGCUAAGUUUCAGUCAUCGGAUUUUGUGCCAUUGCCAGCCAUCACAGCACCCAAAUUCGCAGCCAACACCGUACAUAGCAAGCCUGUGUCUCGCCUUGUAGAUUGCGUGGAGGAUGUCUCUCUUAGCAACUAUGCUAGUAAGUUCAAUACCGAGCCAGCGCAAACGACAGAAAGCAUACUGGGGCAGAGGUAGCAUUAUGGCAUCAGCAGUCAAACCUCGACAGCUGCAAAGAUCAAGUAUUUACAGUUGACUACUAUUGUGGUUUGGUCUAUCCAUUAGCAUCUGCACUGCAGCAUCAGUGACCUCAUCACAGAACCCUAUACAUAAAUUAGUUAAUGCCUUAGCAACAAAUGUAAUGGUAAAAAUAGUUGCAUUAGUUAUUUUAGGAACGUAAUCAACAUCCAACACUACUAACGUCUUACAAAUUUUCCUAUCAGCAUGAAAUAAAGAAUUAAUUCCCUUGUCAAUAACUCUCUCACAGCUUCUGAUCCACAACUGCACAAUUGAUAAGUCUCCCGCACCAAGAAGAGCAAGGUCCGUUAUUGAAUUAAGGUUGUCCAUGCAGUCUUCUAACUAGUGAAGCUUUGGAGCAUUUGUCCUCAUUUAGUAAGUUGGAGGUACUUGACACAAGUGGGUGCGAACGCAUUGGAGACCUGGCUCCCUUUACAUAUCAAAAGUUACUACCCUCACAAUACUAGACUCAAGACCCACAUGGGUGAUGCAAGCUUUUGCAAAGUUUAGUAUUAUAAGGUUAGUAACUUUUGAUAUGUAAAUGGGAGCCUGGUUUCCAAUGCAUUCUCACCCACUUGUGUCGAGUACCUCCAACAUACUAAAUGAGGACAAAUGCUCCAAAGCUUCACUAGUUAGAAGACUGCAUGAGGACAACCUUAAUUCAAUUACGGACCUUGCUCUUCUAGGUACGGGAGACUUACCGAUUGUGCAGUUGUGCAUCAGAGGCUUUGAGAGAGUAACUGACAAGGGAAUUAAGUCUUUAUUUCAUACUGGUAGGAAAAUUUGAAAGGUGUUAUCAGUAUUGGAUAUUGGUUACAUUUCCAAAAAUAACUGAUGCAGUUAUUUUUACAGGCAUUAUCUGAUUUAUCUUCAAGAUUCUGUGAUGAGGUCACUGAUGCUGCAAUACAGAUGCUGAUGGAUAGACCAAACCACAACAGUAGUCAACAGCAAUGACUUGUUCUUUGCAACUGUCGAGGUCUAUCUGCUGAUGCCAUAAUGCUACCUCUGCCCUAGCACGCUUUCCGUGGUUUGCUCUGGCUCUGUGUUGGACUUUAUCGCAUAGUCGAUAAGAGAGACAAUCUCUAUGAAAUCAGCAAGGCACUACCCAGGCUUGUUGGCUGCGAAGUUAGGUGCUGUGAUGGCUGGCAAUGGCACAAAAUCCGAUGAUUGAAACUUAUCUUUUUUCCUUUUUUAAGGCAUUAUCGUGCUUUAUUUGCUCUCUGUUGUAAUAAACCUUUUGAAUAUCUAAUGCCUUUUUUUUGGACCUGUCAUUGUAAUUACUCAUUAAGUGUCAAUUCAUUGCUACUAGCAUCAAGUGGCAUCAACACCUGGACGCACACCACUACUAACUAUAUGUGAAACACAAAACACCUAAUGUUGUUAUUUUCACUCUCUUACCCUACUAUGGGCUACCACCAAUUUCAAUUACCAGGUGCAUUAGCUACUUAUCUGCCCCAACUCUUUUUCCUCCUCCUUAGGUUUCUGUUCACCACAUUCUCCAUCGGGCCUUUUUAUCUCUUCCUUCUCUGAGCUCUGGUUAUGGAAGAAAGAACCGAUCAUCCUCAAUCUCAAGCAAUUCCUUUCCCGAUCAAGCCAUCUGCUCCACAUGACAUAUUUAAGACCAUAAGAUUAAAUGAUAUUUUUGUACAUUUGACAUAACUUUAUUUUAAGACUACAAGAUUCAAAAGGCUUCUUUAUUUUCUUAAAUUCCAUGUCAAGUUAAUUUUUUCGUAAAUGGGGGGGUAGAAGAAUGAGUUAAGAUUAGGUAUCGACAUGUGUGAUUCAUUGUGAUUAAAAUAAAACAAAUAAUGGCAUUUUGAUAUUUUGCACUCGGUCUUUCAUCACCAUCGCAACGAGCAACAACAAUUUACUUAGAUUAACUUGAGAAUUUGUGUUACCGUUGUAGAAGCAUUACUAAUGACAUGUUGUGCUUUUAAAUGCGAAAAGACACUGCAAGCUUUAUUACGCCAACACCUAAAUGGUAAGUCCACAACACUUCCAAAGGUCAUUUUGAAUUAACUUUUAACGUUUGACUUAUGUCAAAAGUCAUUAGUUAGAAAAACAAACUUCUUUUAUUUAUUUAUUUAUUUAUUUAUUUAUUUAUUUUUGUUUUUGUCGUCCCAAAAUAAUGCUAUUUUACUAUAAUUAAAAGUUAAUUUUAAUUUUUUUUUACUCUUAAUAAAAUAAUUUUGAUGAUAAAUUUCAAAAUUAUUUUUUAAACACCACGUCACAUUAAAGUAUGUGACGUAAAAUGAGACGUCGAUAACACUAAUUAGAAUCUAAUGCAAAGUGAGUCCUUACACUCUUCCUCUUCUAGGUUUCUACUACUUUGCUAUUCUCAAUUCUGCCCACAUUUUACUGUCCUCUUCUCUUUUUAUUUGCUUUUUGUAUUUUAAUUCCACUAUUGUACCUCCCUUUUUUUCCUUAGUACUAUGUGUUGAUAUCUUUCAUCUAAAUACUCUCUACAGCAACUCGGAGAGAUGGAGGCUAUUUUUUUCCUCUAUAUGUCGAAAUUUUACAAGGUAUUCUUUUGUUUACUUCCCUUUUUCUUUAAUUAUAAUUCUCUACUUUACUCUUUUUAGUUCUAAUAUUGUUGCCUUUAAUUACUUAGGGGUUGUUUUGUUGGGUAACAAGUUAUUCAAGGAUUAAUUAUGUUUAGUUGGUCAACACGUUAUUCAAGGAUUAUCCCGGUAUUAGUUAUCCUACCCUCAAGUGUGAUAAAAAUUACACUUACAAUCCUGGAUUAACUAAUUAUUAAAUGAGUUAUCCAUACAUUUUAUCGUAGCCAGACAUGGAUAAGCUCAUCCUAAAGUUAAUUUUAGGAUUAGUUAUGGUAACACCCUAACUCAGGAUAAGGAGUUCCACGUCGGCAAACACAGGAGAGAUGCUGGAUAUAUAAGUAAACAGGUCUUUCACUCUAGUGAUCUGUUUUAAAGUCGUGCGGAUCUAAGCCUAUAGAGCGGACAUUAUCACUAGUGGGCUGGGCUGUUACAAUUAAGGAGUUCCACAUCGGCAAAACACGGGAGAAAUGCUGGGUAUAUAAGUAAACAAACCUUUCACACUAGUAACGCAUUUUAAAGUGGUACGCGUCUAAGCCAAGCAGCCCAUAACGAACAAUAUCACUAGUGGGCCGGCCCGUUACAGUUAUCCUUUAUUCCUUGUACCAAAUGAGCCUCGAAGGUGGGAUAAAAAUAAUACUACUAUUCGGGAUAAUUAAUCUUAGUAUGAGCUAUCCCAUGCAUUUCUCCAAACCGAACAUGGCAAAAGCUCAUCAUAAAGUUAAUUCCAACAUUAGUUAUCCCUUAUCCCUGGUAUCAAAUAAGCCCUUGUAGUUGUAUGUGUGUAGUUUUUAUUUCAUUCCCUCUAUUACCUAAGGAGAAGUAAUAGUUCAAUUUAUGUUGCCAUUUUAUUUGAUUUGCAGGAAUGGAUUACUCUUUGUUGUGGCAUUCGCUCCGACCUGAUUUUGUGAGUAAAUAUAAUAAUUGUUGAUUCUUCUUAAACAUUUUGUUUGUAUUCUUUUUCUUAAAUCUUUUGUUAUUUUAGUUUUCUUGGUUUUGAAGUGGUACUUAGUCCUCAGUGGUAGGUUGUUUGACCUAUAUUGCUCGGACUCUUCAAAAAUGUCAACUGGUGCUACAUCGAAAGUGAAGAGUUCUCGUAACAUAGUGUCAGAUAGUUCAUCUGAUCCAAUGAUAGCUAUAAUGUCCUGAAGUUCUUUGUAAUGUUGUAAAGUUUGCUUAACUCGUUGGGAGGUUUCAUAAUUUUCCUCACCAACGAUCCAAGGUUGAAGUGCUGGCGAGUUGCACCCUGCAAUCCGAGCUGAGGACGGGUUUUUGGGGUUAGCUAAUCUUCGCGGGAUCGCGACCCUUUGUCCCAGCCAUUGUAGCACGUAUGUCGCUGUAUUGGUGAUUAACUGAUUAAUAUCUUCCAGUUUCUUAUUUCAAGUGUACUCUUAGACUAAUUAGUCAAUGGGACAAUUUGUCUUCGGAUUUUUAGACCACUAUUCGAAAAUUUUUGAUGUGGAAAUUCAUAAUGGCUAAUACCGAGUGGCGAGAUGUAGUUUAGAAUCACCUUUGUACUCUUAAAUUUUUCGAAUUUGGGUGGAUAAUGAGUGAGAAUAAAAUCUAUAGGUGUGUUAAUGGAGGCAUGAGAUGCAUCUUACGUUGGAAUUCUGUGAAAUAUGAGAUGCAUAUAAUGAUGAGCUAGUGUGAUGAAAUAAAUCAUCUACAUUUGAUUUAGCGAGUAAUACCAUACCUACCAUUAGAAAGAAAGGGAACAAAAAAAAAAUAGUGAAUACACAACUUUUUUUGAUAAUCGUGGUGUUCGGGUCAGCUUACAUGCACCUCGACUAAUUCCCCGGAAUAUCUAGAAUCUCCUACCAACAACAAUAGUAAAUACACAGCUAAAGACAAGUAAACUCUAAUCCUUAGUAGCUAACUCUAAUCCUUUUUCUGUUCUUUUGCUUAAUUAGUGGUCAUGUUAGUCAAUACCUCUCAUAAUCUAUUGAUUUUUACCUUUCUUUUGAAAAAUAAAGUUGUACAAAAUGUCUAUUGAAGUAGUUACUGCACCUGUUAUUAAAGUAGGUGGUAAUCCAUAGUUGGAUAAGAGAGUGAAAUUAACAUUAGGUGUUUUUUCACAUAUAGCUAGUAGUGGUGUGUGCCCAACUGGUGAUGCCACUUAAUGCUAGUAGCAAUGAAUUGGCACUCAAUGAAUAAUCACAAUGGCAGGUCCAAAAAAAAGGCAUUUGAUAUUCAUUGUAAUUCAAAAGAUUCCUUACAACAGAGAGCAAAUAAAACACAAUAAUGCCAAAAAAAAAAAGGAAAAAAGCAAAGUUUCAGUCAUCGGAUUUUGUGCCAUUGCCAACCAUCACAGCACCCAAAUUCGCAGCCAACACCGCACACAACAAGCCUUGGUUGAACCUUGCAGAUUGGGUGGAGAUUGUCUCUCUUAGCAACUAUGCUAGUAAGUUCAAUACCGAGCCAGCGCAAACGACAGAAAGCAUACUGGGGCAGACGUAGCAUUAUGGCAUCAGCAGGCAAAGCUCGACAGCUGCAAAGAUCAAGUAUUUACAGUUGACUACUGUUGUGGUUUUGUCUAUCCAUCAACAUCUACACGCAGCAUCAGUAACCUCAUCACAGAACCCUAUAGAUAAAUCAGUUAAUGCUUUAGCAGCAGAUGUAAUGGUAAAAAUAGCUGCAUUAGUUAUUUUGGGAAUGUAACCAACAUCCAACACUGAUAACGUCUUGCAAAUUUUCCUAUCAGCAUGAAAUAAAAACUUAAUUCCCUUGUCAAUUACUCUCUCACAACUUCUGAUCCACGACUGCACAAUCGGUAAGUCUCCCGCACCAAGAAGAGCAAGGUCCGUUAUUGAAUUAAGGUUGUCCUCAUGCAGUCUUCUAACUAGUGAAACUUUGGAGCAUUUGUCCUUAUUUAGUAAGUUGGAUGUACUCGACACAAGUGGGUGCGAAUGCAUUGGAGACCAGGCUCCCUUCUACAUAUGAAAAGUUACUACCCUCACAAUACUAAACUCAAGACCCACAUGGGUGAUGAAAGUUUUUGCAAAGUUUAGUAUUGUGAGGGUAGUAACUUUUGAUAUGUAGAAGGGAGCCCGUUCUCCUAUGCGUUCACACCCACUUGUGUCGAGUACCUCCAACUUACUUAAUAAGGACAAAUGCUCCAAAGCUUCACUAGUUGGAAGACUGCAUGAGGACAAUCUUAAUUCAAUUACGGACCUUUCUCUUCUUGGUACGGGAGACUUACCGAUUGUGUAGUUGUGCAUCAGAGGCUAGGGGAGAGUAACUCACAAGGGAAUUAAGUCUUUAUAUCAUACUGGUAGGAAAAUUUGCAAGGCGUUAUCAAUGCUGGUUGCAUUCCCAAAAUAGCUGAUGCUGCUAUUUUUACCAUUACAUCUGCUGCUAAGGCAUUAUCUGAUUUAUCUAUAAGAUUUUGUGAUGAGGUCACUGAUGCUGUAGUACACAUGCUGAUGGAUGACCAAACCACAACAGUAGUGAACUGCAAAGACUUGUUCUUUGCAGCUGUCGAGGUCUGUCUACUGAUGCUACCUCUGCCCCAGCACUCUUUUCGUGGUAUGCUCUGGCUCUGUGUUGGACUUUCUCGCAUAAUCGAUAAGAGAGAUAAUCUCUACGCAAGGUGCUUCCCAGGCUUGUUGUUGCGGUGUUGGCUAUGAAUUUGGGUGCUGUGAUGGCUGGCAAUGGAACAAAAUCCGAUGACGGAAACUUAUCUUUUUUCCUUUUUUUAGACAUUAUCGUAUUUUAUUUGCUCUCUGUUGUAAUGAACCUUUUGAAUAUCAAAUGCCUUUUUUUUGGACCUGCCAUUGUAAUUACUUAUUAAGUAUCAAUUCAUUGCUACUAGUAUCUAGUGGCAUCACCACUUGGACACACACCACUACUAGCUAUAUGUGAAACACCUAAUGUUGUUAUUUUCACUCUCUUACCCUACUAUGGAUUACCACCAAUUUCAAUUACCAGGUGCAUUAGCUACUUAUCUGCCCCAACUCUUUUUCCUCCUCCUUAGGUUUCUGUUCACCACAUUCUCCAUCGGGCCCUUUUAUCUCUUCCUUCUCUGAGCUCAGGUUAUGGAAGAAGGAACCGAUUAUCCUCAAUCUCAAGCAAUUCCUUUCCCGAUCAAGCCAUCUGCUCCACAUGACAUAUUUAAGACCAUAAGAUUAAAUGAUAUUUUUGUACAUUUGACGUAACUUUAUUUUAAGACUACAAGAUUCAAAAGACUUCUUUAUUUUCUUAAAUUCCGUUUCAAGUUAUUUUUUUUUUGUAAAUAGGGGGAGUAGAAGAAUGAGUUAAGAUUUGGUAUCAACAUGUGUGCUUCAUUGUGAUUACAGUAAAAUAAAUAAUGGCAUUUUGAUAUUUUACAUUCUGUCUUUCAUCUCCAUCCCAACGAGCAACAACAAUUUACUUAGAUUAACUUGAGAAUUUGUGUUGCCGUUGUAGAAGCAUUACUAAUGACACGUUGUGCUCUUAAAUGCGAAAAGACAUUGCAAGCUUUAUUACACCGACACCUCAAUGGUAAGUCCGCAACACUUCCAAAGGUCGUUCUAAAUUAACUUUUAACGUUUGACUUAUGUCAAAAGUCAUUAGUUAGAAAAACAAAGUUCUUUUAUUUAUUUAUUUUUGUUUUUGGUCGUCCCAAAAUAAUGCUAUUUUACUAGAAUUAAAAAAAAGUUAAUUUUAGUUUUGUUUUACUCUUAAAAAAAUAAUUUUGAUAAUAAAUUUCAAAAGUAUUCUUUUAAACAGCAUGUCACAUUAAAGUAUGUGACGUGAAAUGAGACGUCGAUAACACUAAUUAGAAUCGAAUGCAAAGUGAGUCCUUACACUCUUCCUCUUCUAGGUUUCUACUACUUUGCUAUUCUCAAUUCUGCCCACAUUUUAUUGUCCUCUUCUCUUUUUAUUUACUUUUUGUAUUUUAAUUCCACUGUUGUACCUCCCUUUUUUCCCUUGGUACUAUGUGUAGAUAUCUUUCAUCUAAAUACUCUCUGCAGCCACUUGGAGAGAUGAAGGCUAUUUUUUCCUCUAUAUGUCUAAUUUUUACAAGGUAUUCUUUGGUUUACUUCUUUUUUUCUCUAAUUAUGAUUCUCUAUUUCUCUUUUUAGUUCUAAUAUUGUUGCCUUUAAUUACUUAGGGUUGGUUUUGUCUGUUAACAAGUUAUUCAAGGAUUAAUUUUGUUUAGUUGGUCAACAAGUUACUCAAGGAUUAAUUAUCCAGUAUUAGUUAUCCUACCCUCAAGUGAUAAAAAUAACACUUACAAUCCCGGAUUAACUAAUUAUUGUAUGAGUUAUCCAUGCAUUUUAUCGCAACCAGACAUGGAUAAGCUCAUCCUAAAGUUAAUUUUAGGAUUAGUUAUGGUAACACCCUAACUCAGGAUAAGGAGUUUCACAUCGGCAAUACACAAGAAAGAUGUUGGAUAUAUAAGUAAACAGGUCUUUCACUUUAGUGAUCUGUUUUAAAGUCGUGGGGAUCUAAGCCUAGAGCGGAAAAUAUCACUAUUGCGCUGGGCAGUUACAAAUAAGGAGUUCCACAUCGGCAAAACACGGGAGAAAUGCUUGGUAUAUAAGUAAACAAACCUUUCACACUAAUAACGCAUUUUAAAACGGUACGUGUCUAUGCCAAGAAGCCCAGAACGGACUACAUCACUAGUGGGCUGGGUUGUUACAGUUAUCCCUUAUUCCUUGUUCCAAACGAUCCCCGAAGGUGGGCUACAAUUCGGGAUAACUAAUCUCGGUAUGAGCUAUCCCAUGCAUUUAUCCCAACCAAACAUGGCAAAAUCUCGUCGUAAAAUUAAUUCCAACAUUAGUUAUCCCUUAUCUGUGGUAUCAAACGAGCCCUUUUAGUUGCAUGUGUGUAGUUUUUUUUCAUUCCCUCUAUUAACUCUUAAUUUCAUGAGAAGUAAUAGUUAAAUUUAUAUUACCAUUUUAUUUGAUUUGUAGGAAUGGAUUACUCUUUGUUGUGGCAACCGCUCCGACCUGAUUUUGUGAGUGAAUAUAAUAAUUGUUGAUUCUUCUUUAACAUUUUGUUCGUAUUCUUUUGCUUAAAUCUUUUGUUAUUUUAGUUUACUUGGUUUUGAAGUGGUAAUUUCUAAAUCAAUAAAGUGUUAAAGUACAUUCUUUAUGUUUUGCUGCCACUUUUUGUCACUUGCUAUGAAACUGCAUUUGAUGUACAGUAUUCAUUAUGGAUGUGUAGUGUGUCAUCCUCUGGAGAUCCACUUUGGAGUGGAGGACUUCAUAGAAAUAACUCUUUUCUUUUUAUGAGGGCCUUUCAUUUUUCAAUUCAAUAUAUAUUUUAGAAAAGAAGACAAAUUGAUAUAAACACCAAAUAGAGGACAAGAGGUGGGCUUACACAAUUGCUGGAUUAAGCCAUUGGUCUAGAAAUUGAAAUUUCAAUUUAGAGACUUUUAGAUACCCUAUAAUAUAUUUUGAUAUUUUUGAUAAUUCUUUAGUUCAAAGCAUCAUCCCGUUUGUACAUCUUCUUUAGGUAAUUUUUAAUUACUUUAGAAUGAAAUUUGGCCCUUUCUCCAAUUACACUAAGAAUGUCUUAAGAUAGAAGGGAACAUUUGAGCAAACUCAAAUCUUUGAUAUGUUCACCGAGAAUGUUGAUAAUGAAGGAAUCAUUCUUCAUUUGGAAGCACCCGAUAGUUAAACUCUUGACUCCUGGGACCCACGCACAGCAUGCUUUAGAGUCUCUUCAUCUAGAUAAUAUCCCUGUAAAUCAAAGAUACUAGUCUUAUAAGUUCAUCCCAGAAGUAAGAAUGGCAUUAGCAAAACUAAAGAUGGUCAAAUGGACAUUCAUUUAUGCCACAUUCUCCAUAUGCAUUCUAUUCAAUAAUUAGAAGAUUAAUCAGACCAUCUUACCAUGAAUGUUUGGACCAGCUUGAUGCCUACAUAGGCAUUAGCAAAGUGAAGCUUAGGAAAUGCCUCCAACGGUUUUAGCUAGUCUACUAGUAAACCAUACAUAAAUAGGUUAAUCCAAAUUAACCAGAAAUAAACUCGAAAAAGUUCUAGCUACCAAACCAAUCUUAAGACACUCUAUCAAUCAGUCAUUCAACUACGGCUCAAUCCUAAGUCAAGUCCUGGAUUUUCACUCCACUCUAUUCACACUCAUUUUCAUUUCAUAAUGAUCAAGUAUCAAGCAAAUCUAACAGAAGUUUUAGAUUAUCUAAGAACAACAUAUUUCAGUUUAUAUGAAUUCGAGAUAGUUGAAUUGGAAUUUUAAACAUACAACAACAACAUACCCAGCCCACCAAGUGGUGUCUAGGGAAGGUAAGUGUACGUAGUCCAUACCACUACCUCAAUGUGAGAUAGAGAGACUUUUUUCAAUAGACUCCCGUCUCAAAAUAAAACAAUCUAAAUGAUGAAUAGUAAAAGAACAAGAUACAAUAGAUUUCAACAUAUCCAAUAAUACCAUAAACAAGAUACGCCAAGUAAUACAAUAAAAGAUACAACAUCCUAAAUUCAUACUAACCUUCUACCCUAAUCUUCCUCCUCCUCAACUUCCGAUCCAGGGUUAUGUCCUCGGUAAGUUGGAGCUGCUCCAUGUCAUGUGUAAUCACCUCCCUCCAAUGGUGAGGGAGGUUAUGACGAUGUGCAUGAGGUUUUGUUUUCAGUGAUAGAAAUGGUGAGGGGGAUACUCUGUUGGAUUUUGCGAGGGCCUUUGGGCUGGUGGUAGUGAAUUUGAUCUUUUCAAAGAAGAAGGAUCAUCUGAUUACCUUCCAAGCACGUUAGCCAAGACUGAGAUUGAAUUUUUGUUGAUUAGGAAAGGGGAUAGGGUUUUAUGUAAAGGCUGUAAAGUUAUUCCAAGUGAGCACCUUUCGACCCAGUACAGGCUUUUGGUGGUGGACUUGAUUAUCAAGAAGAGAAGGAAGAGUAGGGCCAGUGAGGGUCGACCCAAAAUUAAGUGGGGUGGCUUGGCGCCAGUUAGUGCACGAGGGAUAGGGAAGAAGGUGGCGGGAUUGGGGGUGUGGGAGUGAAGGGGUGACGUGGAUAUGUGGGAUAAGGUUGCCAGCUGCAUCAUGGAGAUGGCUAGAGAGGUGUUGGGUAUUUUGAGGUGUCGGUAUAAGGGGGACUGGUGGUGGAAUGAAGAAGUUAAGAGGAAAGUAGAGAUUAAGAAGGGGGUAUAUGUUAAGUUGAUUGAGAGUAAAGAUAAAGAGGAGAAGCAGGUGAAUAAGGAGGUUUAUAAAGUAGCAACGAAAGAGGCUAAGUUAGCAGUUACGGCUGCUAAGACAACAAUGUUUGAGAACUUGUAAGCGGGGUUAGAGGAGAAAAAUGGGAAAUAAAAGGUUGUAUAGGCUGGCUAAGGCUAGGGAGAGGAAGGGUUGUGACCUCAAUCAAGUAAAGUGCAUUAAGGGGGAGGAUAGUAGAGUUUUGGUGGAGGAUGUUCGCAUUAAGAAAAUAUGGCAGGAGUAUUUUCAUAGACUUUUGAACGGGGGAGGGGGGGACAGAGUCAUCGAGUUAGGGGAGCUGGAGUGCUCGGAGGAGAGCCAUGAUUUCAGUUACUGCAGAUAUUUUAAGGUUAAGGAGGUCAGAGAGGCUAUUCGUAAAAUGUGGAGGGGUAGGGCGACGGGGCUUGACGAGAUUUUAGUGGAUUUUUGGAAGUAUACUGGUAAAGCAGGUUGAAGGUGGUUGAUUGAUUUGUUUAACGACAUUUUCAAGACUACAAGGAUGCCUAAGGCUUGGAGAUGGAGUACGAUGAUUCCGUUAUAUAAAAACAAGGGUGACAUUCAGAGCUGCAACAACUAUAGGGGUAUUAAGCUAUUAAAUUAUAUUAUAAAGAUUUGGGAGAGGGUGGUUGAGCAAAGAUUGAGGAGGGUCGUGUCCAUUUUGGAGAAUCAGUUUGGUUUUAUGCCUGGUCACUCGACGACAGAGGCAAUUCACCUGGUAAGGAGAUUGGUAGAGCAGUAUAGGUAAAGGAAGAGGGAUUUACAUAUGAUGUUCAUCGACCUGGAGAAGGCGUAUGACAAAGUCCCUAAGAAGGUUCUUUGGAGAUGCUUGGGGGUGAGAGAGGUUUUGGUAGCAUACAUCAGAGCUAUUAAGGACAUGUACGAUGGAGGAAAGACUCGGGUGAGGAUGGUGAGAGGAUACUUAAGGCAUUUUUCAAUCGAGAUAGGGUUGCAUCAGGGAUCAACUUUUAGCCCAUUUUUGUUUGCGUUGGUGAUGGACGUGUUGACGUGGAGUAUUCAAGGUGAGGUGCCUUGGUGUAUGUUAUUUGCGGAUGAUGUAGUGUUGAUUGAUGAGACGCGGGAGGGUGUGAAUGAAAGAUGGGAGGUUUGGAGACAAACCCUUCAAUCUAAGGGGUUCAGGUUGAGUAGGUCCAAGACAGAGUAUAUGGAAUGCACGUUUAGUGACUUGAGUUAGGAGGACGAAGUGGUAGUGAGGUUAGAUUCCCAGGAUGUUUGUAAGAGUGAUAGUUUUAAGUAUCUUGAAUCUAUGAUUCAGGAGAAUGACAAGAGUAAUGAAGAUGUCCGUAAACGUAUUGGAGCAGGUUGGAUGAAGUGGAGGCUCGCCUCGGGAGUAUUGUGUGAUAAGAAUGUGCCCCUUAAGCUUAAAGGCAAAUUAUACAGAGUGGCAUUCUGUCCGGCCAUGUUGUAUGGAGUGGAGUGUUGGCCAGUCAAGAAAUUUUAUAGUCAGAGAUUGAAGGUGGCGAAAAUGAGCAUGUUGUGUUGGAUGUGUGGACUUACUAUAGGGGAUUGAGUUAGGAAUGAGACUAUCAGGGAGAAGAUGAGAGUGACUUUGGUAGAGGAAAAGUUGCAAAAAGAAAGACUGAGAUGGUUUAGGCAUGUGAUGAGGAGGCUCACGGUUGCACUAGUUCGUAGGUGUGAGAGGCUAGCUUUGGAUGUCUUUAGAAGGAGUAGAAGUAGGCCGAAGAAAUACUGAAGGAAGGUGAUUAGACAUGACAUGGAGUAGCUACAGCUUACUAGGACAUGACCCUAGAUAGGAAGGUAGAUAGGAAGGUGUGGAGGUCGUGGAUAAGGGUAGAAGACUAGUGUGAGUGAGUGGGUUGUAGCAAGGUGUUAGGAGAGCUCUUGCGUAGCCGGGUUAGUAAUCCUAGGAUUGUGUCCUUUAGUAGGAGCCUCUAUUCAGGAGAGUUUGGGUGUGGUGGGUGUCUUUGGUCUGUGAGUGUAUGUUACUACUAGGUGGGUGUCCUAUCUCUUAUUUCUUAUUUUCAAUUGCUCGAAUUUCUCUUAUUUCCUAUUUAUCUGAUAUCUAUUUUAUUAUUUCUUAUUUCUUAUUUCUAUUAUGUCAUCCAUCCUUCAUCAUGUUUCACUACGACCUUGUGUACUAUUCUCUAUUCUGAGUGGGGUCUAUCGGAAACAACCUCUCUACUUCCUCGGAGAUAGCGGUAUGGACUACAUUUUACCCUCCCCAGACCUCACUUUGUGGGAAUACACUGGGUUUUUUGUUGUUGUUGUACCUCUACCUCGCUUGAAACUAUCUCUAGCCAACUGCUCACACCUCCACACUGGGGCAUCCGCGUCCCUCCUCAUCACAUGACCGAACCAUCCCAGCCUCGCUUCCCUCAUCGGGUGGAUCUUCCACCGAAGCCACUCCUACCUUAUCUCUAAUUUUACACAAAAAAAAUUACUAAUUUCAUAUGUAUUAUGCUCAAUAAGGCUAUGAGGGAUGUGGUGUCAAAUUUUAUUUUAUUUUUAUAAUCAUGGUGUCCUAGCCAACUUUCGGACACCUCGACUAAUUCCAUGAAAUGCUUGCCACCUCUCACUCAUUAGCAGACAGCUAGUAACUCUGUUCACCAAGGCCAGGACGUUGGAAAGAAAUCACCCAGUAUUUUUUGUCCAAUAUCACAUUCAAUAUAACUCAUUUUAUCUAUUACAGCAAUAAAAUUAGGGCAUUUAAUUAGAAAAAAAAGGGCUAAGUUAACUUACAGAAAAAUCGAAAGAUGAAACAGAAGGAAGAGGAUGUGUGAAGGCAGAAUUGAAGAUUGGAGAGACACAAGUGGCGGUGCAAAGAGAUAACAAAUCCAUUUUUUCCAACGCAUUAAUUAUUAUAUGCUCUGGAAAUCUAUCCAUUGAUGCCUCAAAAUUGCCUUCGGAGUUUCCACCUCCUCCUUUAUUGCCGCCGCUACCACCACCGACUUCUUCUCCAGUACGGUGUCGCUUGGAAUUUCUGUCCAUGAAUGGAAAUAGAAACAAAACCUAAUUCCUAUUUCCUGCAAUUCUCCAGCAAAAAAAGUACAAAAAUUAGUUUGUAAAUUACUAUUUGAAUGCAAUUCAUAAUUUGCAUUUGCGGAACACAUUUUCCAUGGUGAAUCUAUAUAACGAUAAUGUAUACAGUGUAAUUUGAUGAGUGGAGUUCUAAAUGACUAUUAUUAAUGAAAACUUAAUGAAUUUAUACUUGUUAGCGAUAGUAAACAAUUAAAACAGUCUAAAAGAAGUACCCGGAGUUUACUUUAUUAUGUGUUUCUGUUAACAGACAAACUUUAAAGGUUAUUACUUAUUUGGUUGUAUAAACGAUAAUAUAUCCAGUGUAAUUUCAUGGAUAUACAUCUCUUUAUAGAGUUGUAUAGAUUAUUGUGAAAAUAGUACUUUCUAUGGAAUAGAAUGUUGAACCUCAUGUAAAUAGAUUCAAGAUUGACUACUCCUUAGUAAAGCCACCUUGAUUUUAGUAAAGCCACCUUGAUUUUGGUCAUAGAUGUAUUUAGGCCUGUUAUUGUUUUGUAUAGAUAAUUAUGUACCUAGCCCAGUUGUAAUAGAAAUAUAUACUUUCUAGUAUAUGUAUGUAAAUAUCGUACACUGACCGGACAGUUAUCAUUUUUCAAGAAGAAGAAAUAUUUCUCUCCAUACCUUUACCUUUCUAAGAUCAGUGAAGCUUCUAAAGUAAUUCAAAAAUAGAGAUUUAUCUCCCUUACAUUCUCGUUGUUAAUAUGGUAUCAGAGCCUUUAGCUCAUCAUUCAUCUAUAUUUCGGAUCUGUGUGCUGAAUUUUCUCACAUUUCGGAGCUUUGAGCUGAUUUUUUUGGCAACAUUCUACACCUUUUAGGGUUCCAGUGUCCAUACGGUCGGAAUCCACUUCAGUUUCCGCCGCAAAUCUGUGUAAUUUGAGGUGGUUAUCAGCUUGAUUUGAAGUUUGGUUUUUGUCUUCGAAGUGCGGUCACAACGGCAUUUGUUUUUUAUUUUUCAUUUUGGCUUUUACAACGAGGUUUAGCUACUCUUUCAGCCGAGAAAAAAUCUGGUAUUGUUUCCUCAACCUUAUUAAACAUUUUCGUGUUGUGUCUUUGUUGUUUGGUACGCCUUGAUUUUGUGUAGUUAUGGCUCCGAAUGUUGCAAAUUCUACUACUUCUAGUGUAGAUGCUGAUGUGGUUUCUGUUGUUAACCCUUCAUCUCCAUUAUACCUCCUAUCAUCUGAUUCUUCUGGCACAAUUUUUGUUACCACGCCCUUUAAUGGGACGGGUUAUGGAAGUUGGCAUCGAGGAAUGUUGUUACGGUUAUCCUGUAAAAACAAACUAGGUAUGAUCAGUGGUUCCAUUCCUAAGCCUUUUGCUACUGAUCCACAUUUUCAAGCAUGUAUUAGGUGUAAUGAUAUGGUGGUAGCACGGAUUCUAAACAGUCUAGAUAAGGAAAUUAGGAAAAUUGUGAUGUACACUGAAUCUGUGGAGAUUUUAUGGAAGGAAGUUGAAUGUAGAUUUGGUCAGGCUAGUGGUACCAAAAUUUUCCAAAUCAGGAAAGAACUUUCUUCAAUUUUCCAAGGAUCCUCGAGUGUUGCUUCCUACUUCAAAAGAAUUAAGAAAUUCUGGGAUCAAUUGUCUUUCUCCAUUACCUAUCCUGAUUGUACUUAUGGGUGUAAGGAUGGUUUUCUCAAGUUAGAAGAGGAGCAGAGAGUUCAUUAGGCAUCAGAAGGAACAUCCUCAUGUUAAAACCCCUUCCUGACAUUGAUAAUGUGUAUUCAAUGUUGAUAACUGAUGAGUGUCAAUCUGAGGUGCACAAUAAUCUCCCUUCCUUCAAUUCCGACUCUGUUUCUUUCUGCACUGGUAACCAAAGACCAUAUAAUCAAAAGCCAAGUUCAGAAUCUGGUGGUUUAUCUACUACUAUUUCCAGAUCCUACAAUUCCAGGAUCACUUUUGACUAUUUCUUCCAAAAGAAACACUAUGAUUUGUAGAUAUUGCAUGAAACCUGGGCAUCAAAUUUAGAGAUGCUACAAGUUGCAUGGAUUUCCUUCUGCCACAUCUAUUGGACAACCUAAAUUCAAGAAAUCUGCAGCUUUUGCCCAGGUCUCAGAGUCCCAGCAAUUAAGCACCUCUGAUUCCCCUACUUGCAAUACUUCCCCAGCUAAUUCUAGCAUUUCCAAGGAACAAUUUGAGUAGCUCUUAAGUCUGUUUCAGCAGGCUAAAAUUACUAGUCCAUCUUCUCAAGAGAUCACUGUUGGUUCUGUUAACUUUGCACGUUUGCUUAAUAGUUCUGAUUCUAGACUUUGUAGUUUGCUUGCUUGUAACGUCUCUAAGGUAGACAAUAGUACAUGGAUCAUAGACUCGGGUGCCACUAAUCACAUGAUACCACAUUCUUCAUUUCCUUCCAAUAUCACACCUCUCACAAUUCCUUAUCUUGUGACUUUACCCACUGGGUACAAAGUUGAAGUCACAAGUACUGGUACUCUUACUCUUUCUCCUGAUAUCUCCUUAACCAAUGUGUUACUAGUUCCUUCAUUUCAGUGAACUCUGAUUUCUCUUGCUCAGCUAAUUCUCCAAUUACAUUGUUCAGCCUACUUUACUUCCACUGCAUGCAUUUUGUAGGGCCUUCUCUGAAGAGAGGCCAGUGGAUCUGUGUAGCCUUCAAGCUGGGCUUUACAUCCUCAAUCCUCUUUCACUUACAUCAACUACUUGUUCUUCUACUUCUUUACAUGAUUCAUUUGUAAAUACCAUUACUGCCACUCUAUUUAAUGACAUAAAUAAGAGCAAGUCUUCUACAUCUGACUCUACUGUUACUGUUUCUUCUUCUGUUCUUAAUGCGGCACUGACUACUUCUACUUUACCUACUUUGUCAAUAAAUAAGAUUUGGCAUUUGUGAUUAGGACAUAUGCUGUUUACCAAGAUGCUUAACUGUUCCAAUUUAUAACUGAACGAGUUUAUUGAAUUUUGAACAUAAGUCUAAUUAUCUUAUUCAUUAUUGACACACCUUAAGCUAAUUUCAUGUUAACAACGAGAAUAUAAGGGAGAUAAAUCUCCAUUUCUAAAUUACUCUAGAAGCUUCAGUGAGCUUAGAAAGGUAAAGGUAGAGAGAGAAAUAUUUCUUCUUCUAGAAAAUGGUAACUGUCCAGUCAAUGUACCAUACUAGGCCGGGUACAUAAUUAUCUGUACAAAACAAUAACAUCUAUGACCCAAAAUCAAGGUGGCUUUACUAAGGAGUAGUCAAUCUUGAAUCUAUUUACAUGAGGUUCAACAGCCCCCCUCAAGUUGGAAGGGCUUGCCAUUCCAAGCUUGGAAAUGAAGUGUUGAUAAGCAACACCAAGAAGGGACUUUGUAAAUAUAUCAGCAAGUUGAGCAUUGGUGGAGAUGGAAUGAAGCGAAAUGAGACCAUCAGUUAGAGCUUGCCCGAUGAAGUAGCAAUCCACUUCAAUAUGUUUGGUACGCUCGUGAAAAACAGGAUUCUUGGUAAUGUGGACAGCUGCAUGACUGUCACAGAACACAUGUACAGGAGUGAGAUCAUGAACACCCAAUUGAGCAAAUAAACGGACCAGCCAAGUAAUUUCACCAACUACGAGCCUUACGGCUUUGUAUUCUGCCUCAGCUGUUGAUAAAGCAAUAGUGGGCUACUUCUUGGACUUCCAAGAGAUAUGACAGUGUCCAAGGAAUAGAACAAAUCCUGAAACAGAUCAACAGGUAGCAGCACAGCUGGCCCAAUCAGAAUCAAAAUAGCCUUUGAGAGAAAAAUCGGAGGAGUUAUUGAGCAGAAGUCCCAAACGAGGAGUACCAGCCAAAUAUUCCAAAACACGAUGAGCAGCAGUGAGAUAAGUAGUUCGGGGAGAAGCCAUGAACUGGCUAAGAUGUUGAACUGUAAAAGACAAUUCUGUUGAACUGUAAAAGACAAUUCUGGUCUCGUGUGUUGAAGGAAAUUUAGCUUUCCACCAAACUUUAUGUACACAGAAGGAUCAGGUAACAAAUACCCAGAAUCAGAAGAUAGCUUCACGUGAGGGUCAAGUGGUGAAACAACAGAAUUAACAUUAGUAUAGUGAAAUUCGGACAAUAGAUCCAAUGCAAACUUAUGUUGGCUGACCAAGAACCUCGUCGAAGUAUGGAUAAUUUCCAGACCAAGGAAAUAAUGUAUAAGGCCAAGGUCCUUAAUUCUGAACUUAUCAUCCAGCAAAAGCUUGAGAGAAGAAAUUUCAGAUUCAUCAUCACCAGCCAAGAGAAUAUCAUCCACAUAAACAACCACAAUAGUAAGACUAGUGCCAACUAAUUUUCUGAACAAAGAGUAGUCAUUCAUGCUAGGGAUGAAACCCCUAGACUCUAAAGCAGAAGAUAGUUUGGCAUACUAUUGUCUCGAGGCUUGUCUAAGACCAUAGAGGGACUUAUUAAGGCGACAUACCAACAUAGUAAAUGAAGAAGNNNNNNNNNNNNNNNNNNNNNNNNNNNNNNNNNNNNNNNNNNNNNNNNNNNNNNNNNNNNNNNNNNNNNNNNNNNNNNNNNNNNNNNNNNNNNNNNNNNNNNNNAAACAUUUAAUGGUGGUCAUUUUGACCACUUUAGAAAAAGUUUCAGUAAAAUCUAUACCCUCUUGCUGGGCAUCCCCUCAAAUGACCAACCUAGCAUUGUAUCUUUCAAUAGUGCCAUUAGACCUCUGUUUGAUUUUAUAAACCCAUUUACGUGGAAUGGCCUUCUUACCAGCAGGUAAAGGGACAAUAUCCCAUGUAUGAGUGUCUUUCAAACCCUUAAAUUCUUUCAUCAUGGCUUCCUGCCAGGCAAGAUUGGAAACAACCUGAUGGUAGAAUUGAGGUUCUUGCAAGGAAGUCUCAAAAGAUAGAGAAAUAAUCCUAGAACUUGAAACAGAGAUGCACACAUAAUCAUUGAGGUAAGCUGGAGGAUGAGAUGAUCUAGAAGACUUUCUUUGGGCAGAGAUAGGAACAGAAGUUGGGAUAACAGUGGUAGAAAUAAGGACAACUGAAGGAGAAGAGGGAUUAUGAGGUAUAGGGAGAGAGAGAUCAGGAGGAAAAAGAUGAGGUGAAGUAGAAGAUUAAUAAAGGAAAACAUUUUCAUGGAAUAUGACAUCCCUGGAGUGAAAAAUGCUAUGAUUAGAUAGUCUGAAAAGUUCAUAACUUUUCCUGCCAUGACUAUACCCAAGAAAAACCGAGGGGUAUGGCAUGGAUUGAAACUUAUCUCUAUGUGGUUUAGGUACAGCAGCAAAACAUAGGCAACCAAAAGCUUUCAAAUGUGUAAAAGAAGGUGAAAUACCAUGAAGUAACUCAAAAGGGGAUUUGUAAUUCAAAAGUGUUGUGGGAAACCUAUUUAUCAUAUAAGUAAGAACACAUUCUCCUCAAUACUUGACUGGGAGUUUGGAUUGACAUAAAAGGGCUCUAGCAGUUUCAAGAAGACGCUUGUGUUUCCUCUUCACCACACCAUUUUGUUGUGGUGUGUGAGGACAAGAGGUUUGAUGCAAGGUUCAUGUGUUGAAAAAAAAUAGAAGCUGCUGAACUACACCCCCAAUUCAAGGGCAUUGUUAGAUCUGACCAUCUGAACAGUGGUGUUAAAUUGGGUUUUAACCAUAAAGAUGAAAGAUUGUAUGAGAGUGAAGGAAUUACCCUUCGUAUGUAAGAGAUGUGUACAAGUAGCUCUAGUAAAGUCAUCUACUAUUGUCAAGAAAUAUUUAAAACCAUUAUAAGUUUGAGUAUGAUAAGGACCCCAAAGAUCCAAGUGAAUUAAUUGAAAAGGAGAAGUGGAGUGAAUGGAACUCCUAGGGAGGGGGAGUCUUUGUUGCGUAGCCAUGGACAAAUAGGGCAUAAGAAGGAUUGUUUCUUAGGUAGGACAUCAAAUAAACAAGAAAGUUUAACAACAGAAAAAUCAGAGAAGAAAAUUCAACAUAUUAGAAGAUAAGAACAACAACCAAUAACAUACCUAAUGUAAUUUCACAUGUAGAGUCAAAGAAGGUAGGAUGUAUAAGGAUCUUACCUGUCUCUGUGGAUAGGGGCUGUUUCAAAUAACUCACAAGAAUUCUAUAUUUCAGUCUCCAAAAUAAUACCUCAUAUUUAUAGGUGUUAACCCAAAUGGUUAGUUAAAGGUUAGUUUGAUUUCAUUAAUGGAAGAUAAAAUAAUUUAUUAAAUAAUAAGUAAAUGUAACUAUAUUAGAGUAAGAAAGAUUUUUCAAAUCAAUAAUAAGCAUUCAUAUGUUACUCCAACGGCUAGUUAACGGCUAGUUAAUGGUUAGUUUGUUGUAAUAUUAGAGUUGGAAACUUGGAGUAACACAAGAAUACUCAUUGUUGAUUUUGAAAAAACUUUCUUUCUCUAAUCUUAUUUUAAACUAACCAUUAACUAGUCGUUGGAGUAACACAAAAAUACUCAUUAUUGAUUUGGAAACGCUUUCUCUUAUCUUAUAUUGACUAACCAUUAACUAGCUGUUGGAGUAAUACAAAAAUUAAUAAUUUGGAAAAGCAUUCUUUCUCUAAUUUUAUAUUUACUAACCGUUAACUAGCCGUUGGAGUAACACAGGAAUACUCAUUAAUAUUGUGAGAGAACUUUCUCUUAUCUUACAUCAAACUAGUUGUUGGAGUAAUACAAAAAUUAAUAAUUUGGAAAAGCAUUCUUUCUCUAAUAUUAUAUUUACUAACCGUUAACUAGCCGUUGGAGUAACACAGGAAUGCUCAUUAAUAUUGUGAGAGAACUUUCUCUAAUCUUACAUCAAACUAACCGUUAACAAGCCGUUGGUAAUAUAUGAAUGCUUAUUAUUGAUUUGGAUAAUCUUUCGUACUCUAAUAUUGUUAUUUUUACUUACUAUUUGAUAAAAUUGACAUUAAUGAAAUCAAACUAGCCGUUAACUAACCGUUUGGGUUAACACCUAUAAAUAGAAGGCAUUAUUUUGGAGAUUGAAAUAUAGAAUUCUUCAGAGUUAUUUGAGACAACCUUUACGAACAAAGACAGGUAAGAUCUGUAUACAUCCUACCUUCUCAAACUCUACUUGUGAAAUUACAUUAGGUUUAUUAUUGGUUGUUCUUAUCUUCUAAUAUGCUGAAUUUUCUUUCUUGAUUUGUUUUUGUCCCAAUUUAUAACUGAACAUGUUUAGUGAAUCUUGAGCACAAGUCUAAUUAUCUUAUUCAUUAUUGAGACACCUUAAGUGUAACGCCCCGCAUUUUGGGCUAGAAUAAAAACCAUGAUUUUGAUGCGUUGUUAAUCCCGAAGUCAUAAAAUCCUAUGCCAAUACGGCAUGUUAAUUAUUGUAUAGCAUUUGAAUCCUCUAAAUCUUGAAUUUAGACCAUAGAGGUCCUUCAACUCAAGGACGAGUUAAAACAAUUUCGGUCGACUAAGUUUUAGUGGACGUUGUAAAGUGUGCCAGCUUCCAUCGACCAUAAUUCUCUAUAUAUGUCGAAUUAGGAAGCCUACUAUGUGUCAAAUGAUAAGUAUUCGAGUUAGCUUUCCAACGAUACCAAUUUGGAUAAAAUUCAACACCCGAGCAAGAACUUAUGACCUUUCAAAGUGAUAAGCGACGCCUAACCAAUCGCCCAUGGCCACUGGAAAGCAUAGGCGAUAGCCUAGGCGGCGCCUACGUGAAGAUAGGCGAUGGGAUGGGCGGGAUUUAGCCCUAAAACACGAGACUUAGUUCCAAGGACCCCAAAAUACAUAUUCUUUCAUCAAAAGUGCUCAAGAUUUUCCUUAGGGUUUCAAAAUAAAAUAAAAAAACCCAAAUAGUUCAAGAUUUGACCGUAGGUUUUCAAAGAUAAUUACAUAUUUGGAAUCACCAAUCCGCAAGCUUCAAGAAACAUAUAUUAUCUUUGGAAAUAGAGGAACGUGGGGUUAUCCAAAAAUCUCAUGGGUGUAAUCUUUAUGAACAUGCAUGCUUUUAAAUGGGGGUUUUCAAUGAAAUGCUAAUAUGUUGCUUUCAAUAUGAUUUCUAAGUCAUUUAAUUUAUGUCAUGGGAAUUGUUUGCCUAUAUACUUCAAUGGUUGAAACCAUGCAUAUGUGAUUUGAGAUUUUCCAUGGAAGUUUGAUAAAUAUGAAUGAUAAAUUGUUUUUUUCAAAUUCCCAUGAUAAUGUUUUGAUACUUCAUAUCAUAUUGAGAUCAACAAAAGAGAGCAUGAAUUUGAAAUAAAUAUUGUUCACUACUUGUAAAUGAUGAAGCACCUUGGCUUUUACAUGAUUAUGCAUAUGUGGAUGUGAUAUUGAUGACUUGCAAGUCGGGUAUAAUGAUACCCUACAAAAUGUGAUAUGCGAUUGAAUAAGAUGAAAUUUGAAUGCAUUGAUUUUAUAUGAGAAAGGUGGACGCCCGAAGAAGGCGUUUGAGACACAAGCGGCUCAUCGCUGGAAGAACGUGUUUGCCGACACGGAAUAUCGGUACCAUGCUUUAUGGUCUUGUGUACCUGAUAUUAUAUUAUCCCAAAUUAGGAUUAUGGUUAGUAUCCAUGCUUUGUGGUCUUGUACACUACCAUAUUUGAUUUGGGUCGAGACACCAUGCUUUGUGGUCUUGUGCGUCUCUCCCUCACUUAUACUCUAAUCUCGGCGGCAACCGAGGUUUGACAGUUGGUGUAAAUUAUGUAGGGUAUUCCACCUAGCUCAGUUGAAUUUCAUUAUUGUUGAGAAAAAAACUAUUGCAUUACACCCAUGUGUUUUCAAAUGAUUUGAUACGAAAUUGCUUUAUAAUGGCUCUUAACUAUAUUUUGUAAAAAUAUUAUAUUUUGCUUUGAUAUCUCUGCGUGCCAGUACUUUUGUGCUGACCCCCUCCCCUCUCCAACCUCUCAGGUUUAGAGGUCCAGUCUAGGGGUCAAGAGAAUCAGUAGAACUUUCAGACAGAGCUGUAAAGACAAGUGAUGAGCCUUUUAUGUUUUGGAAGGUCUUAUGUCCUGCAGUACUUUUACCUUUUAUUCAAUUUUUGGGUUUGCUGGGGCCUUGUCCCAGUUUUCAGAUAGACAUUGUUUCAGUCAUAUAGUAGAGAUUUCGCAGACGAUUUUAGAAAUGUUGAUUUAGAUUGUGGGACACUAUUCCCCAUUGUCGUUUUCAUAUGAUUCUUGACCAUGUUUCCGUUAUAUUAUGUUUCUUUCGUAUUACUUUGACCAUAUGAAUUAUGUGCAUGAUUAUCAGAAAGAUAGAGGUGUUUCGGGCCUCCAUGGUUUGAAAUGCUCGUCACGGCCAGGCCCUGGUUCGGGUCAUGACAAACUUGGUAUCAAAGCACGGUUCAUGGUCCCAGGGUGCCUGCAAAAUCGCGUCAGGUAGAGUCUUGUUUAUGGGUGUGUAGUGCGCCACACUUAUAAGAAGGAGGCUACUUGGCGUUUAGGAAAUUUUUUCCUUCUUUUUGAUUUAGUUCAUGCUUUAGAGUCUGAACUGUACCCUAAUCAAUGAUCACUUGUGUUUUAGAAACACAGUUAUGCCUCCAUGUCGUAUCGUCGAUCAGAAUGCUCAGGCAGAUGAGGUCCGUCCCACCCAGGGGAUGCAGACCCAUAACAGGGCUCACACUCCAUAAUUUGUCCCUUCUCCAGGAGUCCCUCUAGUUCUGACCAGUCCACCUCAGGCUCUGCGGACUAAUGCCAACCAUCCCCCAAUUGCUCAGGGAGAUAUUUCAAAUGCAAAAUUUAGACGGUCUAUUCAUAUGCUGACACAGUUAGUAGCUAACCAGGAUCAACAAUCGGAAUAUGUUGGGUCUGCAUCUGUUACAUCUGAGGCUACUAGAGUCGGAUAUUUCAUGAAGAUGAACCCACCUAAGUUCAUUGGCACCAAGGUGGAGGAAGAUCCACAGGAGUUCAUGGAUGAUAUGGAAAAGAUCUUUAAGGUGAUGUAUGUGGAUGAGGUUAAAGGGGUGGAGCUAGCAACCUAUCAGCUCAAGGACGUUGUGAAUCAUUGGUAUGCCGACUGGGAAGAUGAAAAGGGUGAAAGUGUUGAGCCUAAGUUUGGGGCGAAUUUGUGGAAGCUUUCCUUGAUUGAUUCUUUCCACUGGAGUUGAGGGAGGCCAAAGCGGAAGAGUUUAUGAAUCUGAAGAAAGGCAGUAUGAGUGUCCAGGAGUAAACUUUGAAGUUUAAUAAACUAGCCCGCUAUGCACCAGAGUUGACUAGUAAUAUGAGGGCCCGAAUGAGAAAAUUUGCAUUCGGCCUUACUGAUGACCUAGUACUUGAGUGCCAGGGGGCUAUGUCGAAUAAGGAGUUAGACUUUGCUCGACUGACCGUUCAUAUGCAUCAAGUGGAAGAGAAGAAGAAAAAGAUUGCUGAUAUAAAGAGAAAGAUAGACAGGAUAAAAGAGCUAGAUCUGUGGAUCAGCACCAGAGUCAGCCGCAGAGUGGUAACUGGGAUAAUAAGUGGUCGAACAAGAAGAAGUUUUGGAAUAAUGUACAGUCAGCAGCCAGCUCCCCAGCACCCAGACCACCGACAGACAGACAAACUCAGAGUUUUCAGACUCCUCAUGGGUCCAAAGCUCUAGGUACACAGUCUCAAGGUAGCUUGGCCCAGCAGCGGCGUACUCGUCUACAGUGUGAGGUUUGUGGAAGGAAUCAUCUAAGGAAGUGCUGGUUUGAGGGGAGAAACUGCUAUACUUGUGGCAAAGUGGGUCACCUUCAGAGAGAUUGUCCAUCUUCUUGAAUAAAUGUGAGGGGGGCUAAGUCCCAAGCCACCUCUACAGCUCUUUUUUCUAAGGAUGCCCCUUCAGCUGCCGGAAGCGUUCGCAACCGGUUAUAUUCUUUGACUAACCGCCAGGAGGCGGAAGCUUCACUAGAUGUUUUCACCGGUAUGUUAUGAAUCUUUUCUCUUGAUGUUUAUGUAUUGCUUGAACCCGGGUCUACUUUAUCCUAUGUGACCCCUUAUGUGGCUAUUGGUUUUGGGUUUGAACCCGAAGUUAUUAUAGAACCCUUCUCUUUUUCUACUCCUAUAGGUAAUUUUGUUGUUGUUAGAAGGGUAUAUAGAAAUUGUGUCGUGUCUGGUCAUAGUAGAAAAACUGUGGCAGACCUUAUAGAACAGGAUAUGAUAGAUUUUGAUGCCAUCCUUGGGAUGGACUGGCUCCAUUCUUGUUAUGCCACCCUUGAUUGCAGAACCCGAAAGGUCAUUUUUUCUUUCCUGAAUGAGACCAGUUAUAUGGGCAGGGAGUUCUGUGGAACAUAGAGGUCACUUUAUCUCUUAUCCUAUAGCCCGAAAGCUUAUCUCCAAAGGGUUUAUGUAUCAUCUAAUCCGAGUGAAAGAUUCAAAAGUUGGAAACCUUUCUCUACAGUCAGUCCCUGUAGUGAAUGAAUUCCUAGAAGUCUUUCCCGAAGAUAUAUCCUCUCACAGGGAGAUAGAUUUUGGCAUUGAUGCGUUGCCAGACACUCGUCCUAUUUCUAUUCCGCCAUACAGAAUGGCUCCCGCGGAACUAAAGGAGUUAAAGGAACAGCUUGCAGACCUCCUAGACAAAGGCUUUAUUCUUCCUAGUGUUACCGGUGCUCUUCGGUGUAAAUAAGGUUGGGACCCUUCGGAUGUGCAUAGACUACCGUCAGUUGAAUAAGGUCACAAUUAAAAAUAAAUAUCCUCUUCCUAGUAUUGACGAACUUUUUGACCAGCUUCAGGGUGCCAAGUACUUUUCAAAAAUAGACCUUCAUUCGGGUUAUCAUCAGUUGAAAGUUAGGGAGUCAUACAUACUCAAGACAGCCUUCCGAACCUGAUAUGGUCACUACGAAUUUCUAGUCAUGUCCUUCGGGUUAACUAACGCCCCUGCAGCCUUCAUGGAUCUUAUGAAUGGAUUGUUCCAUCAGUUUCUUGACUUGUUCGUCAUUGUAUUUAUUGAUGAUAUUCUGAUCUAUUCUAAGAAUAAAGAGGAUCACGCCAAUCACCUCCGAAUUAUCCUCCAGACCCUUAAGGAUCAUCAGUUGUAUGCCAAAUUUUCUAAGUGUGAAUUCUGGUUAGACGCUAUUGCCUUCGUAGGGCAUAUUCUGUCUAGUGACGGGAUAAGAGUGGAUCCCUAAAAAGUUGAAGCAGUGAUAAAAUGGCCUAAACCCAUGACUCCAACUGAUAUUCGGAGCUUCUUGGGUUUGGCGGGGUAUUACAGAAGGUUCGUAGAGAAUUUUUCUUCCAUAGCUGCUCCGCUUACUAAACUAACUCAGGAAAAGAUGAAGUUUGUAAGGUUUGACUUGUGUGAAAACAGUUUUGAGAAAUUGAAGGACAAGCUGACUACUGCUACUAUUUUGACCCUUCCGAGGGUGUAGAUGAUUUUAUGAUUUAUUGUGAUGCGUCCCGUGUGGGACUUGGUUGUGUAUUAAUGCAGCGUGGUAAGGUGAUAGCUUAUGCAUCUAGGCAGUUGAAGGUGCAUGAGCGCAAUCACCCCACUCAUGACUUGGAGUUAGCAGCUGUGGUGUUUGCACUUUGAAUUUGGAAGCACUAUCUCUAUGGAGUGCAUGUUGAUAUUUAUACUGACCAUAAGAGUUUACAGUAUGUUUUCUNNNNNNNNNNNNNNNNNNNNNNNNNNNNNNNNNNNNNNNNNNNNNNNNNNNNNNNNNNNNNNNNNNNNNNNNNNNNNNNNNNNNNNNNNNNNNNNNNNNNNNNNNNNNNNNNNNNNNNNNNNNNNNNNNNNNNNNNNNNNNNNNNNNNNNNNNNNNNNNNNNNNNNNNNNNNNNNNNNNNNNNNNNNNNNNNNNNNNNNNNNNNNNNNNNNNNNNNNNNNNNNNNNNNNNNNNNNNNNNNNNNNNNNNNNNNNNNNNNNNNNNNNNNNNNNNNNNNNNNNNNNNNNNNNNNNNNNNNNNNNNNNNNNNNNNNNNNNNNNNNNNNNNNNNNNNNNNNNNNNNNNNNNNNNNNNNNNNNNNNNNNNNNNNNNNNNNNNNNNNNNNNNNNNNNNNNNNNNNNNNNNNNNNNNNNNNNNNNNNNNNNNNNNNNNNNNNNNNNNNNNNNNNNNNNNNNNNNNNNNNNNNNNNNNNCACACUUCGAGGUAUAUCAUUCACCCAGGCUCUACUAAGAUGUACCAUGAUCUGAAAACCUUGUAUUGGUGGAAUAACAUGAAACGUGAUGUAGCUGAUUUUGUGUCCAAGUGUUUGAACUGUCAACAAGUGAAGGUAGAACACAUGAGGCCGAGUGGUACUUCCCAAGAGAUAGCCCUGACUUUAUGGAAGCGGGAGAUGAUAAACAUGGACUUUAUUACAGGACUUCUGAGAUCCCAAAACCAGUAUGAUUCUAUAUGGGUUAUUGUAGAUCGGUUGACCAAGUCAGCCCACUUUUUCGUGUGAGGACUAAUUAUUCGGGAGAGGUUUAUGCUAAGAUUUACAUUGAGGAGAUAGUUUGAUUGCAUGGGGCACCAGUGUCCAUUAUAUCCGAUAGAGGUACGUAUUUUUCAUAUUAGUUUUGGAGAUUCUUUCAGAAGGGUUUAGGUACACAAGUGAAUUUGAGCACAGCUUUCCACCCUCAGAUGGAUGGGCAAGCUGAGCAUACCAUUCAAGCCCUCAAAGAUAUGUUGAGGGCAUGUGUCAUUGAUUUCAAAGGUAGUUGGGUAGAUCACCUGCCACUGGUUGAAUUCACUUACAAUAAUAGCUACCAUGCCAGCAUCAAGAUGGCUCCUUUUGAGGCUUUGUAUGGGAGGAGAUGUAGGUCUCUGAUAGUAUGGUAUGAAGUAAGUGAGACUCAGUUGUAUGGGCCUGAGCGAUGGAAAAAGUAAAAAUCAUUAGAGAAUGACUCAAGACUGCUCAGAAUCAUUAGAAUUCCUAUGCCGAUGUUUGGAGAAGAGAACUAGAGUUUGAAAUUGGUGAUUGGGCAUUUCUCAAGGUUUCUCCUAUGGAAGGAGUUAUGUGGUUUGGAAAAAAAGGGUAAAUUGAGCCUUUGUUAUGUAGGGCCAUAUCAGAUUUUGAAGAAGAUUGGUACAGUUGUAUAUGAGUUAGAAUUGCCUACAAGUUUGGGUUUCGUUCAUCCGGUAUUCCAUGUAUCCAUGUUGAAGAAAUGCAUUAGAGAUCAUUCUAUGGUAUUUCCAGUAGAGGGUAUAAAAGUGACAGACUCCUUGUCUUACGAAGAAGAGCCCGUUGAAAUUUUAGAUCGCCAAGUUCGAAAUCUGAGGAGCAAAGAAAUAGCCUCAAUAAAGAUACUGUGGAGGAAUCAGAAGGUCGAAGAAGCAACUUGGGAGACAGAAGAUGAUAUGAGAAUUAGAUAUCCCAAUUUGUUUGCUUCGAUGGAGGAGGAGACAAAAGGUACUAUUCCUAUCUUAUCUUUUCUAGUCCAUUAUUAUGAUUGAAAUCGUGUCUGUCUGUGUCCCGCAUCAUCAUUCAGGGACAAAUGAUCCUAAGUGGGGGAUAAUGUAACGCCCCGCAUUUUGGGCUAGAAUAAAAACCAUGAUUUCGAUGCGUUGCUAAUCCCGAAGCAAUAAAAUCCCAUGCCAAUAUGGCAUGUUAAUUAUUGUGUAGCAUGUGAAUCCGCUCAAUCUUGAAUUUAGACCAUAGAGGUCCUUCAACUCAAGGACGAGUUGAAACUAUUUCGGUCGACUAAGUUUUAGUGGACGUUGUAAAGUGUGCCAGUUUCCAUCGACCAUAAUUCUCUGCAUAUGUCGAAUUAGGAAGCCUACUAUGUGUCAAAUGAUAAGUAUUCAAGUUAGCUUUCCAACUAUACCAAUUUGGCUAAAAUCCAACACCCGAGCAAGAAGUUAUGACCUUUUAAAGUGAUAAGCGAUGCCUAACCAAUCGCCCAUGGCCACUGGAAAGCAUAGGCGAUAGCCUAGGUGGCGCCUAUGUAAACAUAGGCGAUAGCCUAGGCGGAGCCUAAGUGAAGAUAGGCGAUGGGAUGGGCGGCGCCUAUGUAAGGAAUUUUGAAAAUUUAAACACUCCGUGUUGAGGCAAAGUGGUCCUUUUCCACCCUUACUUAGCCCUAAAACACGAGAUUUAGUUCCAAGGACCCCAAAAUACAUAUUCUUUCAUCAAAAGUGCUCAAGAUUUUCCUUAGAGUUUCAAAAUUAAAAAAAAAAAAACAAAUAGUUCAAGAUUUGAUCGUAGCUUUUCAAAGAUAAUAACAUAUUUGGAAUCACCAAUCCGCAAGCUUGAAGAAACAUCUAUUAUCUUUGGAAAGAGAGGUACGUGGGGUUUAUCCAAAAAUCUCAUGGGUAUAGUCUUCAUGAACAUGCAUGCUUUUAAAUGGGGGUUUUCAAUCAAAUGCUAAUAUGUUGUUUUCAAUAUGAUUUCUAAGUCAUUUACUUUAUGUCAUGAGAAUUGUUUGCCUAUAUACUUCAAUGGUUGAAACCAUGCAUAUGUGAUUUGAGAUUUUCCAUGGAAGUUUGAUAAAUAUGAAUGAUAAAUUAUUUUUUUCAAAUUCCCAUGAUAAGGUUUCGAUACUCCAUAUCAUAUUGUGAUCAACAGAAGAGAGCAUAAAUUUGAAAUAAAUAUUGUUCACUACUUGUAAAUGAUGAAGCACCUUGGCUUUUACAUGAUUAUGCAUAUAUGGAUGUGAUAUUGAUGACUUGCAAGUUAGGUAUGACGAUACCCUACAGAAUGCGAUUGCGAUUGAAUAAGAUGAAAUUUGAAUGCAUUGAUUUUACAAGAGAAAGGUGGAUGCCCGAAGAAGGCAUUUGAGACACAAGCGACUCAUCGCUGGAAGAACGUGUUUGCCGACACGGAAUAUUGGUACCAUGCUUUGUGGUCUUGCGUACCUGAUAUUAUAAUGGCUCUCAACUAUAUUUUAUAAAAAUAUUAUGUUUUGCUUUGAUAUCUCUGUGUGCCAGUACUUUUGUGCUGAACCCCUCACCUCUCCAACCUCUCAGAUUCAGAGGCCUAGUCUAGGGGUCAAGAGAAUCAGUAGAACUUUCAGACAGAGCUAUAGAGACAAGUGGUGAGCCUUCUAUGUUUCGGAAGAUCUUAUGUCUUGCAGUCCUUUUACCUUAUAUUUAGUUUUUGGGUCUGCUGGGAGCCUUGUCCCAGUUUUCAGAUAGACAUUGUUUCAGUCAUGUAGUAGAGAUUUCGCAGACGGUUUUAGAGAUGUUGAUUUAGAUUGUGGGACACUAUUCCCCAUUGUCGUUUUCAUAUGAUUCUUGACCAUGUUUCUGUUAUCUUGUGUUUCUUCCACAUUACUUUGAUCAUAUGAAUUAUGUGCAUGAUUAUCAGACAGAUAGGGGUGUUUCGGGCCUCCAUGGUUUGAAAUGCUCGUCACGGCCAGGCCCUGGUUCGGGUCGUGACAUUAAGCUAAUUGUGAUCCAUAGGCAGUACUAUUUUCAUAAAAAUCUAUACUACUCUAUAAAGAGAUGUAUGUCCAUGAAACUACACUGAAUGUAUUAUUGCUUUUACUACAAAUAAGUAAUAACCUUUUGAAGUUUGUUCGUUAAUAGAAACACAUUAUACAGUGAACUCUGGGUACUUCUUUUAAACUGUUUUAAUUGCUUACUAUCUAUAACAAGUAUAAAUUCAUUAAGUGUUCAUUAAUAAUAGACAUUUUGAACUCCACUCAUGAAAUUACACUAUAUAGAUUAUUGUUAUAUAGAUUAGCCAUGGAAAACGUGCUCAGCAAAUGUAAAUUAUGAAUUGCAUUCAAAGAGUAAUUUAUAAACUAAUUUUUUGUACUUUUUUGCUAGAGAAAUUGCAGGUAAUUGAGGAAUUAAGUUUUGUUUUCUAUUUCCAUCCAUGGACGAAACUGCCAAGCGACACUGUACCAGAGAAGUUGGUGGCGGCAACGGCGGCGAGAAAGGAGGAGGAGGAAGCUCCGAUGGCGAUUUUGAGCCGUCAAUGGGUAGAUUUACGGAUCAUAUAAUAAUUAAUGUGUUGGAAAAAAUGGAUUUGGCAUCUCUUUGCACCGCUGCCUGUGUCUCUCCAACCUUCAAUUCUGCCAUUGCAUAUCGUCUUACUUUUGUUUAGUCCUUCCGAUCUUUCUGUAAGUUGAUUUUGCUUUUUUUUUCCUAAUUAAAUGCCCUAAUUUUAUUGUGUAUGAUUUACUAGUAGACUAGCUAAACCUACUGAAGGCAUUUUCUGGGCAUCACUUUGCUAAUGCGUAUGUGGGCUUUAGCAAGUGUACUGGUUCAAACAUUCGUCAUAAGAUAGUGUGAUGAAUCCUCUUAUUAUUGAAUAGAGUAAAAUGCAUGUGGAGAAUGUAGCGUAAACGACUUUCCAUUUGACCAUCUUUAGUUUUGCUAAAUGCGAUUCUUACUUCUGGGAUGAACUUUUAAUACUAGUAUCUUUGAUUUACGGGGAUUUUAUCUAAAUUAAGAGACUCUAAAACAUGUCGUGUGUAGAGUCCCAGGAGCCAAGAGUUUAACUAUGGAGUGCCUCCAGAUGAGGAAUGAUUCCUCCAUUACAUAUCGAAGAUUUGGGUUUUCUCAAAUGUUCCCAUCUGUCUUACGACAUUCUUCGUGCAAUUGGAGAAAGGUGCCUGAACUUAAGGUAUUCUCCUAUGUCAACAUAUCGGUAAACUGUUAUGAAAUGCUUCAUUGAUUAUGGUUUCACAUCUUUGAUGGUAAGAACUUUACAAGUGGUUGUAAUCAAUUUAACAGGGCUUAGAAGGCGUUCAUUGCCUCCAUUGAUGGAUUUUCAGACUGUUAUUAUCCUGAAAUUCUCUGCAUAAAUGUAUUUUAUUUAGAUCCACUCGCUGAAGCUCAUUUGUAAUUUUUAAGCAGAUUUUUUAAUUUAAAUAACUCGUUUGGGGAACCAAUUCAUUUAAAUUUGAUUUUUUUCUUUGCUGACCCUCGAUGAUAGCUGAUUUCUUAGGCUGUUCGGGUAUAGAAAACCUCAAACUGCAUUAGCUUUUGCACCUGGCAUGCAUUAAUUUCACUCUAUAUCUCCACCUCCGGAAGAUGGAACAGUCGAGAUAUAAUUAAGUCCAUUGUGGUUACACCAACAAUAUCUUGCUUUCAUACUCUUGUGUGACUUCCUGGAUUUGUUUCCAACGUGUGCUUUCUUAUUUCCCCUGCUUAUAGAAUUUGCUGCGUGUGAAGCACCAGAACUUUUCAAAGAGAAACUUGCAGAAAUGCUCCAAAAGGUGCCCUUGUUAGAGGUAAAGUAUUUUCAUCUUUCACUUAUUUGUCCUCUCUUUCUUCUUCUAAUUGUCCAUGAUGCCUCUUCAAGCUAAUUACUCUUUAGAACAAGAGUUCUCCUUUGAUGGUCAAUUUCAUGAGUACUUUUCUUUCCUCCAGUUGCUGUCCAUAAAAAUCCGAGGUACCUCACGUGAUGUAUUUGAUGUACGACCGACCUCUUGGACAAUUUCUGCCCAAGAGUUUAAAAAAAUUGAAGUUACAGCAAACGGAUGUACCCCUCUUUGUCUCCUGGUUAGAUGCAGUCAGGAAGAUCCCUUGUUUCAACUUGCGAAGCUUGUCUCUUGUCGUGGAUGUUAUAUCAGAUGAUCUUCUCAUCACAGUUAUGCAUUCUCUUCCUCGUUUAGAGNNNNNNNNNNNNNNNNNNNNNNNNNNNNNNNNNNNNNNNNNNNNNNNNNNNNNNNNNNNNNNNNNNNNNNNNNNNNNNNNNNNNNNNNNNNNNNNNNNNNNNNNNNNNNNNNNNNNNNNNNNNNNNNNNNNNNNNNNNNNNNNNNNNNNNNNNNNNNNNNNNNNNNNNNNNNNNNNNNNNNNNNNNNNNNNNNNNNNNNNNNNNNNNNNNNNNNNNNNNNNNNNNNNNNNNNNNNNNNNNNNNNNNNNNNNNNNNNNNNNNNNNNNNNNNNNNNNNNNNNNNNNNNNNNNNNNNNNNNNNNNNNNNNNNNNNNNNNNNNNNAUCAUGCAGUCUUCUAACUAUGCUCUUCUCAAUUCUGCCCAAAUUUUAUUGUCUUCUCUUCUCUUUAUAUUUGUUUUUUGUAUUUUAAUUCCAUGUUGUACCUCUCUUGUUUCUUAAUAUGUGUUAAUAUCUUUCAUGUAAAUCUCUCUAGAGCCACUUGGAGAGAUGGAAACUAUUGUUUUCCUCUAUAUGUACAAUUUUUACAAGGUAUUCUUUUGUUUACUUCUAUUUUUCGUUAAAUUCUCUGUUUUACUCUUUCUAGUUCUAAUAGUGUUGCUUUCUCUUGUAUCUUAUUCUUUUACUAUUCCUUAUCUUAGAUUGUUUUAUUUUGAGCCGAGGGUCUAUCGAAAACAACCUUUCUAUCUCACAUUUGAGGUAGUGGUAUGGACUGCAUGCACUUACCCUCCCCAGACCUUGCUUGGUGGGAAUAUACUUGGUAUGUUGUUGUCGUAAAUCUAAUAGUGUUGCCAUUAAUUUACUUAGGGGUUGUUUAGUUGGGAAAAUAGUUAUCCCGAGGAUUAAUUAUUCCGGGAUUAGUUAUCUCAUGAUUAGUUGUCCUACCCUCAAGGGGUGAUAAAAAUAACACUACAAGAGAUAACUAAGUACUGUAUGAGUUGUUCCAUGCAUUUUAUCGCAACCAAACAUGGAUUAGCUCAUCCUGAAGUUAAUUUUAGGAUUAGUUAUCCCUCGUACCAAAUGAGUCUUGAAAGUUGGAUAAAAAUAAUACUAUAAUUUGGAAUAAUUAAUCUCGGUAUGAGCUAUCCCAUGCAUUUAUCCCAACCAAACAUGGCAAAAGACCAUCGUAAAAUUAAUUCCAGCAUUAGUUAUCCCUUAUUCCUAGUAUCAAAUGAGCCCUUGUAGUUGCAUGUGCAUAGUUUUUCUUUCAUUCCUUCUAUUAACUAAGGAGAAGUAAUAGUUAAAUUUAUGUUACCAUUUUAUUUGAUUUGCAGAAAUGGAUUACUCUUGCUUGUGGCAUCUGCUCUAACCUACCUGAUUUUGNNNNNNNNNNNNNNNNNNNNNNNNNNNNNNNNNNNNNNNNNNNNNNNNNNNNNNNNNNNNNNNNNNNNNNNNNNNNNNNNNNNNNNNNNNNNNNNNNNNNNNNNNNNNNNNNNNNNAACUUAGUGUUCGACUGUAUUGGUGAUUAACUAAUUAAUAUCUUCCUGUUUCUUAUUUCAAAUGAACUCUCAGGCUAAUUUGUCAAUGGGCCGUCUUUGGAUUUUUAUACCACUUUGAUGUGGAAUUCAUAAUGGCUAAUACCGAGAGGCGAGAUGUAGUUUAGAAUCACCUUUGUACUCUUAAGUUUUUUGAAUUUGUGUCGAUAAUGAAAGUGAAUAAAAUCGAUAGGUGUGUUGACGGAGGUAUGAGAUGCAUCUUACAUUGAAAUUCUGUGAAACCAGGGGACUGGCUAUGAUACAAUGAUGAGCUAGUGUGAUGAAAUAAAUCAUCCACAUUUGAUUUAGCGAUUAAUACCAUACCUACCAUUAGAAAGAAAGGGAACAAAUAAAAAUAGUGAAUACACAACUUCUUUUUCUUGAUAGCCAUGGUGUUCGGGUCAGCUUACGUGCACCUCGACUACUUCCACGGGAUAUCUAGCACCUCCCACUAGCAACAAUAGUGAAUACAUAGCUAAAGACAAGUAAACCAUUUAGGCGCAUGUGUAUCAUUAAUAGCUAACUCUAAUCCUUUUUCUUUUCUUUUGCUGAAUUAGUGGUCAUGUUAGUCUAUACCUCUCAUAAUCUACUGAUUUUUACCAUUCUUUUGAAAAACAAAGUUCUACAAAAUGGCUAUUGAAGUAGUUACUGCACCUGCUGUUGAAGUAGGUGGUAAUCCAUAGUUGGAUAAGUGAGUGAAAAUAACAACACUAGGUGUUUGUGUUUCACAUAUAGCUAGUAGGGGUGUGUGUCCAACUGGUGAUGCCACUUAAUGAUUGUUGCAAUGAAUUGGUACUUAAUGAGUAAUUACAAUGGAAGGUCCAAAAAAAAAUGCAUUUGAUAUUCAAAAGGUUCAUUACAACCGAGAGCAAAUAAAGCACAAUAAUGCCUAAAAAAGGGAAAAAAGCUAAGUUUCAGUCAGCAGAUUUUGUGCCACAAUCAAGUAUUUACAGUUGACUACUAUUGUGGUUUGGUCUAUCCAUUAGCAUCUGCACUGCAGCAUCAGUGACCUCAUCACAGAACCCUAUAGAUAAAUCAGUUAAUGCCUUAGCAGCAGAUGUAAUGGUAAAAAUAGCUGCAUUAGUUAUUUUGGGAAUGUAACCAACAUUCAACACUGAUAACGUCUUGCAAAUUUUCCUAUCAGCAUGAAAUAAAGACUUAAUUCCCUUGUCAAUUACUCUUUCACAGCUUCUGAUCCACAACUGCACAAUCAGUAAGUCUCCCGCACCAAGAAGAGCAAGGUCCGUUAUUAAAUUAAGGUUGUCCUCAUGCAGUCUUCUAACUAGUGAAACUUUGUAGCAUUUGUCAGUAUUUAGUAAGUUGGAGGUACCCGACACAAGUGGGUGCGAACGCAUUGGAGACCAGACUCUCUUCUACAUAUCAAAUGUUACUACCCUCACAAUACUAAACUCAAGACCCACAUGGGUGAUGCAAGCUUUUGCAAAGUUUAGUAUUGUGAGGGUAGUAAUUUUUGAUAUGUAGAAAGGAGCCUGUUCUCCAAUGCGUUCGCACCCACUUGUGUUGAGUACCUCCAACUUACUAAAUGAGGACAAAUGCUCCAAAGCUUCACUAGUUAGAAGACGGCAUGAGGACAACCUUAAUUCAAUUACGAACCUUGCUCUUCUUGGUACGGGAGACUUAUCGAUUGUGCAGUUGUGCAUCAGAGGCUGCAGAAAGUAACUGACAGGGGAAUUAAGUCUUUAUUCAUACUGGUAGGAAAAUUUGCAAGACGUUAUCAAUGUUGGAUGUUGGUUACAUUCCCAAAAUAACUGAUGCAACUAUUUUUACCAUUAUAUCUGCUGCUAAGGCAAAUUCUGAUUUAUCUUUACGAUUCUGUGACACUGAUGCUGCAAUACAGAUACUGAUGGAUAGACCAAACCACAACAGUAGUCAGCUACAAAGACUUGUUCUUUGCAACUGUCGAGGUCUGUCUGCUGAUGCCAUGAUGCUACCUUUGCCCCAUCACGCUUUUCGUGGUUUGCUCUGGCUCUGUGUUGGACUUUAUCGCAUAGUCGAUAAGAGAGACAAUCUCUAUGCAAUCAGCAAGGCGCUACCUAGGCUUGUUGUGUGCGGUGUUGGCUCUCUGUUGUAAUGAACCUUUUGAAUAUCAAAUGCCUUUUUUUUUACCUGCCAUUGUAAUUACUCAUUAAGUAUCAAUUUAUUGCUACUAGCAUCAAGUGGCAUCACCAGGUGAACACACACCACUACUAGCUAUAUGUGAAACACAAAACACCUAAUGUUGUUAUUUUCACUCUCUUACCCUACUUUGGAUUACCACCAAUUUCAAUUAGCAGGGGCAUUAGCUACUUAUCUGCCCCAACUCCUUUUCUUUCUCUUUAGGCUUUUGUUCGCCACAUUCUCCAUCGGGCCCUCUUAUCUCUUCCUUCUCUGAGCUCUAGUUAUGGAAGAAGGAACCGAUCAUCCUCAAGCUCAAGCAAUUCCUUUCCCGAUCAAUCCAUCUGCUCCACAUGACAUAUUUAAGACCAUAAGAUUAAAUGAUAUUUUUGUACAUUUGACAUAACUUUUUUUUAAGACUACAAGAUUCAACAGGCCUCUUUAUUUUCUUAGAUUCCGUGUCAAGUUAAUUUUUUUGUAAAUAGGGGGAGUAGAAGAAUGAGUUAAGAUUUGGUAUCAACAUGUGUGCUUCAUUGUAAUUAAAAUAAAACAAAUAAUGGCAUUUUGAUAUUUUGCAUUCUGUCUUUCAUCACCAUCGCAAUGAGCAACAACAAUUUACUUAGAUUAACUUGAGAAUUUGUGUUGCCGUUGUAGAAGCAUUACUAAUGACACGUUGUGCUCUUAAAUGCGAAAAGACACUGCAAGUUUUAUUACGCCGACACCAAAAUGGUAAGUCCGCAACACUUCCAAAGGUCAUUUUGAAUCAACUUUUAACGUUUGACUUAUGUCAAAAGUCAUUAGUUAGAAAAACAAACUUCUUUUAUUUAUUUUUCUUUGUUUUUUGUCGUCCCAAAAUAAUGCUAUUUUACUAUAAUUAAAAAAGUUAAUUUUAAUUUUGUUUUACUCUUAAUAAAAUAAUUUUGAUAAUAAAUUUCAAAAGUAUUCUUUUAAACACCACGUCACAUUAAAGUAUGUGACGUACUACAUUGCUAUCUCAAUUCUGCCCACAUUUUAUUGUCCUCUUCUCUUUUUAUUUGCUUUUUGUAUUUUAAAUCCACUAUUGUACCUCCCUUUUUUUCCUUAGUACUAUGUGUUGAUAUCUUUCAUCUAAAUACUCUCUACAGCCACUCGGAGAGAUGGAGGCUAUUUUUUUCCUCUAUAUGUCGAAUUGUUACAAGGUAUUCUUUUGUUUACUU
rnacentral:lncRNA from 1 species